rnacentral:lncRNA from 1 species
AUGGCAUAUUAUAUGUGCAAUAAACCGUUAGAUUCGUGCUUGAGACAUCUUAUGGAGGUCAAGGAACAAAGUCCCGUAAUGCUUGAGUUCAGUUAGGUUUUCAUUUAAAUUUCCCUUUUUAGUAGAACUUUUCUAGAGGUAGCUUGGAAUUUAUUCUUUGAUUUCUUUUUCCCCUGGCUGCUCAGAGUCAUCUGUGACUGCAUUUUGUUUUAAUUUGUUGUUGGCACCUGUGUUCAAGUCUUAUAUUUUACACUUCCAUUGGCAUAUUUUUGGUGAAUCCCUUCUUCACCAGGCCAAAGUUCAGUUGUUGAGGAAAUAUUAAAUUCUCAACUAAAAUUUUUGUAAUAGCCCAAAGUUGACCGGGUUUAAAUAAAGAAAAAAUUAGAUAAAUAAAUAAACAUUUAUUAAAAAAGUCCAUUGAAAGUCCAGGCCUACUGUUGCUACCCAAAGCCCAAAUACAAAAACCCAUAUCCGGGUAUAACCCAAUAGCCGGAACAAUACCUAAUACCCUUAAGCUAAACCCAAACCCAAAUAAGGCCCGUUACACCCAGCAGUCCGUCAGACUCAUUAUCCCUGCUAGCCUAAGUCAGACCUAACCCAUUACAUUACAGACCUUGACCCAAAACAAAACAGCCCAAAAGGCCCAAUAGACUUAAGAGAAACAGGGAAACCCUAGGGUUUCCGAAUACUGUGGCGCCGCAAACAUUUCUGGAAGCUUCGGGGAGUGUCUGGCAACCCCCAAAUCGAGGCCACCGUUUAAUGAGUUGUCCCAAGGGGCUUCAAUGCUCAUCAACGCCCCGAUCCUCGGUCGUCCCUUGGUCUGGCCCCAAAUUACGUUAUGAAUGUCAUGACCAUCACCAAGGCUCCAUCAGCGCCGUGAUCAGUGCACGCGUCUACACCAGCAUGGUCACUGCCAGAUCCCUCGCUCGAUUGCCUGCAAGAAAAGGAAACAAACAGCAGAUACGCGAAAAAGCAGAGUAGAAAAUGGCAAGGAAAUCACAGCACAUCAGUCAAAGAUACAAGAAAUCAGAGAUUUCUUUCCUUAUGUAACAAAUCAGUAGGCUAUAAAAAAAGCCUUUGUAACCCUUGUAACGAUUACACAGAUACAGAAAUAAAGAAACGAAUACAAAUAGUUUCAAAGGUGAUAACUGAGUGACUUGUUCUCUAUUUUUUUUAGCCCAUAUAUAUGAACUGUUUAGCAAAAUACUAAGGGUAUUUGAAAAGAAGAAGAACUACCUGUUUUGGAUCUAAAGGAAUGAGGAUUUUUAAACCCUCCGAUCUUCGUAUACAGUGGCCCUUAGGGCGGCGCGUGGGCGCGUGGACCGGCACGUGGCGUACGAAGGCCAGAACCGGAGCUCCCUUCCUCUCUCUCUUUCAGAGAGAAUUUUUUAGUUUUUUUUUUAAAAAAUCGGGGUUCAAAUGAAUCUUAAGCUGAGAAGGUAGCUUAUAUAGCUUGAACGAAACGGCGUCGUUUUGCGACCCCCAGGAUCCGCGUGUUGACCCGAUUACCUGGGGAGGAUCCGCGCAUUUUUUAAAAUUGGGUUAAUUUCCCAAUCGGUCCUUCUACCCCUUUUGUGUUUACAAUUAAACUAUUUUAUUUAUGAUUUGGCCCUAUUAUUUUAUUUUAGUUUUAAUUUGACCCUGACAGUUGUUAAAUUAUAUUCUGAGAAACGUGGCCGUUUUAAGAAUAGGGCAUUUUGCCCAGUGAGUCCCUCUAAUUUUACGCGCGUUUUAAAUAGGGCCUCAAUUCAGUUUUGUUUCUUUGAAAUUCGCCCUGUAAUUUUGCUGAAUUUUAAAUUUAGUCCUAUAUUUAUUCUAUAUAUAUAUCUAUUUUAUAUAUUGAUAUUUAUUUUUAUCCUUAUUAUUUAUAUUAUAUACUAUAAGAUUAUUUUAUUAUACAUAUAUUAUUAUUCUUCAUAUUACCUAUUAUUUUUCAAAUUAUUUUACAUCAUUAUUUUUUAUAUUAUUAUAUUUUUACUUGUAUUAUAUGUUAAUUAUUUAUACAUAUAAACUUUCAUUAUUUUAUAUUAUAUCUAUUAUAUAUCUUAUUUCCUAUAUAUUUAAAUUAUAUUUUAUAACAUUUAUUUUAUUUUAUUUUUAUUCUAUAUUUUUUAUAUAUAUGUUAUGUGUAUCAUAUAUUAUCUAUUAUAUUAUUCAUUAAGAUUUGUAAAUUAAAUUACAUUUUAAACUCAUAUUAUAUAUAUUAAAUUAUUAAUUAUGUAUUAUUUUAUUUUAAAAUGAUGUUUUGUGAUAUGUAUUAUUUUAUAAAUCCUUUUACCUACUUUUAUUUUAUAUAUAUUUUUAUAUAAUUAUUAUUCUCUUAUAAAUAUUUUGUUAUUAUAUUUUAUAUAUUAUGUAGCAAAUACUAUUUUAAAAUUAUUAUUAAAAUUUAGGUCUUUAUUUGUGUUAUGUGUAUACUUUGUUGACAAUAAUUUAUUCCAUUGUUUUUAUAUUGCAUAUAUCAUGCGUUAUUUUAUAUUUAUUAUUUGAUAUUACAUUUCAUGAGCAUAUACAAUGAUAUUAUAUUACUCUUUUGUAUGCCAUACAUUAUUUAAUUAUUGCUUUCUUAUAUAUAACGUGCAUUAUUUAAUUAUCACUUUGUAUGUUUGUAUAUCUUGUUUAUUCAUUCUCAAUACAUGCUAUAUAUAUAUCUAUGUAUGCAUAUUGUUACUAUUUGCUUUAUAUGUAUUAUUUUAUAUGUAUAUAUCUAAUGCACGAUCUUUAUAUCAUAGUAUUCAUUUUUAAAUGCACGUAUUAUUUACCUACUACAAUAAUAUGUUACUAUGUAUGAUUUAUAAUGCAAUAUAAUUCCUCACACAUCACCAUUUUUUUAAAAAAAGAGCUCCAAGGUUUUCAAAAAAAUAUAAAGGCAAUGCUUGAUGUUUGGAAAUUUCGGGAAAGUAGUGCCCUAACUUAUCGGUUUGCGACUCUUCUCGUUGAGUUCGAAUAAUCAAAUACCCUUUUAAGUUUUUAAAGGUUUUCAAAAUGUAAGUGACUGUCUUGGAAUUUCAAAGAAAUAUGACCAAACUUACUGGAUGUGGCGUUUUGUUGUUUCAAGAUAGGGAUUUUCGAAAGGCUAACUCAAUGUCAAUAUUUUACGAGUGAGUUCCAAUUUUCAAAAUCCAAAAUAUUUCAAAGAGGAUUGCGUCUUAAAAUUUCUAAUUUCCGACCUUAAAGACAUUUGAUAAUCAAUUUGGUACCAAUUUUUGGGCGUUACGAGGGUGCUAACCCUUCCUCGUACGUAACCGACUCCCGAACUCGUUCUUUUGAUUUCGUAGACCAAAACCGAUGAUUUUAAAAUAAAAUUGAUCUAAAGGUGAUCCAAUCACACCUAAAAAGCUUGGUGGCGACUCCCGUUUUCAUUUUUUUAAAGUCGAUUCCCAUUUUCUAAAACUCGAUUUGAAAAUGAUUUCGACAGCUUGGCGACUCCACUGCGGACUAAUAAGAGAGUCAAGCCGUGUAAUUGAUUAUCUCUUGUCUUAAUGUCGGAAAUUAAAAAUUUUAAAAUUUAAUUUUCUUUGCAUUACAUGUGUUUGUGUUAUUGCAUGUGUUGCUAUAUUCUAAUACGCAUUGCAUUUGCAUGACCGUUGUGGUCACACCCUUAAGUGGGAGUGAGAAGCUACGCCUUCGUGAGGUUUUCGCCUCCGUGCAGGAUAGUGGAUCACUUUUGGGAUACAUCCGUACCUAUGGUUUCGUGAGAUUUUCAUCUCCGUGUAGCCAUAGGGAAAUGUGUCCCCCUGAACUGAACUCGAUUCAAAUGAGCCUAUAAUGGGUGAGGAUCGAGGAAUCUGCUGGUUCAGGUACCUCAACUUUAGAACUAAACCACAUAUAGAAGGACCGUAAGAGCUCAACCUAGAUAGAAUUAUACCGUAAUUAUUACCCUUACAGGUUAUCUUUGAGUUUAUUGUUAUCAUGUGAUACUAACUAUCUCUUUUCUUUUGUUGCAUAUCAUUUCGCAUUUAAAAGGUAUCAAUUCGCGGUCAGUGUCUAAAUUAGAGAGUUUUAUUAUAGAGAACGGACUUCUUGAUAGAGUGGAGAGCAAUGCCAACGUCCAUAGAUGGUCUGAGCAAACUCAGUUAGAAAAGGGAGAUAGUAUAGCUGUGGGAUAUAUGUCGGAGCUGUCAGGAUAUACUCGCAUCAGUGUCACGCAGGAUAAUCUCCAAGAACUUAAGGAGAUUUGGGAUCAAUGGGGCAACGAGACUAAACAGUUAUUCUAUGGUAAUUACGUAGAUUUACCUUACUUGCUCGAUGUUCAAAUAGAUGAGCACUUGUUCCGAGCCCUCGCUCAGUUUUGGAAUCCAGCGUAUAGUUGCUUUACUUUUGGGGAGGUAGACUUGGUGCCUACCGUAGAGGAGUACACUGCCUUGUUACGUUGUCCCAGGUUCCAGGUUGAUAGAAUCUAUUCUCGAGCUGCUAAUGUCCCUACCUUUUGGAAGAAAUUGAUGACUAUUACAGGGAUGAGUGAGCAGUGGAUUACGACCAGAAUUAAAGAGAACGGUGAGUGCAAGUGCAUUUCAUGGGACGCUUUGAAGGGUCUGAUUUUGAUGCAUCCCGAUGAAACAAAGAGGGUAGAUGUUUUUGCCUUAAGUUUGUAUGGAUUGAUGGUGUUCCCUAGGGCUUUGGGAUAUGUGGAUGAGGCAACCACGGAUCUUUUCCAUAGACUCAGUAAGAGGGUCACUUCAGUCCCUGCAAUUUUGGCAGAGACAUUCAGGUCCUUAGGCACAUGUAGAAAAGCUGGUGCAGGCAGGUUUGUUGGUUGUGUACAAUUGCUUCUAGUUUGGUUCUAUAGUCAUUUUCAAUUGGUAGAUAAGGUCGUUUGUCGGGUUUUCUUCGAGGAUUACUCACCGCUGAAGGGCAUAGUCGCUUCAACUAGGAGAGUUGAUGUUCCAGAGGAGAAUUGGAUAGCACUACUUCAAAAUCUUCAGUCGAAAGAUGUUGAGUGGAGAGCUCCAUGGAUGAUUCCUGGUGAGAUUCUUUACCGUUGCGGCAGUUUCGAUUGGGUCCCUUUAUUGGGAAUUUGGGGUGCCAUUGGUUAUGCCCCCUUGCUCGUGUUAAGGCAAUUCGAUUUGAGGCAGUUCGUGCCAGCAACUCAUGGGCUAACUCAAAGUGAGUUCGCAUAUAGAGGAGCUGAUUACAAGAAAAGGGUCGGUGAGAUCUCUAGCGCUUGGAACAAGGCGUGCCGAUUGAAAGGAGUAGCUAUUGGCCCUGCUACGACUCCAGAAUAUGUUGAAUGGAGAGGUAGAAGGAUCAAUGAUAACAUUCCUGAGCCAAAUAUGGAAAGAGCUCGACCGAUGGAGGAAUAUCUGCAAGUGAUGCCCUCGGAGUUAGAAAUUAUGAAGCAAGAAUUUGAGAGGAAAAAUCUGGAGCUCGAGAAAAGGAUAGCAAAGCUUGAAGAAGAAAAAAUGUACUUGAGUUUAGAUAUUGAUGUCCAGAAGAUGGAGGUCGAAAAAAAAAGAAAGGAAGGAAAAGAGGAAGAUUGAAGAGGAUAGAGAUGACUUGAAGGAAUACUACAAAAAGGCACAGGUAUCCUUGAGAAGAGCGAAAAUAGGAGGGUCUUCAGAUCAAUUGCAGAAAGAGGUCCAAGAAGGAAAGGCAAGAGCUGAGUACUGGGAGAAGAAGUUUCAAGAGAUGCAAUCGCGAAAUUUGGCAUUAGAAGAAGAGAAUAAAGGGUUGAAGUCUAAAGUAACUGAGCUUGGAAGAUCCCUUCGAUGGCAUCGCAACCAUGAUUCUACGGUCGAGUUAAAAGAGCUAAAGAGUAAAGUUGAAGAUUUGGAAGCAGCAUUGCAGGAAAGUAAACUUCAGAUCGAGCAACUCGAGACACAAGGAGAUUAUCUAAAGGGAGAGCUUCAUCAGUCUAGAGGGCAGAUUAGAGAAAUGGAUCAUGUCAUGGAAGAAGCCAUAGCUCAGAUUCGAGAGGUUGCUGAAUAUGUGCGAGACUUGGUUGUACGAGCCGAGGUAUUGAGUAUGAUGUGUGGGUCGUCGUCAGACAUCGGAAAAGAGUUAGCCCUUUUAUUAGAUAAAGUUAAAACUUUGGGCAUUAGGGCGAAAGCAUACUUGUAAUCCAUUUAUAUGUAAAGAUAUUCUUUUUCUAAAUGAAGUUUUCUAAAUGAGAUUGAAUCGAGAUUGAUGCCUUUGUUGCAUUCAUACAUUUGCAUUACAUCAUAUCAUAUGCAUUCAAGGUUAUAGAAAGACCCUAAUUAGUUAAAGUUUCUUUAUAAAGGUAGAAAAGAAAAACUGGAAAUUACGCAUUCUUACGGCACUCGCACUAAAACUAAGAACAUGGAUCAAAGGUUUGAGCAGUUGCAAAAGGAUAUGCAAGACCAGUUGCAAGAGCAGUUGGCUAAAAUGCAGAAUGAGAUGAGGGAGCAAAUGAUGGAAGCUCAGAGGAAUAUAAUGGCCGAAAUGGCUCAGUUACUGAGGGCCACUGAUAAAGGAAAGGCUCCUAUGGCCAUCAUUGAAGAGGAAAAUGAGGGUCCUCUUCUAGGUUUUACACCGCCGCAUGUAUCAUUGCAAACCGAGGCACCUCCUAGAAGGCCAUCUACUACUGUGAGGCCUCAGCAUGGGCUAAUCGAUGCUGGUAUCCAUGUGAAUUUUUCGGUUGGUUCAGGGCUUAAUAUGGGUGACAAUCUUACUAAUCCUCUUGUUCCUGAUCUAGAUAUGGUGAAAAAGGAAUAUUUGAAGGCCGAAGCUGCAAGGUAAUUAGAUGAACGCUGUAGAUGGUUAGAAGAAAAGUUCAAGGCUUUGGAAGGCACUGGCAAUAAUCAUGGGGAUGAUGCCAAGGACUUAAGUCUAGUCCCAAACCUAGUGUUACCUCACAAAUUCAAAAUGCCAGAAUUUGAAAAAUACAAUGGUACUACUUGCCCAGAGGCCCACAUCACAAUGUUUUGUAGAAGGAUGACGGGGUAUGUAAACAAUGAUCAGCUGUUGAUCCAUUGUUUUCAAGAUAGUUUGAUAGGUGCGGCAGCCAGAUGGUACAAUCAGUUGACCGGGCUAGAAUAAGUUCAUGGAGGGAUCUUGCAUAAGCCUUCAUGCAACAGUAGAAUCAUGUAACAGACAUGACCCCUGACAGGAUUACCCUGUAAAACAUGGAGAAGAAGCCUAAUGAGAAUUUUAGGCAAUAUGCACAGAGGUGGAGAGAGGUAGCGAUAGAGGUUCAACCACCACUGUUGGAGAAGGAGACCACUAUGUUAUUCAUUAAUAUUUUGAAAGCCCUAUUUAUUACUCAUAUGAUUGGAAGCACUACUAAAAGUUUUGCGGACAUAGUUAUGGCAGGAGAGAUGAUAGAGAAUGCCAUAAGAGGGGGAAGAAUUGAAGGAGAGGGAGUCAAAAGAUCAGCCCUAAGAAGAAAAGACAAUGAGGUAAACAAUACAAGUGGUUUUAAUUCAAAAGCAGUCACAGUUAGCCAGCCCAAAGUAGCCACAGUUGGGCAACAAGUCUCUUAAAAGCAGGAAUCCAACACUAGGUAUGAGAGGAUGCAAUUUACACCUAUACCUGUGACGUAUAGGGAACUCUAUCAAAAUCUAUAUGAUGCGCAUGCUAUAGCCCCUUUCCAUUUAAAACCAUUACAGCCUCUGUAUCCUAAAUGGUAUGAUGCAAAUGCCAGAUGUGAGUAUCAUGCUGGAAUAUCGGGGCACUUAAUCGAGAAUUGUACUGGAUUCAAGAAAGCCGUAGAGAGGUUGAUCAAGAAUGGGGUUUUAAAAUUUGAGAGUACCUCAAAUACUGAGAAUCCUUUGCCAAACCAUGACAAUCAGGGAGUAAAUGCCAUUGGUGAAGCCGGUGAAAAAAGGGAAAAGGAAAAUGUUGAUGAGAUAAGGAUGCCUAUGAGGGUAAUCUGGAAGGAGAUGAUGAAGAAAGGUAUGUUGACCUUUAAAAAUACGAAAGAAAUAAUGUGGGAUUACGGUGAGUUUCGUGAAGAUUGCGAGGAAUUCAAGGCCUUGGUGCAAGGCUUCAUAGACAACAAAGAGCUACAGGUUUAUGAAGGUAGCUCUAGUGAAAAGCAAGUAUGUGUGUUGGAAAAUGAACAGCAAAGAACCAACAGACCAAGGAUCAUUAUCUCCUUGCCAGGGAAUAAUGAAAUAAGGACACCAUCAGCGCCCAAGGUUAUUAUCCAUACACCUACUCCUUUCCCUUACAAGGAUAGCAAGAAAGUACCAUGGAGUUAUGACUGUAGCGUGACGGUGCCGGGAGAAGGAAACAUAGCCAGCGCAUCUAAAGAUGUACAAGAGGAAGGUUCCCAUACGUGAAGUGGGAAGCGUUAUGAUAUGGGGGACGUCAGGGUGGAGCCCACAAAAUCUAAGAAUGCUGAAAUUGAGAAAAAGAGUGAAGUACCUGUUAACGAGCCGGUGAGAGAGGAGGAAGCUAAGGAAUUUCUAAAGUUUCUUAAGCAUAGUGAGUACAGUAUGGUCGAGUAGUUGCGUAAGCAACCAGCGCGUAUAUCGAUUUUAGCCUUACUGCUAAGCUCUGAAGUGCAUCGAGAAGCGUUGUUGAAGGUACUCAACGAGACAUAUGUCACUCAUGAUAUAUCUGUCAAUAAGUUGGACCGGUUGAUAAAUAACAUCAAUGCUGAUAAUUUCAUCUACUUCAAUGAUGAUCAAAUUCCACCUGGGGGCAUAGGGUUAACUAAGGCUUUGCACAUCACCACUCGUUGCAAAGGAUACACGUUUCCAAGUGUACUCGUUGAUAAUGGGUCCGCUUUGAACGUCCUUCCAUUAUCCACAUUCAACAGAUUACCUAUUGACAGUUCACACAUGAAGACAUGUCAUAAUGUGGUAAGAGCCUUUGACAGAACUGAAAGGAAAGUAAUGGGACGAAUUGAUAUCCCUCUGGAGAUUAGACCAAAUACGUAUGAAGUUGACUUCUUGGUAAUGGAUAUCAAGCCCUCCUAUAAUUGUUUGUUGGGGAGGCCAUGGAUACACUCGGCAGGAGCGGUGCCUUUUUUACUGCGCCAAAAAUUGAAGUUGGUGACAGAUGGACGCUUGAUAACCAUCAAUGCAGAGGAGGACAUCAUAGCAGUCGUCACUAGUAAACCUCCUUAUGUGGAGACAAAUGAGGAGGCUAUUGAGUGUUCUUUUCGUUCUUUAGAAAUUGUUAAUACUACCUUCAUUUCGGAGGGAAGCGAGGUGCUGGUUCCCAGGAUGUCUAGAGCAACAAGGAUGGCCCUACAAAUAAUGAUGGGGAAAGGAGCAUUGCCAGGAAAAGGACUAGGAAAAUAGUUGCAAUGAGGGAUUCAAGUCCCAAAAUUGAUGGAGAAGAAGGAUCGCUUUGGUUUGGGUUUUAAGCCAGACCAUAAACAAAAGAGACAAGAGAUGAAAAAGCGUCAAGUAAGAAGGAAGGCGCAUUUGAACGGAGGAGAAGUAGAGUGGGAACUGAUGACAUUCCCACCUAUAUCCAAAACCUUUAAGUCAGGAGGGUUGCUAGUAAAAGAGAGUCAUCAAAUCAAUAUUGUACAUAAUGAGUGGUUUGGACAGGAAAACCUUGAGGGUAUUCACCCUUACGAACCGGGGAGCUCUCUGAACAAUUGGACUGCGGAGGAUCUUCCUGUAGUCUUUAGAAAUUUUUCAGAGUAAUUCUCGAAACAUGUUUAUUACUCUAGGGCCUAGGAGUAGUAAGAUUACAUUUUGUGAAAAUAGGCCUAUGUUCAUAUAUUAUUAUUCAAAUAAAACAUAACUUUUACCAAUUUAAAAGAGUAUUGUCUCAUUUUUAUCAACCAAUAUUUCUUUAAAUUCUAACAAUUCUUAUUCUUUUAUUCAUAGCACAUAAACGAUCAUUCUCAAAUUCAUUCAUUCUUUAUAUAUUCUUUCAUACCCCUUACAGGUCUCUAGAUAUCAAUGAUAUGAGCGCUAAUACUGCCGUUCCUGAUUUCUCUUGUGAGCAAGACAUGUGUUUAGAGGAGCCUUAGGAUUUUGAAGAUGUUCAAGAUUGUGACGUAUCUCUCGAUCUAUUAAGAAUGGUAAAACAGGAGGAGAAACAAAUCAUGCCACAUGAAAAAGAGGCAAUAGAUAAUAUAGCCCUAGAGGAAGGGAAGGAGGUCAAAAUUGGAACACUGAUCGCUAAUGACACAAGGCGUAGCUUGAUUGAGUUGCUUCAGGAAUUCAAGGAUAUCUUUGCAUGGUCUUAUCAGGAUAUGCCCGGAUUGAGUACUGAUAUUGUAGUACAUCGUCUUCCGAUAAGACAAGAAUGUAGACCGGUCCAACAGAAGUUGCGAAGGAUGCGGCCAAACAUUGUCCUGAAAAUAAAAGAUGAGGUUAAGAAGCAGUUUGAUGCAGGAUUUCUGCAGGAAGUGAAGUACUCUGAAUGGGUAGCUAAUAUUGUACCUGUUCCUAAGAAAGACGGGAAGGUACGAAUGUGCGUUGAUUACAGAGAUCUAAACAAAGCAAGCCCAAAGGAUAAUUUUCCUCUACCACAUAUCGACACUUUAGUAGACAACACAGCGGGAUAUUCGUUGUUCUCCUUCAUGGACGGCUUCUCAGGAUACAAUCAGAUAAAGAUGCAUCCAGAUGAUAUGGAUAAAACUACUUUCAUAACAUUAUGGGGCACCUUUUGUUAUAAAGUAAUGCCGUUUGGGUUGAAGAACGCAGGGGCAACAUACCAACGAGCCAUGGUAAACUUGUUUCACGACAUGAUGCAUAAGGAUAUUGAGGUAUACGUUGAUGAUAUGAUCGCCAAGUCGCGAACAGAAAAAGAACACAUUGAGGUCUUGAGAGGAUUGUUCUUAAGAUUGAGAAAAUUUCAGUUGAAGCUCAAUCCAGCAAAGUGCACCUUUGAAGCCAGAUCGGGGAAGUUAUUAGGCUUCGUAGUCAGUAAAAAGGGAAUUGAAGUUGACUCAGACAAGGUCAGAGCCAUACGGGAGUUGCCUCCACCACGUACUCAAAAAGAAGUUCGAGGAUUCCUAGGAAGGUUGAAUUACAUUGCUCGGUUCAUUUUACAAUUGACCAAGAAAUGUGAUCCUAUCUUUCGUCUCCUCAGAAAGCACAAUCAAGGUGCUUGGGAUGAAGAAUGCCAGAAUGCUUUUGAGAAAAUCAAGCAGUAUUUGUUGAAUGCUCCAAUGUUAUCUCCGCCUAGUCUAGAUAAACCGUUAAUACUAUACUUGUCAGUGUUUAGCAAUUCUAUGGGAUGUGUGCUUGGUCAGCAUGACGAGUCAGGGAAAAAGGAAAAGGCAAUUUAUUAUCUCAGUAAGAAAUUUACUGAUUGUGAAAUGAGAUAUUCACUAAUCGAAAAGUUGUGCUGUGCGUUGAUUUGGACCACACGGAGAUUAAGACAAUACAUGCUAUACCAUACAACUUGGCUCAUCUCAAAAUUAGAUCCAUUAAAAUACAUGAUGGAAUCAACGGCUCUAAAUGGAAGAAUGGCGAGAUGGCAAAUUUUGCUUUCAGAGUUUGAUAUAGUUUAUGUAAGUCAGAAGGCUAUCAAAGGAAGUGCGGUGGCAGACUUCUUGGCCAGUAGAGCUUUAGAGGAUUACGAGCCAUUGAAUUUUGAUUUUCCAAAUGAGGAGCUAAUGUGUAUAGCAGCAACUGAAGAUUCUCCAUGGAAGCUAAAUUUUGAUGGGGCUUCUAAUGCAGUCAGAAAUGGAAUUGGGGCAGUCUUGGUAUCCCCGAAUGGCGACCAUUACCUGUUCAUGUGCAAGUUGGAUUUUGACUGUACAAAUAAUAUGGCUGAAUACGAAGCAUGCAUCAUGGGGCUCCAAGCGGCCAUAGAAAGAGGCAUAAAAACCCUAGAAGUAUAUGGAGAUUCUGCGUUAGUAAUCUAUCAGUUAAGAGGUGAAUGGGAGACAAGAGACCCUAAGUUGAUCAAUUAUCGAAUGGUAGUUUUAGGGUUACUAAGAGAGUUCGAUGACAUCACCUUCAACUAUCUCCCACGAGAUGAGAAUCAGAUGGCAGAUGCUUUAGCAACCUUGGCUUCACUGAUUAAGGCAAACAAAGAGGAAGAGAUGAGACCAAUUCAAAUGAGUGUCUAUGAAUUUUCAGCUAGCUGUUGUAACCUUGAAGAGGAAGAAAAGGAUGACAAUCCUUAGUAUCAGGAUAUAUUGCGAUAUGUAAGAGAUCGUAAAUAUCCAGCACAGGCAUCCGAAAAUGACAAACGAACCCUGAGAAGAUUAGCUUGUGACUAUGUUUUGGACGGGGAUGUUCUGUAUAAGAGAAGGAAAUACCAAGUACUUUUGAGAUGUGUCAAUGCUGUGGAAGCCAAGCUAAUUCUAGAAGAGGUCCAUGAAGGUGCAUGUGGUACGCAUGCAAAUGGGUUCACGAUGGCAAGACAAAUCAUGAGGUUUGGCUAUUACUGGGCCACUAUGGAAGGAGACUGUAUCAAUUAUGCCAAAAAAUGCCAUAAGUGUCAGAUUUAUGGGGACAAAAUUCAUGUACCACCCUCACCUUUACAUGUCAUGACGUCUCCAUGGCCAUUUUCCAUGUAGGGCAUGGAUAUCAUCAGACCAAUAUCGCCGAAAGCUUCGAAUGGACAUCGGUUUAUUUUCGUAGUUAUUGACUACUUUACAAAAUGGGUAGAGGUUGCUUCUUACGCAAAUGUUACUAAGUCAGCUAUAAGUCGAUUUUUGAAGAAGGAAAUCAUUUGUCGGUAUGGAGUGCCUGAGAGGAUCAUAUCCGACAAUGUAUUGAAUUUGAACAACAAAACGAUAGCAGAGGUUUCGACCAGUUCAAAAUCAAGCAUCACAACUCUUCACCCUAUCGUCCAAAGAUGAAUGGGGCAGUGGAGGCUGCCAAUAAAAACAUUAAGAAAAUAGUGGGAAAGAUGACUGAGACUUAUAGAGAUUGGCAUGAAAAGCUACCGUUUUCACUCUUGGCUUAUCGAACAUCUGUUAGAACUUCUACUGGGGCAACUCCGUUCUCGUUAGUUUACUGGAUGGAAGCAGUUUUACCUAUUGAAGUGGAAAUACCCUCUCUCCGAAUUUUAACAGAGAUAAGGUUAGAUGAAGCUGAAUGGGUUCAGUCUCGAUAUGACCAGCUAAACUUGAUUGAGGAAAAGAGGCUGAAGGCUAUCCAACAUAGUCAGAUGUACCAGAAGCGUAUGAUACGAGCUUAUGAUAAAAAAGUUCGUCCAAGGGAAUUCCAUGAGGGGGACCUUGUGCUAAAGAAAAUCAUUCCCAUUCAAAAGGACUUUAGAGGAAAGUGGAUGCCAAAUUGGGAGGGGCCAUACGUCGUGAAGAAGGCUUUUUCUGGUGGUGCAUUGAUUUUGACAGAAAUGGAUGGAAAAAGCCUACCCAAUCCGGUGAACUCAGACUCAGUUAAAAAUACUUUGUCUAAAAGCGAAAAGAAUCCAAGGUGAAAACCUGCAAAAGGGCGCCUUGAAUUUUGAAAAAAAAAUGGAUAGGCCAAUGUGAAAACCCACAAAGGGCACCUUGUGACUAAAGGGAUUUUGAGUUGAAAACCUGAAAGGGCAGCUCAAAUUUUGAAGGGCAUACAGCAAACUUGCUAUAUUUGACUUGACAGAGAGUGAGGCACAGUGUACAUUGGGGCAUCAACAAAGUACUUUGGAUCUUUUAAACACAUGUCGAACUCAAGAAAGGCUUCGGGGAACUAAUGUAUAGAUGCUCAAGCGGCGAUAUUUAUCCUGUUUGCUGUCUUUAGAUUCUAUUUCUUCUUAAAGAUAUGCUAUCAAACUUAUUUCCUUUGUACUGUUAACAAUUCGAAUCCAAUUAUUCUCAAAGAUUUACUCAUCUCCCGAUAUUUUUUAAGUAUGUUGCAUUGAAAUAAUGAUAGAUGAGCUAAAAUAUUUUCACAAAAGAAGUUUUACACAUCACUUUGGAAUUUCUAGAUAAUACAAGAAACUAAAACAGGACAAUUGUUCGAGAAAUUCACGUAAGUAAGGAAUGAAGGAACUCGAGAGAUUUCUUUCUUCCAGUUCAAAAAGAAAUGGAUGAUUCAAUUCUUACAGACAUCCUCAAUAGAUCAUAGCAUUGGAGGAAGGCCUACAAGCUGAGUAAGAAUAAAGUUUUGAGAAAGAGAAAUGAAGGAAUGAAUAAUGACACCUGAGAUAGGGGUUAUAUUCACAGCACUUUGCAUCAUAACAUGUUAAGGGCAUUUGACUCAUUUCAAUCAUAGCAUACUUAGGCAUAGGCACAUACUCAUCCUACAGGUCAUGAAGAUCAAAGAUUUCAACAUGGUAGCCUAUGCUUAUAGGAAAUAAAUUGAAGACAACAGAUCUAAACUUCAGACAUUUAUGUUGAAGCAGAUCCAAGAUGAUUUGGUAUUCUUGUGUUUACAAGAAACAAGUCGAGGACAUAGCAGAUUUGACUCUCAGACGUUCUCAAAGAUAGCAGAUCUAACCUUCAGAUGUUUAUACUGAAGCAGAUCCAAGAUGAUUUGGUAUUUUUGUGUUUACAAGAAACAAAUCGAGGACAUGGCAGAUUUGACUCUCAGAUGUUCUCAAAUAUAGCAGAUCUAACCUUCAGAUGUUUAUACUGAAGCAGAUCCAAGAUGAUUUGGUAUUCUUAUGUUUACAAGAAACAAAUCGAGGACAUAGCAGAUUUGACUCUCAGGCGUUCUCAAAUAUAGCAGAUCUAACUUUCAGAUGUUUAUACUGAAGCAGAUCCAAGAUGAUUUGGUAUUUUUGUGUUUACAAGAAACAAAUCGAGGACAUAGCAGAUUUGACUCUCAGACGUUCUCAAAUAUAGCAGAUCUAACCUUCAGAUGUUUAUACUGAAGCAGAUCCAAGAUGAUUUGGUAUUCUUGUGUUUACAAGGAACAAAUCGAGGACAUUGCAGAUAUGACUCUCAAAUGUUCUGAAACAGACUCAAGAUGAUUAGACAUCCUUGCAAAUUGAAGAAGUAGAAUCAGUGUCUCUAUGUUCGGCGGAAAGCAGAUUGAAGAUCAUAGAAUCGAUCAAAUUUGGGUCUUUCUAUGAAUCUUUGCUUGAUUCCUGUUACACAGCAAUAAACAAAGAGGGGCAGCUGUAAUAGCCCAAAUUUGACCGGGUUUAAAUAAAGAAAAAAUUAGAUAAAUAAAUAAACAUUUAUUAAAAAAGUCCAUUGAAAGUCCAGGCCUACUGUUGCUACCCAAAGCCCAAAUACAAAAACCCAUAUCCGGGUAUAACCCAAUAGCCAGAACAAUACCUAAUACCCCUAAGCUAAACCCAAACCCAAAUAAGACCCGUUACACCCAGCAGCCCGUCAGACUCAUUAUCCCUGCUAGCCUAAGUCAGACCUAACCCAUUACAUUAUAGACCUUGACCCAAAACAAAACAGCCCAAAAGGCCCAACAGACUUUAGAGAAACAGGGAAACCUUAGGGUUCUUGAAUACUGUGGUGCCGCAAACAUUUCUGGAAGCUUCGGGGAGUGUCUGGCAACCCCCAAAUUGAGGCCACCGUUUAAUGAGUUGUCCCAAGGGGCUUCAAUGCUCAUCAACGCCCCGAUCAUCGGUCGUCCCUUGGUCUGGCCCCAAAUUACGUCAUGAAUGUCAUGACCAUCACCAAGGCUCCAUCAGCGCCGUGAUCAGUGUACGCGUCUACACCAGCAUGGUCACUACUGGAUCCCUCGCUCGAUUGCCUGCAAGAAAAGGAAACAAACAGCAGAUACGCAAAAAAGCAGAGUAGAAAAUGGCAAGGAAAUCACAGCAGAUCAGUCAGAGAUACAAGAAAUCAGAGAUUUCUUUCCUUAUGUAACAAAUCAGUAGGCUAUAAAAAAAGCCUUUGUAACCCUUGUAACGAUUACACAGAUACAGAAAUAAAGAAACGAAUACAAACAGUUUCAAAGGUGAUAAUCGAGUGACUUGUUCUCUAUUUUUUUUAGCCCAUAUAUAUGAACUGUUUAGCAAAAUACUAAGGGUAUUUGAAAAGGAGAAGAACUACCUGUUUUGGAUCUGAAGAAACGAGGAUUUUUAAACCCUCCGAUCUUCGUAUACAGUGGCCCUUAGGGCGGCGCGUGGGCGCGUGGAUCGGCACGUGGCGUACGAAGGCCAGAACCGGAGCUCCCUUCCUCUCUCUCUUUCAGAGAGAAUUUUUUAGUUUUUUUUUAAAAAAUCGGGGUUCAAAUGAAUCUUAAGCUGAGAAGGUAGCUUAUAUAGCUUGAACGAAACGGCGUCGUUUUGUGACCCACAGGAUCCGCGUGUUGACCCGAUUACCCGGGGAAGAUCCGCGCAUUUUUUAAAAUUGGGUUAAUUUUCCAAUCGGUCCUUCUACCCUUUUUGUGUUUACAAUUAAACUUUAUUUUAUUUAUGAUUUGGCCCUAUUAUUUUAUUUUAGUUUUAAUUUGGCCCUGACAGUUGUUAAAUUAUAUUCUGAGAAAUGUGGCCGUUUUAAGAAUAGGGCAUUUUGCCCAGUGAGUCCCUCUAAUUUUACGCGCGUUUUAAAUAGGGCCUCAAUUCAGUUUUGUUUCUUUGAAAUUCGCCCUGUAAUUUUGCUGAAUUUUAAAUUUAGUCCUAUAUUUAUUCUAUAUAUAUAUAUUUUAUAUAUUGAUAUUUAUUUUUAUCCUUAUUAUUUAUAUUAUAUACUAUAAGAUUAUUUUAUUAUACAUAUAUUAUUAUUCUUCAUAUUACCUAUUAUUUUUCAAAUUAUUUUACAUCAUUAUUUUUUAUAUUAUUAUAUUUUUACUUGUAUUAUAUGUUAAUUAUUUAUACAUAUAAACUUUCAUUAUUUUAUAUUAUAUCUAUUAUAUAUCUUAUUUCCUAUAUAUUUAAAUUAUAUUUUAUAACAUUUAUUAUAUUUUAUUUUUAUUCUAUAUUUUAUAUAUAUAUAUGUUAUGUGUAUCAUAUAUUAUCUAUUAUAUUAUUCAUUAAGAUUUGUAAAUUAAAUUACAUUUUAAACUCAUAUUAUAUAUAUAUUAAAUUAUUAAUUAUGUAUUAUUUUAUUUUAAAAUGAUGUUUUAUGAUAUGUAUUAUUUUAUAAAUCCUUUUACCUACUUUUAUUUUAUAUAUAUUUUUUAUAUAAUUAUUAUUCUCUUAUAAAUAUUUUGUUAUUAUAUUUUAUAUAUUAUGUAGCAAAUACUAUUUUAAAAUUAUUAUUAAAAUUUAGGUCUUUAUUUGUGUUAUGUGUAUACUUUGUUGACAAUAAUUUAUUCCAUUAUUUUUAUAUUGCAUAUAUCAUGCGUUAUUUUAUAUUUAUUAUUUGAUAUUACAUUUCAUGAGCAUAUACAAUGAUAUUAUAUUACUCUUUUGUAUGCCAUACAUUAUUUAAUUAUUGCUUUCUUAUAUAUAUCGUGCAUUAUUUAAUUAUCACUUUGUAUAUUUGUAUAUCUUGUUUAUUCAUUCUCAAUAAUAUAUCUAUGUAUGCAUAUUGUUACUAUUUGCUUUAUAUGUAUUAUUUUAUAUGUAUAUAUCUAAUGCACGAUCUUUAUAUCAUAGUAUUCAUUUUUAAAUGCACGUAUUAUUUACCUACUACAAUAAUAUGUUACUAUGUAUGAUUUAUAAUGCAAUAUAAUUCCUCACACAUCAUCAUUUUUUAAAAAAAAGGGCUCCAAGGUUUUCAAAAAAAUAUAAAGGCAAUGCUUGAUGUUUGGAAAUUUCGGGAAAGUAGUGCCCUAACUUAUCGGGUUGCAACUCUUCUCGUUGAGUUCGAAUAAUCAAAUACCCUUUUAAGUUUUUAAAGGUUUUCAAAAUGUAAGUGACUGUCUUGGAAUUUCAAAGCAAUAUGUCCAAACUUACUGGAUAUGUCGUUUUGUUGUUUCAAGAUAGGGAUUUCCGAAAGGCUAACUCAAUGUCAAUAUUUUACGAGUGAGUUCCAAUUUUCAAAAUCCAAAAUAUUUCAAAGAGGAUUGCGUAUUAAAAUUUCUAAUUUCUGACCUUAAAGACAUUUGAUAAUCAAUUUGGUACCAAUUUUUGGGCGUUACGAGGGUGCUAACCCUUCCUCGUACGUAACCGACUCCCGAACUCGUUCUUUUGAUUUCGUAGACCAAAACCGAUGAUUUUAAAAUAAAAUUGUUCUAAAGGUGAUCCAAUCACACCUAAAAAGAUUGGUGGCGACUCCCGUUUUCAUUUUUUUAAAGUCGAUUCCCAUUUUCCAAAACUCGAUUUGAAAAUGAUUUCGACAUUUUUUAGGCCAAAUUUCUCUCUUCUCACCCUUUUCUCUCUCUUAUUUUCCUGGUAUUAUAGUUUAUCUUGUUGAAUUUUACAUUGUUUUGAUGUUGUCUAUGGAAAUGAUUUAAUAGUGAUUGCUGCAAGAGGAGGGAUGGAGACUUUGAGGCCUGCUUUACAGAGGUUAUACAUGACAAGGGCUUCUGCAUAUAGAGAUGCUCUUAAGAGUUUCAUAGAAGGAUAUCAAGAGGGUAUCCAGCAGAUCAUGGAGAAAGAGGAAGAUUUUUCUAAAGCACAGCAAGAAGGCAAUACUGAUACAACUUGACGGCUGAUAAGUGCAUAAUCGAAGAUGCAUGUGAGUACUUCUCCAGCAUACCUAUUGUAGAUACAAGUUUGGAGAUUUGGUGGAGCUAGGUUGGCAUGAAAUCACAAGAAUGAUACAUGUCCUGAGAAUUUUCUUGUAUUGAGAAAGUGACCUUUAGAAACUACAAGUAUAAUGGAAAUCUCCAUUGACAAUGGUGAUGCUCUUUCCUUCUGUCACAAUUUAAAUGAAAUGAGAAUGUGAAGUGUAACAUUAUAUUGUUUGUUAUAUGUAACAAAGUAUCGAUUAAAAUUAUUACUUAACUCAUAAAUUAACAUUUAAAUUAUAUCAUUAAUUCUAUUUUAGUGUCUAAAUUUUUUUAAUCACAAGCUAUUUAUUACUUUUAAUACUUUUUUUUUAUUGUAGAAUAAUUAAAUUAUUUGUUUCACUAAUGAUAUUUUAGCACAUUAAAUAUGUAUUGCAAUUUAAAAAUAAUAAGGUAAGUUUUAUAUUAUUUUUAUAAUAUUAUAUAUUAUGAUUUUUUAAUUCAUAUAAUAAUUAUUUUAUUAAGAAUGUUAUUAAAUUAUAUAAUAUUUUAUUAAAUUGUAUUUAAUAAUUAUUAUAUUAAAAAAUGAUUAAAUCAUUUAUUUUUAUUUUAUUAAAAUAUAGUUAACAAUAAUUUUAUUAAAAUUUAAUAAUAAUAACAAUAAUUAUCUAUCUAAAAAAAAUUAAAGCAUUUUCAAUGGUUGUUUUGGUUGCUUAUUACAAUGCUUUUUUUUUGUCUUGGCAGCCCUUUUUUUAUUCAUCUUGUGGAUGCUAUUAAAAUGUUUUAUUGAUCAGAGUGAUGAGGGGCGGAUCUGGGUAGAAUCACAUUUUAGGGAAAACUGAUGAUUUUAUUUCGUAAUCUUUUCAAUGUAAAUACCAGCUCCUACCAUACACUCAUUUGUUGUCUUAUUCAUGUACAGUUUCUCUUUUCUUCCCCUUUUUUUUUCGGUGGUUGAAUUAAAUAUGAGAACUAUGGGAAACUGAAUAGAAUAUUUAAGGAUAUCAAGUUAUUUCAUUAACGCAUUACUUUAACCUAGGGAUAGAUUGCAAAACCUCUGCACAUUCAAUCAUGUCCUUCUACAAUGGCGAUUUCUAGCGAAAAAAUAUUUUAGUAUUCCAAUCUUAUAGUGAAUGAUUUCUAGAGAAAAAUAUUGUAUUAUCUCAUUAACGAUUUCUAGAGAAAAAAAUAUUGUAGUAUUCCAAUCUUGAAAUUUAUUCGAGGAACAUUCCCAGAAACAUAUGAAUAUUAUGUUUAAAUGUGAAAUAUAAUUCUCAAGUUAUUUAUUACUUCUUAUAUUUUAUUUUUUAUUGUAGAAUUAUCAAAUUAUUUGUUUCACUAAUGAUAUCUUAGCAUAUUAUGUAGUGCAGUUUAAAAAUAAUAAAGUAGAUUAUAUAUUAUUUUUAUACUAUUAUAUAUUAUGAUUUUUUAAUUCAUAUAAUAAUAAUUAUAUUAAGAAUUUUAUUAAAUUAUAUUUAGUAAUAAUUAUGGUAAAAUAUGAUUAAAUUAUUUAUUAUUUUUAUUAAAUUAUUUUUAAUAAUAAUCUUAUUAAAAUUUAAUAAUAAUAACAAUAAUCAUCUACUUAAAAAAAAUUCAAUUAAGGGUAUUCUGGUCAUUUUAGUUUUUUCUUAUUCUAUUACAACAUCAUUCCAUUCAACCAAACACAAGAAUUCUAUUACAGUUCUAUUCUAUUCCAUCUAACCAAACAGUUGAAUUACUUAUUACAGUUCUAUUCCAUUACAGCUCUAUUUCAUUACAGCUCUAUUCAAUUACAGCUCUAUUCCAUUACAGUGAACCAAACGAACCCUUAGCUUUUUGAGUCAAGACUGCGACAAAGAAAAUGUUUUUCCAUUCGAAUACAAAAGGUAGGAUUAAAGAACUUUUGGUUUUUGGCUUUUAUAUUUGGAAGUGAAAAAAAUAUCAAAAUAUCCUUAUUUAUAUUAGCUAUUUAUAUUUUAAAAGGUAUAUAAAAAAUUAUUUGAAUAUCAUUUACAUUUUAUAUAUUAUUAUAUUAAAUAUUUUGAAUAUUAUUUAUUAUUAUUUUAAAUUGUUAAAAUAUUUUUAUAACUUGUACAAAUAAUUUGUAUUUCAUGUAUCAUAAUAUUAAUUAUUUAAAUAUAUAUCAUAUAAUUUAACUAAUUUUUCACUUUUGACUAUCAUAUUUAAAAAGAAUAUUUAAUCCAUCAAACCUAAUUUUUUUGUAGUAAUAGAGAACACUAAAAAUUAACAAAUUACACUUUUUCAUAGUACUUUUCUACCAAACUUUUCAAAACUAUUUUGGUUUUAUUUCCCAUUGCUUUUUAAAAGUAUCUUUUAUGACCAUAAAUAAUACUAAACAAAUAAAUUCUAAAAGUAUUUUUGAAAAACACUUUUUAACCACAAUAAUGAAUAGAAAACUAACCCUAAGUUGAUGAAAGGGUAACAUAACAACCUAUAACCAAGCCCAAAUGAGAACCUUCGGCUGAAGAACUCACCUUAAAGUAAUGGGACUGUGAUAAUUACCUUUAUUUUUUCGAUAAUUGAUAUGUAUCUUAAUGUACCCUUACUUAACACACUUUAACCAACUAAACGGUAAGUUGGGUUUGCAAGCAAAUGAUUAGCCCUUGGCAACGUGAGCCCAAACUUUUCAGUCAUAUCAAGUUCAUCAGGUAACAUCCCAUCAGGCAACUCCCAAUCAAAGCAAUGAACUAAUUGAGCUAUAAUUAGACUCAUGGUGGUCAACCCCAACUGCAUUCCAGGACAUCCUCUACGGCCACUCCCAAACGGGAUGAGUUGGAAAUCAUGUCCUCGAACGUCUAUGUUGCUAUCCUUGAACCUUUCUGGAAAGAACUCUUCAGCAUUGUUUGACCAUACUUUAUGGUCUCGCCCGAUGGACCAAACAUUCACUAAAAUCCGCGACUUCUUUGGAAUGAAAUAUCCAUCAAUGGUGAUAUCUUCUGUCGACUCACGUGGAACUAGUAAGGGCGCCACUGGAUGCAACCUUAAACUCUCUUUCAUGACCAUAUCUAAGUAAGCAAGCUUCGGUAGGUCCGACUCUUCUACCAUUCUAUGCCUUCCAACAGUUCUUUCCAGUUCUUGUUGGAGAGCAGCCAUGACUGAAGGGUGCCUUAGAAGCUCUGCAAGUGUCCACUCAAUGGCUGUAGUUGUGGUCUCAAAUGAAGCUGCCACCAUGUCCACCAUUAUGGCCUUGAUGUUUUCUCUACCAAUGAUGUACCGCUGCUCUUCAUCGUUAGGGUUAAUGGGCGUAUUCAACAAUGAAACCAUUACAUGAAAGAAAUCUGUGUAAGGUUUUUGUUCCUUGGCGUUAGUCCCUUGUAAAUGUUCAUCAAUCAUUUUGUCAAAAAUUGCGUGAAGCCCAUUGCUUGUCCUCUUAAGCCUUCUUCUAUAUCCCUGCAGUGAAACGAUAGAUGGAAUCUGUAAUAUAUUAUUUUAUUCUUCAUUACUGUCAAGUCUUUGUGAAAAUGCUAGAUUUAUUUGGUCAAUCAAAUAUUUUAAUUUUUUUUAAUUCCAACCAGAUAAUUUCUUAAGUAAGGUAACGAUAUUACCAACAUGUCACAAUUUGAGGUUGAACAAGUAUUUUAAUCUUUUAAAAACCUAUAAAAUCAAAUUAUUCAAACAUAAUUAAACUCUUAAAACACUUCUUUAUAACUAGUCUAAACUGAUUGAUUGAACCAGCAGUUGAAUAGGUUUUUUUUUUUUAUAAUUUUUAAACAAUUUAUUUAAUCGAAAUGAUUUUAAUUUGAAAAAUCAUAAGAACUGAUGUGAUGCAAAACAACUAAAAGCAUAAAAUUUGAAUUUUUUAUUUUAGAAAAAAGAAAGGGGUUGGAGUAGACUUGAUCAUGGAUCGAGUUAUUUAUCUAGGCUCGAAGGUUCGUCCGAAAUUUAGGAGGGUUUAGGCAAAAUAUUAAGUUCGAAAAAUGAGCUUGGAAAAAAAUUAGGCUCGUUUAAAAUAUGGGUUGAGUUCUAGCUUUGAACAUUCAAGGCUUGAGCCCGGUCCAACCCGUUUAUACUUUAUAUUAUGUAAGUUAGAACACAUUAAAAAAAAACCUGUAGUAAAUAUAUAAUACUACUCUAAUGUAAAUAUUAAAAUAAUAUUAAUAUGAUUAUAUAACAAAUUUCAAUAAAUAAAAAUAUAUAAAAUUAUUAAAUAUUAAAAUAAUAUAAUAUAAAUAUUUUUAAAUAAAUUAAAAUAAUAUGGAUGAGCCUAAAAUGUGCUUGGGUUAAUUUUUUUUAUAAAUUUGAGCGGGUUUGAAUAAAAUUUUAGGCUCAUAUUUUGGAUCAGACCGAACUUGGACAAAUAUAAAAUAUAUUAUUAUCAUACUUAAAGACCGACUCAUAAACACCUCUAGGUUGAAUAUUUUUGAAGCUUGAAGCUGGAUGGAGUAAUAUAUUAAAUAUUUAUUAAAUUUAUAAUUAUUUUAUUUAAAAUGUAUUAAAUGGAUAAUAUACUUAAUAUAUCUAUGCAACUGAAUUUUAUGUCACUCCCAAUUUGUAAGCCAUAACUAGGUAGUUCUUUUAAUUAUCUAAUUAUAAAAAUAAUUUUUUAUAAAUAUUAUUUACUCUCUUAAUAACCUUUCACUUUUUAAAUAUAAUAUUAUUUUAUUAAAAUAUUAUGAAAGUUAUUAUUUAUCAAAAUAUAUAAUAAGGAUCUCAACUUAUAAAAAGAGUUAUUCCAUGGAUAUGUCCUAACACAUUAUUUAUAGUUCCUAAUCAAUUAUAUAAAAUUUAACUUACAAAUUGGUACUUAAAUUAUACUGAUUUUUUUUAUCUUGGGACUUAAACUUUUUUUAGUCACAUGUGAUACCUAAACAUCAUUUUUUUUUUCAAGUUAGUACCUUUAUUAAGUAAAUCGUUAGUCAAACCGUUAAAUCUAUUUAAGAAAGAAGCUUAACCUAUAAAUUGAUACUUAAGCUAUACAUUUUUUUCAGUUUGACACCUAAACAUUUUUCUAGUUACAAGUGAUACCUAAACUACCAGGGUGAAGCCAGAAAUGAAAUUUUAAAUUUUAAUAGUCUAUAUUUUUAUAAUUUUUAAAUGAUUAAAUUAAAUUUUUAUAUAUUUAAGAGGGCUAAAGUGUAAUUUUACCUUUACUAAAUUAAAAUUUUAAAAAUUUCUAAAAGACUUAAAUAAUAAUUUUCCAUUUUAGAGGUGUUGGCCCCAGCUAUUGUCUUCAUGGUAGACUUUUUUUUUUUAAUUUAGAAGGGUGUGGCUUGAUACAUUGGGUAGUAUCUACUUAAAAAUAUAUAUAUUUCUUUUUUCUCUCAUCAUGUAUACUUGUGAAAAUAUGACUAUUUUAAAAAGAUAUACACUGAUUCCGCUAGACACGGCACCAAUAAUUUUUUUAAAGAAAAAACAUAAUUAUUGGUUUAUGAUUGGUUGAAAAAGUUGUGAUAUUGCCGAUAUGUCAUAUAACCCCGGUUUGCAAGGUAACAAACAAGUCAUUUUUAUAAAUAAAUUUUCUCAACCUAUUUUUGUAAUUAAUUAAAAUUUUAUAUUAUUUUUAUAAAAAAAUCUACAUCUUAUACAAUUUUCCUAAUUUAUUUAUUUUUAUAUUAUUUUGAUAAAAACCAAGAUGGAGCAAGUAAUAACAAGAUAAAUUGUGAAAAGGAAAAUCAUAUAAAAUAGGAUAAAAUGAGAAAAGGAAAAGGAUAUUUACCUGAAGGUCAAGUGGAGCAAGAAAAGGUAGAUAAUCUGAUAGAUUGAAAAUCCCAGCCAAGAGCAUGGUCUCGUCAACUAGCGGUUUAAAUUGGAAUUUAUCAUCCAUGGACUGCCCGAAAAUCACUUUACACAUCAUUACUUCCAUAACCUUACCUAACUUCCGGCUAAGGUCCACCGUCUCACCCGCCGUCACUGCCUUCCUCACCGAUUUAACCAAUGACACCACCUCUUCCUUCCUAACCGGGGCAAAACAUUCGAUUUUUGAGGCACUAAGGAAGUGCAAAGUGCACCAUUUCCGUACAGUUCGCCAAUAGGAACCGUAGGGGGCAAAAGCCAAGCCCUUGCCACUGUAGGUCAAGUACUCGGUAGAUUGGAGGUUAGGCCUGGAAGCAAAAACAAGGUCAUGGACCUUGAGGAACAGUUCAGCGGCUUCAGGUGAUGAUACCACAAUCGUCGGUACAUAGCCUAGCUUUAUUGACAUUAUGGGUCCAUAUUUUUUGCCAAGAUGGUGAAGGGUUUGGUGAGGAAGUUUCCCUAGCAUAUGGAGGUUACCAAUAAUGGGAAGAGGAGCAGGACCGGGUGGAGGUUUCUGGCCAUUUUUGUGGUGGUUUCGUGGGCGGAAGAAAUAGACAAAGGAACAAAGAGGUACAAGGAGUACCAAGAGAAUGGCUAACGUUGAAUAAUACAUUUGGGAUGGGAAAGGAGAGGCAGCCGAUUGACAAUUGACAAUUGACAACCCCACCUUAAAUAAGAAAGGAACAAAUAUGAGUUCCAUGUUGGCGGACAAGUAAUACUGUAAUUACAAAUAAAUAACCAAAUAUGAACCAUAUUUUUCUCAAUCAAAAGAAAAAAAACAUGAGCCACAAGUGGGGAAAGAAGUAAAGAGUAGAUUUUUACAUUAGAUUUAUUUCCAAUGAUGUCCAUGCCUUAACUUAUAUAUUUUUUGACACAAUGUAUAGAAGAUAAUGUGUUUCAGUGCGCUCAAACUCAUAUACUCUUGUAUUGACAACAAUACACAUACUAAUCUAUAGUUUCUUUCCAAUCCAUAAAUAAGAAGAUAAUGUGUUUCAGUGCACUCAACCUCAUAUACUCUUGUAUUGACAACAAUACACAUACUAAUCAAACUAAUACUCAAUCAACUAUGUUAACUUAUAUAUUGAUUGAGAUUGAUGUUUAAUCUAUUUAAAAAAAUAUCGAUUUGACAUUCAUAUGACAGCUUAAUAUUUAUAUUUAUGAUUUUUUUAUAACUAACCCAAAUAAAUUGAUUAUUUACGAAAUUGAUUUAGGUGCAAAAUCUUAUACAAAAAUGAUCUGUUUUUUUACAUUACAUGUUGAUGUCGGCCAUCCAUCACCCCUUAAUGAUUGCUCGAUCUAUAAAAAAUAAAUUUUUUGUGUGUUCACGGCACCGGUAUGUAUUUUUUUUUCAAAUACACUUAAAAAAUACAGACAUUCCAGGAUUUAAAAAAAAUAUUUUAAUAGGUGUGGACAUUCUCGUUGCUGACACCGGUUGAAAUUAAAAAAAUAAUUUUUUAUUUUUUUUAGUGUCAACAUUCUCUUUGCUAAUGUGGUUUUUGAAUUUUUUUUGCCAGCGUGCUUUGGUUGCCAGGAUAGGUUAAAAGAAGAGAGGAAGAGAAGAAGAUAAGGCAGCUUGAGCAAGAACAAUAUAGACAUGGAAAAUAUAACAAUUAAUGAUAACAAUAACCAAAUUAAUUAAUUGUAAAAUAAAUAAGAAGCUGUGGAGUUAUACCUCGUAUUUUUCAGUUUUUCUUCUCUAAAUUAAACUCUAUUUUUUAAUUUUUCACUUAAAACUCCGAUUAGUGUAUAUUAUUUUAAUAUUAUUUGACCUAUGAAUUUAGCUAUAAAUAUGUCCUUUUCCACUUUAAGAAAAUAAUCCAUUACACAUUUAGGUAUUAACUGUUACAAGCUUUCGGAAAAUUUUGUGUUUACAUUUUGAGAGUUCUUAUUUUGGGUUUCAGGAUUUAGUUUUAUCCCUAUCUUUUGUACUCUUCAUUUUUGCCAUUUUAGUGAAAUUAUCUUUACUCGUGAUUUUUUAUCUUCUUCGGAAGGAUUUUUUCACGUAAAAUAUUUGCAUUCAAUCUUUUCAAUUUCCUUGUUAUUUUAUUUGUUCGUUGCUUAAUCCGGUUUAUCUCCAACAAAAAGCCAACAUGAUCAAAUGAAAGGACAAAUAGUUAACAAAAAGAGAUAGUAAAAUAAUUAUUUGUUCGUUGCACUAUAAAAACAUGUCAUUUUGGUACAAAAUUUUACACUCGGGAUAUUUUCGUACAUAAACAAUUUAUUUAGGUCAAUUACUGAAAAACCCCUAUACUCAUCCUUGCUGAAGAAUUUUUUUAAAAUAAAUUUAUAUUAUCAACACUUCAAGAAAAGAAGUUUAAAAACAAAAAUUGUUGAAAAACCCCUAUACUCAUCCUUACUAUUGGAUUAAAAAUUGUUAGCAAUAUCAACACGAGAGACUCGGGUUGAGCUUGUUUAUUUAGAUUACUUGUGUGGCGUAUUUGGAAAAAUAGAAACCUCUUUAUUUUCUAAGAUAUUUCUAUGAAUUUGAAUGAUAUUAUUAGGAUUCUAUACAGCUGAGCUAAUCAAUUUAUCUCAAUAAGUAGAGCUAUGUCGAAAAUGGCAUCUAAAUCUUUGUGUGCGCUGUUAGUCCCAAGUAUGUGUUUUUAUCUCAAUACGGAUGGUGCUGUUCAAACAAACAUUGGGUUAUCUGCUGUAGGAGGUGUGAUUUGGGAUGAAAUUGGGAAGUGGACAUUAGGAUAUAAUAGGUUCUUGGGGAAGUGUUAUGUCUUUGUUAUCGAAUUGCGGGAAAUCUUUGAUAGUUUGCUCUUACUUUAUUUUAUGAAGACGAGUGAUUUAUGCGGUACACUCCUAUAGAGAAUAAUUAGAUAGCAGAUACAUUAAAUAAAAUGACUUUUGUAAAUGAAGAAGAGUUAUGUUUAUUUAACGUUCGUAUUUGAAGAUUCAAGAAACUUUAGAAGAUGAUAGAAUAAGGGGUAUUUUAACCCCGAGUACUCCUAUAUAAAUCUUUUGGUAUUUUUGUCUGUUUUCUACACAAAAAAAAAUGUUAGCGAUAUAAAUAUAUUUAUAAAAUUCACAUUUAUAAUACGUAAAAUAUGAAUAAAUAAUUAUCAUAAAUUUAAAUUUAUGUUUUUAGUAACACUCAAUUUAAAAUUACUUAUUGUUAAUUAAUUAAAAUAAUAGAAAAUAGAAAGCCCAAGAAAAAUGUGGACAAAUUUUAGUUGAUAACAAUUUCCCUCCUUGCUUUCACCAUCGGGAAAUAAUCAACUCUCACAGUCCGAUAAAGACUCCAACCGACCAAACCUAACCAAACCAAACCCAACCACAAAAGAAGUAAUUACUAUCUAAAAGUACAGCUCAGGUAAUAGUAGAUAUUAAAUCCUCAAGGACCACAUGAUUCAUGAACGGGAAGCCUCAAAUUAUCAUUUUAUUUUCGAUAUUUCGAAAAUAUUUUAUUGGUUUUUUUAUAAAAUUAACUCAAAAAUUUUAAUUAUUACAUAGAUGACUCAUUUUUUUAUUAAACAGGUAAAUAACCUAAAAUCUACAGUGAAAGUUGGUAGAGUCAAAAGAGUUUGACGCCACCAACAUGUCAUGUCAGUAAUCGAGAUAAAAAAUUAUUUUUUUAGUGGAGCCAUGUAGAAUGACGCUAUCUAAAUAAAUAUCAGAGAAAUACUACAAUUUUUUGAAAAAAAAUAAGGGUUUAAAAAAAAUUUAUUCUUCUGGUGGAGCCAAAUAAAUUGGCACCACCAAUUUCCAAAGCUAUUUGCGUCAUCCUUUUUGCAAUGUGAUUUUUUUAAAGUUUUUUAAAAUUUUAAAUAUAUUAAAAAAUAUUAAAUAUAAUCAAUUUUAAAAUUUUAAUACAUUUAAUAUAUUUUUAAAAAUAUAUUAAAAUUUUAAAUAUAUUAAAAUUUUAAUAUUCUUAAUAUAUAUUUUUAAUAGGUGAAGACAAAAAAAUAUUUUUUUAAUAUAUUUAAGAUUUUAAAAAAUUUUAAAAAAAUUAAAUAUAUUAAAAUUUUAAAUAUAUUAAAAAAUGUUAAGUAUAACCAAUUUUAAAAAUUUAAUAUAUUCAAUAUAUUUUUUAAUAGGUAAAAAAAGAUUUUUAAUAUAUUUAAAAUUUUAAAAAAUUAAAUAUAUUAAAAUUUUAAAUAUAUUAAAAAUAUGUGAAGUAUACCAAUUUUAAAAAUUUAAUAUAUUUAAUAUAUUUUUUAAUAGAUAAAGGUAAAAAAGAUUUUUUUAAUAUAUUUAAAAUUUCCAAAAAAUUUAAAGAAAAAAAACCUCAUUGCAAAAAGGGAUGACACAAACAGCUUUGGAAUAUAGUGGCGCCAAUUUAUUUGACUCCACCAUAAAAAAAAGGAAUUUUUUUAAACCCCCAUUUUUUUUAAAAAUUAUAGUGUUUCCCUAAUAUUUAUACAGGUAGCGUCAUACUACAUGGCUCUACAAAAAAAUAAUUUUUUUAUUUCGAUUGCUGACGUGGCAUAUUAGUGGCGCUAAACUCGUUGGCUCCAACUGUAGAUUUUAGGUCAUUUAUAUGUUUAAUAAAAAAAUGGGUCAUUUACAUAAUUAAUUAAAUUUUUUGGGUUAAUUUUAUAAAAAAAGUCUAUUUUAUUCAACAUUAAAAUAAUUUUAAUAAUUUGAUCACUAUUUCUAUGAUCCAACGAUUGAUAUGAUAUCAUAAGUUCAUUGUGAUUCUAGGAGUUUAAAUGACUACUUUUAUAUAUUUUUAGCUUUUUAUUAUGUUUUUUUAAUAAUUUUUAUAUUAUUUAUAAAUUUUUAUAAGUUUUUAUAAAAAUUCAAAUAUAUUUUAUUACUUUUAUAAUUUUAUAAUUUUUUUAUAAUAUUUAUAAGUUUUUUUAUGAUUUUUUUUAAUUAUUAUAAGUUUAUAUCAAUUUCAAUAUUUUUUAAAUUGUUAAUGAUAUUUUUCUUAUUUUUAAUGAUAUUUUUUAUAUUUUUAUAUGUUUUUAUAAAAUUUUAAAUAUUUUAAAUAUGUUUUAUUCAUUUUAUAUUUUUUUUAUAAUUUAUUAGAUUUUUUAAAUAUUUAAGUUAUUUUUAUAAUAUUUAUAAGUUUCUAUAAAUUUUAAUAUUUUUAAUAUUUAAUAAUUUAAUAAUUUUAAUGAUUUUUUAAUAAAUUUUUUAUGAUUUUUAAUAGUUUUUAUGAGAAAAUAUUAGAUUAAAUAAAAAAUUGUCACAUGUUAUUAUCUGAUUGAUCCGUCAUGUCACAUCUCAAAAAUUGAGUUAGUAGAAAUUUGGUUAAUGAACUGAGUGUGGUCACGCCCAAUUUUUUUUUAGAUAACCUUAGUACAUUUGUCAAUAUAUAAGUAUCAAGCAUAGUGAUUGAAUAGUGGUGGAGGUGUCAUUGAUGAUCUGAGUUUGAAUCCCUUCUCUCUCAUUAAUUUCCAUUUGGUGUAAUUUUGCUUUAAACCUUAGUAAAAGUCACACCAUAUUUUUAAAACAAUUGUUGUAGGAAUGUGAAUAAGGAAAUAAGUUGAUUUAGUGGUUCGGAGCUUAAAUAAAUUCCUAAAUGUCGUAGGUUUAAGUAUUCACACUCUCAAAUUUCUCCUUAUUUGAUCCUUUUUUGUUUUUUUAUCUCAUUAACAUGCCUAUUUUCUUCACCUUUACCUUGUGUGAUGUACAUUGAACUUGGACAAGGUGAAUUACACAUUUUGUUUUUCAUCUUUUAUUUUUUCUCUCCAUAUUGGAGCCCCUCUCUUUUGUUCCUUCCCUCUCUUCAUUUUUUCUUUUGUUUUAGCCACCAACCACCACCUUUACUUUUUUUCUUCUCCUCUCCUUCACCACCCUUUGCCAACGAAACCCUACUAUCACCACCACCACCACUAGACCUCCUUUUUGUCACUACUCCACCUAUUCAUUUUGCUCCAACGUCACCCCUUGCACCACCACCUUGCAUCAUCGGGGAUAAAACCUUCUUUUUCUCUCAUUUUCUCUAUUUUCCCUUUUAAUUUUCUCCUUCUCCUCUCUAGUGUCGCAACACUCUUCUUUCCCUCCUCCCUAGUCGAGUUCUCGUCAGACUACUGUCGUCAUCAUUGUCGUUGCUGCGGCUCCACUGGCUUUGGUUAUUCUUUCUCUUUUCUUCAUCAUUUUUCGAUCUCCAUCACUCCUAUAGUAAUAAAAAAAUCCUAUAUCCCUAUUUUAAUUAGUUUACUUUUUUUAAAAUAUUAUACUUAAUGACUCACUUUUACAAGUGACUAUUUUUCUCUAGACUUGGUUUCCUCUCCGAUUCGAAACCCCAGUGAUCCAUCAACCCUUUCAAUCCAACCAAUAUAGAGUAAGUAUAGUGGUUGAAUGAAAACCACUAUUCCUUCCCUAAUUUUUACCUUAGGCCGAAUGUGUAUAAAAGAUCAUGGUGUAUUUUCCUUCAAGUAUUAACAUCGUGUUCUACAUUUGAUUAAUGGCCAAUCGAUACCAUCCCGAGAAACCCCUAACGUUGGCAACGAGAUCACAAUUUUCAAUUGAUUAAUUAUAAGAGUAACCUAUCGAUUAGAUCUAAGUGUGGGAGCUCUGAGAGUGGUGAUUGGCUUUGGAUCUACUAUCAUGUGUGGGUUUAAUCUAAAUAAAAUUAGAUAUACAUUAACUCUAGUAUUUAAAUAAAUAUUGUUAUUUGUAUUGUGUUUUAUAUAGAUACUUAAAGUAUUCCAAAAAAGGAGAUUAAACCCAUCGAUGUGUAUUAUACAAAUUAAGUGACCCCAACCAAUUAGUUUAUGAAAAGUAUGUUGUGUGGUUAUGAUUUUUACUGUUUGAAAAGUAUGUUAUUCUCAUUCUUAUGUUAUGUGAUAUAUUGACAUAAUUCAUUUUACAUGAAAAAUAAAUUGUGAUAUUUUGAGAUAUUGGAAUAAUACAUGAAUCACAUGUUAAACAUGCCCUACAUGAUAUUAUGUGUUAAAGAAAUUAGAUUUGUAUGUUUCAACAUGCCCAAUGAGAUAAGUGAAAGCUUGAAACCAGAAAAAUAUGUAUAUAUAUGUUCAUUGUGGCCUUAUCACAUGCAUUGGGUAGAACAUUGCAAGGAGGAAUAAUUGGUGGCUUCGCCCAUAACCUAUAUGGCAACUUGUCUGCAAAAUUGGUGGUUUAUCCACAACCUACAUGAUAGCUUGUCUGUGAAUAUUGGUUGCUUCGUCCACAACCUACAUGAUAGCUUGUUUGUCAAUUUGGUGGUUUAUCCACAACCUACAUGGUAGUUUACUUACAAAUAUUGGUGGCUUCAACCACAUAUAUUGGAGUGAUUGGAUGGAUGAGUUCUUAGGAACUCUUUUUGGAGUGUAGCGGUGAUCGGGAGGAUGUUUUAUAAAAAUUUGAAUUAUUGUUUUAUAAAAAUUGUAUUGCCAUGAUCAUGUGCAUAAAAUUGAUUAUGUUGUAUGAUAAGUAUGUGCUUAUGGUUAUUCAACUUCUUAUAAGACUCACACUGGGCUUUAAAAGCUCACCCAUUUAGUUUCAUAAUCUUUCAGGUGAUUCAUGGACGUAGGGUUUGGAUUCAACAUUCGGAGGAGCUUAUCAGAUGGAACUUUAAUAAAUGGAUUAUAAACUAUUUGAGAUGUCAUUUUAGACUUUGGACAUAGAACUUUUUAUUAGGUUGUUCCUUUACUUUAUAACUCUAAAUUGCCAUGCAUGCAUGGUUAAUGGAUUUACAAGUAUUUUGAAUUAUUGAGUUUAUUUAAAUUAAUUAUAAUUUUUACUUGAUUUUAAAUAAACUUUGUGAUUUUUCUAAAUAUUUUUAAAAGUGUGUUGCGAAAGAUUUUUACCAAAAUCAAUUUUAAGAAAUAAUUAAAAAUAUUACAAAUUCUUAAAUUUAAUGAUUUAAGACGAGACUUCGAUAUAAAAAUGAUACUUUUCAAAUACUUGGUAUUUAAAUUUUGUUAAGUGUUUUUCAAAUACUAAAUUACUCGGUAUUUAUAUUUUAAAGUUUUCGUAAAAACAACUGAAACCUAAUUAUAUCUAACAAGAAAAUGUUUUCAACAGUUGUAAUGUGACUUCCGAGAUUCGGUCAUAACGUCUAGGCCAGGUUUGAGAUGUUGCACGUCAAUUUAUUUUAACUAUUAACGUGAUCAACCACUGAUUUCAUUAAUAGAGAGGCUUAAUUAAUUAUUUUUGUUAACAAUAAAAGCUCAAUUAGGUGUGAAUUUAAUACAAAGCUUACUUGAUUUUUCACAUUUUUGUAAUUUUUUCUUGGCAUAAAAACUUUAUUUAAGAGUAUAUGUAAUAAAAGCACCAUCUAUCCCAUCAAAAUGAACAAAAGUAAAAGAAGUCCAAUUCUAAAGCUUGAGCGUUGCAGUAUCCAACUUAAAAAAUGUUCUUUUUAAAAGAAAAAAUCUUCAAAAAAAAGCUUUUAGGCCAGUAUUUUUUGUUAAUUUUUUCGUCUUCUAAUAAAAUAUCUAGUCCAUUAUUAUCAACAAAAAGUAAUAAUUAAGCUUUUGUCGUUAGUUAAAAUAAUCAAUUAAACCCUUUCGUUAACAGAAUUUAUGGUUGACUACGUUGAUUGUAAAAAAUAAAUUGAUAAAUGAAUCAAAUGAUGACAUAUGAUAAUUUAUGAUUUAAUAUGAUAUUUUCUCAUAAAAUAAAAGAAAUUAUAAAAAAUUAUAAAAUUAUUAAAAUAUAUAAAAAAUAUAAUUAAAUUGAUAGAAAGUUAUAAAAAUUAUAAAAAAUAAUAAAUAUUAUAAAAAUCAAAUUAAUUCUAAUAAAUUGUAAAUUUUUUUAUAAAUUUAACAAAACAUAUUUAAAAUCUUAUAAAAGCGUAUAAAAAUUCUUUAAAAUCUUAUAAAAAGUUCAAUAAAAAAUAUUAAAAUUGAUAUGAACUUAUAAAAAUAAUCAUAAAACUUGAAUUGAAUCAAAUUAGUAGAUUGGACUGGUUAAACAAAAUUGACAAAGGUACUAGUCCAGAGAAAGCCAUUACACCAAUUGACUUGAAAACUUGAUGUUUGAAUCGUUUUUACUUUUUUAAUAUUUUUUUAUUUUUUAAUGUUUUAUUUAAUUGAAAUGGACGGACUGAUUGAACUAGUCAAACCGAAAAACAAGUGGACUAACUAGUUCGUCUAGUAGUCUUGCUCUGAAAACUUUGGUUAGAGUAUUCAUACUAAUGGCCCCUUUGGAUGGGUGUUUACCUCCAGUGCAGUGCAUUUAGCUUUCUUUUUGUGUCACGCUAUAGUAUCACUACAAUAUCUAAUCUCAUCGCGACCGUUGUUUUUACACUAACUAUAACACCUCUAACCCGUAUUUGUCACUGGAACGAGAUUACGAAGCAUUACCGAAAUUUACAGAUCAAUUAAACAGAUAUUUCACCUCAUACAAUAUUCAUAUCAGAAAUCAAUUAAUAAGUCCCUUAUAUGAACCCUCGAGGUCCAAAAUAUACAUUAGAAACAAGUCGAGACUAAACUGAGUACUCGGAGAAUUUUUUGCAAAAUUUCAAAAUUUUUCCAAGGUGCAGGGAACACACGCCCGUAUGGUCAGGCCGUGUGGCUCACACGGCCAAUAAACACGCCUGUGUGGUCAAGCCAUGUGGCUUACACGGCCAAUAAACACGCCUGUGUUUCAGGUCGUGUGAGCAUUUAAAAUAGGGCACACAGCAGUGUCCCAAACCGUGUCCGUACCCGUGUAACUCUCUGACUUGGAUCACAUGUGGCUUGGUCGUGUGUAGAUGUCGGGGUCACAUUGCCAAAGCACACGCCCGUGUGCCAGGCUGUGUGAAAAAUAUUGAGCAUUCUAUUUUGAAUUUUUAAAAUGCAGGAUACACAUGGCAAGACCACACGCCUAUGCGCUAGGCCGUGUGUUACACACGGCUGAGAUACACACCCAUGUCUUUGCCCGUGUGGACGAAAAUAGGCCAUUUCCAAGGCCACUUACCCAAAUUGUCUUUUACCUACAUCAACACUUUAACACAUUUACAAGGCAAUACCAAUCAUUCAAAUCAAGCUAAAACCAAGUUUAAUACAUGUUAUAACAUCCCAUAUGUCUAAGUAUUCAAUUUCCCUUAAUUGAUCCAAUUCAGAUACAUGCAUAUCUUACCAAUUAUACUAACUAAAAUCAAUUAAUUAUGAGCCUAUAUAAUCUUCAUCAUAAAACCAAUUCAAAGACUCAUCAAACACAUUAUGACCAUAUAUAACCACAUCAAAAUAUGUCCAUCACAAGCCAUUCCAAUGGCUAGCUACAACCAAACAUUUACAUUGCCAUCAUUGGUCAUGUUUAGCCUAUACAUACCAUUAUAACUAUUUUUUUUGUCAUAUAUAUACCGAAAAGUCUGAGGGAUAGUGUGAUAUGGUUCUGACUAGCUUCCAACCUUUACGAGCUUCCAAGUACUAUAAAGCAGAGGAAAUAAAAUAGAGUAAGCAUUUUAUGCUUAGUAAGUUCAUAUAACAGAAAAUUAAUUAACUUACCAUCCAUUUACAUUUAAAGUAAACAUGCAAAAUUCAUCUAAAGAAAUUUGGCAAUUUGCCUAAGCACAUAUAACCUUAAAAAACAUAUUAGCCAUGUACUUCAUAUGAAUAUCAAGAACCAAGGAUGAGUUUAUCAUGUAACAAUUUUCAUAUACAUAUGUUUUCCACAUCAUAUAACAUAUACAUUUCCAUAAUAAUUCAUCUCAAGUUCAGAUUAUCCCAUGUCGGAACGUUGCCCGUUGAAUUUAUUUGAAAUAUCGAUGGAUACAUAGGUAGUACACUUGAAAUGUACAAAAUUGUAAUCCGUCAAUUCACUCAUACAAACACAUAAACAGGAAGCUUAUGUGAGCCAUAUAAAGGGAAGCUUAUCUGGGCUGUAUAACGGAAAGCUCAUAAGAGCCAUAUUCAGAAAACUCAUGCGAGCUAAUAACGGGUAACUCCGAAGAGCCAUUAAUCAAGAAGCUCUGGAGAGCCAUUAAUCAGGAAGCUUACAAAGAGCCUUUAAUCGGGAAGCUCACGAAGAGCCAUAUAUCGGGACGUUCAUAAGAGCUGCAGUGUGUCCACAACAUAUGCAAGAUCACAACCGAUUGGGAUGCUCCGAAGAGUUACUAACGGGAAGCUCGUUAAAACCGUGUAAUGAGAAGCUCGAAAGGGCUAAUAACGAGACGCUCUUUCGAGCUGUGAUGUGCCUGCAACGUAUGCAGGACCACGACCAAUUCGGGAACCCUGUAUCAAUCGAAUCUCAUUUAUCCAAAUAGGACUUAAUAUUAAUCGGACAUUGUUAGAUAUGUGAUCAAUUUUAUAUGUAUGAUAAUUUCAAAAUUCACAUAUACAACAUUCAAUUCAAACAUAUAAAUAUACACAAUUUAGUUACAUGAACUUACUUUGACAAGUAUUCGUAUACGCAAAAUCUACUAAUUCGACACUUUUUCUUUUCCACGAUCUAACUUCGUAUUUGAGUUAUCCGGAUCUAUACGAAUGAAUUUAAUAUCAAUUUAAUAUAAUUCAUAUUCAAUUCAAUCCAAUUCACAUUUUAAAAAAAUUACCAUUUUCCCCCUAUACUUUUAAUUAAUUCUGAUUUCGUCCCUAGGUUCGGAAAAUAAAAUUCAUGCAAUUUAAUCCUUAUUCCAAGCCUGGCCAAUUUUUACAUGUAACAAUAACAACCCAUAUAUUUCAAAAAAUUCAAAAUUUUUCCAUGAAUUUUACAUUUUUACAAUUUAGUCAUUAAAUCACAAUUUCAUAAAAAUUCACUUUACAAAAGUUGUUUAUCUAUCAACAACCUUUCAUUUUCUACCAUAAAACUUCAUAAUUCAUGCAUAUUCAUCCAUGGAAAAAUCUUAGUACUUUGAUAACUUUACAAAUUAAUCCCCGAGAUACCUAAAUUAGGCUAUUACAAUCUCGGAAACAUAAAAAUCAUUAAAAAUGGAACUUGAAUACUAAUUGAGCCAAAUAAGCUUGCUACCUUCAAGCUCUUCUAACUAGGGUUUUCAUGUAAAAUAAUUUGGGAAGGAUGAUAAUAUGAUGAUAUUUUCAUUAUUUUAUUACUUAUCAUCUUUAAUUAUUUUUAGUUUCCAAUUUAAUCCUUUUCUUUAUUUAAUUUUCUAUGGAUGAAUCAUCAUACUUAUCUACUAACUCCUCUUAAUGGUCUAUUUUCCAUAUAAGGACCUCAAAUUUUGAAUUCCAUAGCUAUUUGAUACUUAUAGCUACUAAAACUCAACUUUUGCAUUUUAUACAAUUUGGUCCUUUCCAUUUAAUUAGACAUGUAAUCGGUAAAAUUUUCUUAACAAAAUUUAAAUACGACAUUCCUAUCAUACGGUAAAUCAUAAAAUAAUAUUAAAAUAAAUUUUCUUUAGAACUCAGAUUUGUGGUCUCGAAACCAUAGUUUCAAUUUCACUGAAAACGGGCAGUUACACUAACCGUAGGUAAACGCAUUGUCCAUCUAAAGGGGCCCUAAGAUAUUCUAAUGAUUGGAUAAUGAAAUUUUGGUUUGAUAGUAUCUAACUAUACCAAAAAUACUUUAUAUCAUACAAUACUUAGCAAAAAAAAAAUCACUUUCAAUAUCCAAACUACUGUACUGUACUUAAAAAAUUGGAGAUAAAAGUUUUAAAAAUAAAAACAAUAAUUUAUCAAUAAAAAGGAGAGGAUCCCACAAUUAUCGUCUUAGUUUUGAAAUAUUGAGAACAUUUUAUUUAACAUGAAAAUGACCCUAACGAUCUGAUGACUAUUCUCAUUAUCCGAUGAUUGGUGUGAUGUCAUGUGCUCAUUAUGAUUUUAGAGGUUUAAAUGACUUUUUUAUUUUUAAUGUUUUUAUGAUCUUUAUAAAUUUUUUAGUAAUUUGGAUAAUAUCUUAUAAUUUAUUAGAAUUUAUUAUAUUAUUUAUAUGUUUUAAUGAAUUUUUAUAAGUUUUUAUAAAAUUUUAAAUAUAUUUUUUAAUAUUUUUAAUUUUCAAUAGUUUUGAUGAUUUAUUAUAUGUUUAUAAUUUUUUUACAAUACUUAUAAUUUUUUAUUAUUUUAUUAUAAUUUUUAUAAGUUUAUACCAAUUCCAAUAUUUUUUAAUUUUCAAUAGUUUUAAUGAUUUUUUUAUAAGUUAUUAAGAAUUUGUAUAUGUUUUUAAAAAAUUUAAAAAAUUUUGAUUUAUUUAUAAAUUUAUUAGAUUUUUAUAUUUUUAUAAUAUAUAUGAGUUAUUAUUUUUUAUAAUUUUAAUAUUUAAUGAUUUGUUUAUAUUUUUUUAUUUUUAUAAUUUUUAAUAAUUUUUAUAAUUUUUUAUGAUUUUUAAUGUAAAAAUAUUAGAUUAAAACUAAAGCUGUCACAUAUUAUAAUCUGAUUAGUUCGUUAAUUUAAUUUAAUGGUCAACAAAGUCAACAACAAAUUCCGUUAAUUGAGGGGCUUAAUUGAUAAUUUUUGUUAACAACAAAAUCUCAAUUGACUACGAAUUCAAUAUAAGAGUUAUUUUUUUUUUGUAUUUUCUUAAAGGCUUUUUCUAUAUAUAAUCCUUUAUUUAAAAAUAUAUGUAGUAAUUGUACUAUUGCCAUCAGUUAUAUGUAAUAAUUGCACUAUCUAUCCCGUCAGAAUUCCAAUACCAAAGCUUGAGUGUCUCACUAUCUAACUUAAAAAACGUUAAAAAAAACUUAUAUACGAAAAAGGCCAAAAAAAAGCAAAAAAAAAUAAGUUUCUAUAUUAAAUUUGCACUAAAUUCAUUUUUUAUGUAAAUUAAAAUAAUUAAUUAAACUCCUCUGUAAAUGGAAUUCAUAGUUGAUCAUGUUGAUAGUUAAAAUAAAUUAACGGACCAAUUAGAUGGUGACAUAUAAUAACUUUUGUUUUAAUUUAAUAUUUGCUCAUAAAAAUAUUAAAAAAAUAUUAAAAUUAUAUAAACUUAUAAAUUUUUAAAAAGUUAUUGAAAAAGCUUAAAAAAUUAUAGAAUAUAAUAAAUAUAAUAAAUUCUAAUAAAAUUUAUAAAAUUAAUAAAACAUAUUAAAAUAUAAAUUUUAUAAUAAUGUAUAAAAAUUCUUAAAAAAACAUAUAAAAAUCAUAAAAAUAUAAAAAAUAUUUAAAAUUAUUAAAAUCAAUAUAAACAUAUAGAAAUUAUAAAAAAUCAUAAAAAACUUGAAUCGAAUCGAAUCAACCGGUUGAAUCAGUUAGAUUGAAAUAACAAUAGUAUAGGUAUAGAGAAAUCCAUUAGAUCGAUUGACCUAGGAAUCUAGGCUUUUUUUUAUUUAAAAAAAAUAUUUUUUAUUGUUUUAUUUGACUGAACUGGACGGACGGUCGAAUUAGUCAAAUCGACGAACUGAUGGCUUGAUCGAUUCAACCACUAGUUUGGUUCUAAAAACCUUGGUCAGAAUUUUUCAUACUGACAUAUACUAAUAGUUGGAUAAUGAAAUUUUGGUUUGAUAAUAUCUAAUUGUACUAAAAAUACUUUAUAUCAUCCAAUACUUAGCAAAAAAUUUUCCACAACUUGAUUCUAGCAACAUUUAGGAUCUCCACUAGCUACUUUAAGUGGUAGACUCUUAUAUUAAUUGAAGAUUUAAAACUGUUGCUGCAAUAUAAGAUAGGUGCUUGGAAGGAACGAUAGGGUAGUGGGCACUUCUCUGGCACCAAAUUGUAAAUAGUAAACAAACAGAACACACAUGUAGUUUGGUUUUUUUACGUUUAUGGAGCCUAGUUCAGUGAGAAAUAUCAACUCUCUUUAACAAUUACAAUAAGUAAUUCUAACCUAUCACACAUCUUGUGACAAUUUUCCUCACAUUUGCACCUUGAAGAUCAAUACGAUCAGCAUUAAGUCCACCCUUGUGAACUCAGCAAGUAAAACCACAACACAAAUGGUUUUACUAUCAAAUAGCACCCUAAGAAAAGUUCCUUAAUCGAACAAAUUUAAAGCUCUCAAUUCAUAGAUAAAGUGGAAAUAUGAAAAUUUAGGGAUAGGGUAAAAGCACAUAAUAUUUGAGUUACCUAUAGCAGAAACUCGACUCAGCACUUGAUAUAAUGUCAAGUUUUGAUUGAUUCAAUGAGACAAAAUACAUCAUCAACAUGCGACUGCUAAAACUAUAAAAUAAUAAAUAGUAUAUCGUGCUAAGAAAAAAGUGCUAGAUACCGGUAAUGGUAAGAGGAAGGAUGAGUAAUAUACUCUUAGAAGACCCAUAACAUAAAUGUGUUAGAGUGUUAUAAUUAUGGGAACACUCUUAGGAUCUACCUAUGUGAGUGUGAAGCGUAGCCGCUUCUAAGAGCUUUAGGGCUUGACCUUAAUAGCACUCAUGAAAAGAGGUUACAAACACAUGACCAUAAUAAUGUCCAUGAAUACUCUGCAUUGACUGCUGUUGUAACCAUUGUGUGAGAUGUGUUCGGUUAAUCAAAUGGAAUAAUCGGUUCAAAACAUAAUCUACUAUGAAAUUUUGAUUAACUUUAACAUGUCUUCACUAAGUAAAUGUUCAAUUGUAUAACACUUUCACUUAUGCAAUUGAUUACCAAGAUUAUCAAAAUCUAAAAUAUUUAAAAAAUGGAAAGAGAUUGUUGAAACAUAUUCAAAAUACUUAUAAUGUUUCAAUAAUUAUAAUUGAAAAGUUAACUCAUUAAUUCCUAUAAAUAGGAGUGGAAACACAUGUAACUCAUGCGUUUUUGAAGUUUUUAAUACUUUAUAUUAUGUUAUUUUUAUAUAUUAUGUAAUUUAGAACACAUUAAAAAAAUAAACCUAUACUAAAUAUAUAAUACUACUUUAAUAUAAAUAUUAAAAUGAUGUUAAGAUGACUAUAUAAAAACUUUCAAAAAAAUAAAAUAAAAUAAAAAUUAAAAAAUAGUAUGAGCUAGCCUAAAAUGGGUUUGAGUUAUUUUUUUAUAAAUAUGAAUAAGUUUAGAAAAAAUUUUAGUCCCAAUAUUUCAAAUCGAGCUAGACUUGAACAAACAUAAAAAAAAAAAUAUAAUAACAUGUUUAAACACGCCAGGACCCAACCCUUCAAUACCUCUAUAUGCAUCAAGCCUCCUAAACACCUCCACAAUGAUCAUAACCGUCACAACCAACUCCCCUCAUUUAUUUAUUAGCUCUUUUAAAAUAUAUCUAACAAAUCCUCCGUUUCUUUAAAUAUGACCCAUAAAACUUAAAAGACAUACUUGAAGCUUGCAUGAUCUUGCUUUAAUCUUUGCCUUUUGUUUUUUGGGAGAAAGAGAGUGGUUGGCAUCUAAAAGUCCAAUUCAGAAUUUGACACAAUUAAACAGUUUGAUAUUACAUUCCCAAUAUUUGAAUCAAGCCAAUCUUCAGUUUAUAUAUAUACCCUUUAAAGAGAAGCUUAAUUUUUGUAGCUGUUGGUCUGUUUUUGCUUGUAGAACAGUUGCUUCCAUGGGGGUUUCCUCCUUGUUCCUCCAUGACCUGUUUCUUCAUUAAAAUUUAAAAGGAUAUUGCAUGAGAUCUAACUUUGAAAUGACUGCUUGAUGUAAACUCUGAAAUUUGCUUUACUACUAAUAUAUGGUAGGUAAAUGUCAGUGUCAUGUUUGGGGCUAAUGAUAUAUGAUACUAUCAAAUGUUACAGAAUUGCUUCGUUGGUUCCAAGUUUCACCCAUGAAGAUAAUGUGAGUUUUGUGCUAUUAACAUAGAAAUAAGUUCAGAAUCACGUCCAUUAUGGGACAUAGAAUAGCAUUCAUGUAAUAUAGAUUUCAUUGUUUAAAUAUAAAGCUUUGACUUAUCUUUGACGCCACUCUAAAGUUGCUCUAACAACUGGGUCUGCAUCAUACUGAAGUCUAAAAUGAAGCUAUGGGUUUCUUUAUAUAUAUAUAUUAAACAGAGAUAGUUUCCAUCAUCUAAUUAAAAAAAAAAGUACACACCAAACACCCCUUUGCCUUUCACUAUAUAUACACUCUUUUGUAUUCUUCAAUGAAUACAUACUCAAGGAGUAGUUCAUAAGUUCACUCAAACGGAAGAGAAAUCAGACCAAGAAAAAGAAAUGGGAGUUUUUCUUCUUUCAUCACCAGCAUUUCUGGUUUUCUUCUCAUUUUUCACUUUCUGUCUACUUGUUGACCCCGUACUUGGGAUCACCAGGCACUACAAGUUUGAUGUAUGUAUUAAUUUGAUAGGAUUAUCAACCAAAUAUAUGUUUGAUUGUGACUAGGUGUACCUUACCCAUUUUGUAGGUCAAGCUGCAUAAUGUAACACGUUUGUGUCAUACAAGGAGCAUUGUUUCGGUGAAUGGACAAUUUCCAGGGCCUCGCAUUGUAGCAAGGGAGGGUGAUCAGCUUCUCAUCAAAGUGGUCAACCAUGUGCCUAACAAUGUUUCUAUCCACUGGUAUUGAAGUUUACUUUGAAAAUGACAUUAUGCAGAUAUUACAUUUACAUGCUGAAUAAAUUAUCUAUGCUUCAUGAGGGAAGGUCUAAAGUUACAUGCUAGAUAUGGUGAUGUCUUUUCGAAACAGGCAUGGCAUUCGACAGCUUCAAAGCGGUUGGGCGGAUGGGCCUGCAUAUGUGACUCAGUGUCCCAUACAAACUGGCCAAAGCUACGUUUACAACUUCACCAUUAUAGGCCAAAGAGGGACUCUCUUCUGGCAUGCCCAUAUAUCAUGGCUAAGAGCCACUCUUUAUGGUCCCAUUAUCAUUCUUCCCAAGCGUGGCAUACCUUACCCUUUUGCUAAGCCUUACAAGGAAGUUCCCAUUGUCUUCGGUAAUGAAAUCAUAAUGAACCGAUUCAUUAAGAUUCUACAUUUAUUUUGCUAACUCAAAUUGACAUGAACCCCUUUAUGAUAAAAUUGCAGGAGAGUGGUUCAAUGCAGAUCCUGAGGCUGUUAUUAGCCAGGCACUCCAGACUGGUGGGGGUCCAAAUGUCUCUGAUGCUUAUACCAUCAAUGGUCUCCCUGGACCACUUUAUAACUGCUCAGCCAAAGGUAAUAAAUAGCUAAAAUUUUGUCUUAAGCUUUAGACAUACACAUACAUGCACACAUACAUUAUAGAGCUAUGGGAUUCGCUUGUGGACUAACAACUUUGACAGAUACAUUCAAGCUGAAGGUGAAGCCUGGAAAAACUUACCUUCUUCGUUUAGUCAAUGCGGCACUCAAUGAUGAGCUCUUCUUCAGCAUAGCAAAUCACACACUAACUGUUGUUGAUGUUGAUGCCGUUUAUGUUAAACCAUUUGAGACUGAAACACUUCUCAUCACCCCUGGUCAAACCACAAAUGUGAUCCUUAAGACUAAACCAAGCUAUCCAAAUGCCACUUUCUUCAUGACUGCUAGACCAUAUGUGACAGGCCAAGGAACAUUCGAUAAUUCAACUGUUGCCGGUAUUUUAGAAUACGAGUCAUCACCCAAUAGCCUUCAUUCGAGCAUAAUGUUGCCCUUGUUUAAACCAAUUCUACCUGCUUUGAAUGACACUUCCUUUGCUACAAAAUUCGCAAGUAAACUCCGUAGCUUGGCCAGUGCACAAUAUCCUGCCAAUGUGCCUCAGAAGGUUGAUAAGCAUUUUUUCUUCACUGUUGGUCUUGGAACCAGCCCAUGCCAGCAUAACCAAACCUGCCAAGGACCUAAUGGAACCAAGUUCGCAGCUUCAGUGAAUAAUGUAUCGUUUGCAAUGCCGACUACAGCAUUACUCCAGGCUCAUUUCUUCGGCCAAUCUAACGGAGUUUACACCCCUGAUUUUCCUAGCAGUCCUAUAACUCCAUUUAACUAUAUAGGCUCACCACCUAACAAUACUAUGGUAAGCAACGGAACAAAGGUAGUAGUGCUUCCUUUUAAUACUUCCGUGGAGCUAGUUAUGCAGGACACGAACAUUCUUGGAGCUGAAAGCCACCCUCUUCAUCUACAUGGCUUCAAUUUCUUUAUUAUCGGCCGAGGUUUUGGAAACUUUGAUCCAAAUAAGGACCCCGCAAAGUUCAAUCUGAUUGACCCUGUUGAAAGGAACACUGUUGGCGUGCCAUCAGGAGGUUGGGUUGCAAUUCGUUUUCUAGCCGACAAUCCAGGUAAGUGACAUGUUAAACACCAAUUAGAUUCAUCAAAUGCUUGCUUUGAGUUGAUGACCAUUGACAACAAGAACCACAUGCAUGCAGGGGUAUGGUUCAUGCAUUGCCAUCUAGAAGUGCACACCAGCUGGGGCUUGAAGAUGGCUUGGAUUGUCUUGGAUGGUGAACUUCCUACUCAGAAAUUGUUGCCUCCACCAGCAGAUCUUCCUAAAUGUUGAUCGAUAUGACACUUCUUGUGUUAUUUUGGCCAAAAACCUGCCUGAACUUUUUUUUUUUUAAUUUCAGCCAUUUUGAUUUGGUGACUUUUUUUUUUUUUUUUUUGCUUUUGUUUCUGUUUUUGGCAUUGGCCUAUCAAUGGUCCAAAUUUGUUUUCUUGAUUCUUGCGAAGUUAGGACAGUCAGCAAGCAAUUUAUUUUGUAACAGGAUCUGCAAAUUGUCAAUACAAAGAAAUCUCAAUAAUUUAUUGGCAUCCUUUUGUUCAAUCAAUCCUAGCCUCUGAAGCAUAUCUGUACAAUUUGCAACUCCUCCGCACUAAAUUUAUUCCUUUAUUUUCGUUAAAAUACCAUUUCCCUGACUGAUCAGCUCAACCUGAAUCAUACCAACUUAAAUCUAAUAUAUUCUUGGAUAAUUGGAUUAUCUUUCUAAUCGUUGGAACAUUUUGAUUUUCAAAAUAUAUAUAGUGUUUCAAUAGUUGCAAAUGAAUAGUUAUAAGUUAGCAAAAGUUAUAUCACUUAAUUACUAAACAAAAGUUGUCACUAUUUAUAGUGAUUAGUUAUGUCUCUUAGGCUCCGUUUGUUUGACUGAAAAUAGUUUCCGGAAAAUAAUUUCUGGAAAAUGACUUACUGUUCUAGAAAAAGAGUUAAUAUUUUUUGGUAUUUGGAUGAAUAUGUGCAAAAUAUUUGCUGUUGUUUGAUAGAUUUCCUGAAAAUAUUUUAUAAAAAUUGUUUUCAAUAAAACAAACAUACAUUUGAGAUUUUAUUAUAUUUUUAUUGUUUAAUUGAGUUUAUUUCCUAAAGCUUAUUUAUAUUUUAAUUAAUCAUGUUUUAGUUUUAAUUGAUCUUAAUUUACUUAAUUAAACUUAAUUGUUAAUUUCAUACAUUAAGAAAUAUAAAUUUACGUUUAAUUAAGUUGAAAGUGGUAAAUAUUUAUUUUGAAUAUUAUUUGGAUGAGUAAGUCGAAAAAUGAUUUAAUUUGAUAAAAAUUGAAGGACCAAAUUGUAAAAUUUGUAGAAUUUUGAAAUCUAAAGGUUUGAGUAGUGAAAUCUGAAACAAUGAUGUAGUAACUAAAUUAUAUGGUCAUGAAAUAUGAAAAUUUGGAAAGUUGAGCAUAAAAUAGUAAAGCUUGAAAUUAUAGGGGUUAAAUUGUAAAGAUUUCAAAACUUGAGUUUUAGGACUAAUUUACAUUAUUUGAGAAUUUACAAUUUUGAAAAAUAGAAUAUGAAAUUUUAACUGUUCAAAAAUCAAGGACUAAUUUUUUGGAAAUUUUGACAAUUUUAGUUGUAAGGACUAAAUUAUAAAAUCUAGAAAGUUUAGAAAAGGGAUUGUUUUGCAAAAUUGUACAAAACGAGGUUUAGGACUAAAUUGUAAAAUAAGAAAAUCUACUUUUGAGGAAUUAAAUUGUAGUCUAGUAAAAAUUUUGAUUUCAAGGAGUAAAUCAUAAAAAAUAUAAAAUUAGAAUAUAAGAGACUGAGCUUCCCCUUCGUUGCUCUGAAAGCUUCCCCUUUUUGUUUUUUCGAAAGUGAAGACAAUGAACAAAGCCUUAUCAGUUUAGAAAAUGUCUUACAGAAAAAGAAAUUGGUAAAGACAUUUUCGUUAAAAAAGUUUUGGUGUUACCCUUUUCAAGGAAAAUGAUUUCGUUUGGUAAUUCAUUUUCCAUCAAACAAACACCGUAAAACAAUGAAAAUGUUCUACGGAAAAUAUUUUACAUGCAAAUAAACAAACCCUAAGUUUAUAAUAUUUUACAUCAUGUUAUUUUUUAUAUAUUAUGUAAUUUAAAACACUUUAAAAAAAUAAAUCUAUACUAAAUAUAUAAUACUACUCUAAUGUAAACAUUAAAAUAUUGUUAAGAUGACUAUAUAAAAAAUUCAAUAAAUAAAAAAUAUAUAACAUUAUUAAAUAUUAAAAUACCGCAAUAUAAAAAAUUUAAAAAAAAUUAAAAAUAAUAUGGAUGGACCUAAAAUGGGCUUAUGGGUUAGUCUUUUGUAAAUAUGAGCAAAUUUGGGCAAAAUUUUAAACCCAUAUUUCGAGUUGAACAGGGCUUGGGAAAACAUAAAGUAUGUUAAUAUCAUGUUUAGGCCCGAUCUAAUCCAGCCCAUGAACACUUCUAGUUAGAACUCGGAAGUUCUUUUAAUUAUCUAAUUAUAAAAACAAAUUUUUAUAAAUAUUAUUUACUCUUUUAAUAACUUUUCACUUUUUAAAUAUAAUGUUAUUUUACUAAAAUAUUAUUAAAUUUAUUAUUAUUUAUCAAAAUAUAUAAUAAGGAUCUUAACUUAUUAAAAAAAAAUCAUGAAUCUUUUCUAACACAUCAUUUAUAGUCCCUAACCAAUUAUAUAAGGUUUAACUCACAAAUUGAUACAUAAACUAUAUUAUUUUUCCAAUCUUGAUACCCAAACUUUUUUUAGUCACAUGUGAUGCAUAAAUUACUUUUCUUUCCCAAAUUGGUACCUCCGAUAAGUAAACCAUUAAAUGUAUUUAAAAAAUAAGCUUAACCCAUAAAUUGGUACCUAAGCUACGCAUUUUUUCCAUUUUGGUACCUAAACAUUUUUUUAGUUACAAGUGGUACCUAAACUACUCUUUUUCCUAAGUUGGUAUAUAUGCUAGUUUAAUUGUUAAUUAAACUGUUAAGCCUAUUUUUGGAAAAAAGAUAAUAAUUAAAAAUUGACAUGUGGCAAAAAAGGUAAAAACUAUUAUUUUCUCUAAUAUAUAUAUUUCUUUCUUUAGAAUCGGACUGAUGGUCAAAUCGGUUAAGCUACCAAAUUUUAGUUUGAUAAGUUUUUUUGGUUCGAUUAAAUAUGAUUAAAAAUUUAUAAUAUAAAACAUUAAAAAUAGAUAAAACAUGUUCAAUUGUCUUUUUAGCUUAAUUCAACCAGCUUGUAUCGAUUUCCGAGUCAACCAGUUCAAUCCUUAUUUCGAUUUGGUUUUGAAAACACUAGUUAUGAUCAAUGAAAUUAAUUGCCAACAUCUCGACAUCAAGACGGCAAAUUUUAAGCCUUGUUAGUAUUGUCAUACAUUAUAAAACGAAAAGGAAAUGAAAAGAAAUGAAAAUAGAAAAAAAAAAGAAUUAAAAAAUAUUUUUUAAGUUUAUAUGACGUGGCAAAUUAUUAUUGGUUGGAAUUGUUUUUAAUAGACAUAACAUUUAUGUGUAAAAUGGGUAACAAAAGAAUAGUUUAGGUACCAAAAUAGGAAAGACGAACAAUUUCACUAAUGGAGAUACCAACUUGAGAAAAAAAUAAUUUAGAUACAAAACUUAGAAAAUUGGUAUAACUUAAGUACGGAUUUAUGAACUAAGCCAUUAUCCAGUUACAUAUAACUUUAAAAAAUAUUUUAUUUGUUGACACCACUUUAAAAAAAAAACAUUUUUUUACAAAUGUAAAAUAUUAAGCUGUUAAUGAGUCAAUUGACACCACUAUAAAAAAAUUUGUUGACACCACUAUAAAAAAAAAUUUGUAUUCGGUAUGGUAUUUGUUUAGUAUUAAAAAAAUAUUCGUAUUCUUUUGGGUGCUACUUGACUAGUGGACAACACCACUUAAAAAAAUAUUUUUUUACUUCACUGGAAUGAAAAAGCUUGGGGAAAUUUUAGAGUGUCGUUGCCAGACACAUUAGCGAUACCUAAAAAUAUUGUAAAAACUCACCCAUUUUUAUAAUUAAUCUACAUCUUAUGGAUUUUUUACAAAAAUAAUAUUAAAAAAUAAUUAAUUACAAAAUGGGUUGGAGACAAAUUAUUUAAGAAAAUGGGUUGUUUGUUACUGUGCAAAUCGGUGCAUCCUGACAAAUCGGCGGCACCAACCAACAUUUCGGCCAAUCAUUACGUUUAAUUUUUUUAUUGGUGCCAUUGUGUCAAGCAGCACCGAUGUGUAUUUUUUUUUCAAAAAAAUAUUCAUAUUUUCAAGGGUCUACACCUUGAGAGAAAAAUGAAAAAAAAAUUUACCACUUUAAAUUUUUUUUUACUUCACCAGAAUGAUCGGUAGAAGUUGGGGGAAAUGCUAGGGUGGUGUCGCCCAACACAUUGGAAGCACCCACAUAAAAAAGAAUAUUUUUUUAUUUUUUCUCUCAUUGUGUAUAUCCGUGAAAAUACGAGCAUUUUUAAAAAAAUAUACACUAUAGUGUCGUCUGACACAGUGACAACAUCAAUAAGUUUAAAAAAAUGUAAUUAUUGGCUGAUGAUUGGUUUAAAAAUUAGGUGAUAUCGUUGGUGUGUCAGGUGGCACUGAUUUGUAUUGUAGCAAACAACUCAUUUUCGUGGAGGGAUCACAUUGUAUGCAAAAAAGGCAUGAGAUGCAUCAUUGGUAGGAAACAUGUGAAAAGAUCCAUAGCUUGAAUUAUGUCCAAACUAAAAAUCUCGGUCAAACUAAAAAAAAGUUUUGUAGCUUACAUGAAACAUGAUCUAGAUCUGUCUACUUUUAACAAAUUAUAUUUAUACAUUUUAUGAGUUUUAUUUAAUUUUCAAGAACAAGAAACCUAAUUAUUUUAAUUGCUUUAUUGUAUAUUAUUAGGGGAACUUAGUUUUCAAGUCUCUCACAAUGUCUACAAGUUUCAUGCUUGCUACUGUCAUAUUGCUGAUGAUUCUUUCUGGUUCUUACUUUAAAAUUCUCAAGAUUCAAUGUUGUUUUCAUUUUGAUUCUCUUAUUCUUUUGACCCAUAGACAAGUAUCUUUGGCCAUUGAUUAUCUUGAUGGUUGCCUACUAUAGUUAUCCCAUUAUAGCUUAAACAUUGAAAAACUCUAACAUUAUUUUAUAGAAGCUUUAAAUUUGAUUAUUAGAUGUAAUUAAGUUUGCAAUUAAGCAAACAAAGCUCUAAACGACCUAUUGCGGUGCUGAUGUGGCGUUGUGCCGCUUUUUAAUAAUUGUUGCGGCGUUACAUAACAGAUUUUAUCCGCAACGAUCGUGAUGCGAUUUCUUUGAUGCGUUGCGCCGAUAUUGCAUCACGGUAGUUUCUAUUUCAGUUACAAUGAAGCCAUUACGUUGCGUUGCGGCCGCAAUUUAAUACUUUGGAACCGUAGUGGGAAAAAGCCAAGCCCUUGCCACCGUAGGUCAAGUACUCAGUAGAUUGGAGGAUAGGCCUAAAAGUAAAAACGAGGUCAUGGGACUUGAGGAAUAGUUCAGCAGCUUCAAGUGAUGAUACCACAAUGUCUAAAUCAAUGUGAAGUCUAUUAUGCCACUAAGUCAAUAAAUAUAAUUUCCAAAUAAUUAUAUGCAAUAUUCACUUCAGGGAAUAUGCCAAAAUCUUCAAAUGUAGGGCAUUUGGUGUAGCAGCCCGAUUUUGGGCCUAGUCGGAACAGUGGUUUUGGGACCACUAUUUCGAGGCCAGAGAAAAUUAUUUUAGUAUUAUUUUAUGUGUUAUAAUGUGAAUUUAUAAGUGCAUGUAAAUUUUGGUAAGUUAAUUUUAGCAAUUUCUAGUCCAAUUUCGAAAAAGGACUAAAUCGCAUAAAAGGUAAAAGUUGUGUUUUGGUGCCUAAAGGUGUUUAAUAGCUAGAUAAGUAAAAUUGGGGGCUUUAAAAUGGCAAUUAGACUCUUUUAUUGAGGUGGCCGGCCAAGGGAGACAAGAUUGGUUAAAAAGCCAUAUUUUAUGGGAUUUAAAGUGAUUUUUUGGUUAAUAAAAUAAAUAAAGAAAAAGUUGUCAUUUUCUCUUUCAUUUUUUUCUCUUCUCCUCCACCGAAAUAUGCAGCAAAGAAAGGGUUUUGAAGCUGGAAAAUUUCAGCAACAUAUUUCCCUUGCUUGUAAGUGAUUUUAAUGUCUUUGCUUGACGAUUUUUACAUUUUUGGAACCCCUAAAGCAUGAGCUUUCAUAAGAGGGGACUAUUUUGAAAAAUGAUAAAGAGUAUAGGGUUUUUCCAUGAGAUUAAAUAUGUUGUUUGCUGUGUUUUUAUGGAAGAUUAUGAGUCCUAGUUGUCUAAUAAACAACUUUUGUGAAAGAAAUUGCAUGAAAACACCUUAAAAAGGGCUAGAUUGCUAAGUUGUAAAAUGAGUUGUAAAUGUGUAAAAUAGUUGAAAUUAUGAGUUGCUAUAGCUAUGAAAAUGGUUCAUCUAGACUCAAGGAGUAAAGAAAUGUGAUAAAAAUUAUUUUACGAGCAUUGGGGCAAAAGUGAAAAUAUGCAAAAGUUUAGGGGUCAAAAUGAAAAUUUGUAAAAAUAUGAUUUUUAGACCCAUAUGAAUAUGGUGACUGAUUGGUAGGCUAAAUGUGAUAUUAUAGAUCAAUGAAAUCGAGAUUUGGACCUAGAACGGAAAGAAAUCGAUUAAGGGAUGAUUAUGUCCUUUUUACCUUUGUGGUAUCAAGGUAAGUUGAUAUGUAAACAAUACCAUGCUAUACAUGUAUUUAAAUGUUAUCAUUACAUGAAUUGUACAAAUCUUAAUGUGUAUGUGAUUAAUAGAAAUAUGAUGAGACAAAGCCUUAAUAGACGAGGAAAAAUCCCGUUUGAACCUUAGGAAUAGAAUAGGAUACGAGUGACAUGUCACUAGGAAUUAUGAGUCUAGAUGACUAGCUCGAGAGUGAGCAUUGAAAUGUCAUGGGAUAUGAGGUAGCUUUAGCUACAAUUGAGGUACUUAUGUGCAAAGGCUUUUCCGAGUAUCCAAUUAGUAUUCCAAGUGUUCAACGGGUAAUCCGAGGAAAGAGUUGAUGAUGGUCCCAAUGAGGUAAGUCAUUGGUGAGUAUGCACUUGAGUUAUGUUACGAGUUGUGCAAGUAUGUAUACUAAACCUAUGAGAAUGCCUUGAUAUGUGUUGAUCUAUGAUGCAUAAAAUGUGUUCUUACCAUGAUGGAUGAAAUGAUGUUGUAUCAAUUUUGUGAACAAUGAUCAUGAAUGAGUAACUUAGCCUUGACAGAUUUGAGUUAUUGCAGUAGUGUAACUUUGAAAAUACACUAAAAAUAGUGGAAAAUGAGUUAGAGGCAGAAUAAAAUAUGGGAUUAAAUCUUAAUGAGUCUAUUUUCACAUGAAAGAAAUAUGGGAAGAAAAAGAAUUCUAUAUUGUGUGAUAUUUGAAUUCUUUUGAAACAGGGUCUGAAUGAAUUCGAGAUCCCCUGUUCUAAAUUUAUAAAUUCACAAUAAAUUGUAGAAAAAUUAUUAAGAGUCAUACCUUAUAUUCAUGGAUUUUUUAUUGAGUCUAUUUUUAAGGGAAAUAAACGACAUGGUCAUUGGAAUUCUGUACAGGGAGAAAUUUGGUUCGUAGUGCACAAGGGUCAGAGUAGUUAUACCCUGAAAUAGGGAAGACUUUAACUAAUAAACUGUACUAAAUGGCUCGACCAAAAAUUCUGGAAAUUUUAUGGAAGAAAGAUAAAUGAGCCUAGUUUCAGAGAAAAUUUAAGGAACUUAAUUUAGAGUUUUAUAGCUCCAGAGAUAAAUAAUUUAGUGACUAUUUCUCAGGAAGACAACUUACAGUGAAAUUAUGAUUAUGUGGUAAACAUUGACAAAAAUUUGUUAAUGAGUUGCUUAUUGAUUUCUUAUAAGCUUACUAUGAUCUGUAGGUGUGAAAUUCGAAUAUAUUAAAUAUAUAUAUUAUAUUUUGAAAGUGAUGCUUGAAUAGUCGAAUAAUGACUAGUUUAAAGUUGUUGAAUUUAAGCUCAAGAGCAUAGAAGGGCAAAUUCGGAUAAGGGAAAAGAGAAAGUAAUCGAAUAGCCGUUGUAAUCGUACGACAACAUUCGAGGUAAGUUCAUAAGUAUAUAAAAAUUAUUGUGAGGUUGAAAUAUGUAAUAUGUGUAUUAGAUUUGAUGCACUACGUGUGCGAUAAAGGCAAUAACUACAACAUUUAAAAUGGCGCUGGGUGCGUGAGAUUGUAAUAGCAUUGGCUGAGUAAAUGGAACUAUGUGGGUGACAUAGAUAUAAGUUCGGUUUAAUGUAAUGGCACUAAGUGUGCGAUAUAAUUAUAGCUUCCGCUAAUUAAUUGGCACUAAGUGUCGAUAUAAUUAUAGAUUUGGCUAAUUAAUUGGCACUAAGUGUGCGAUACAAUUAUAGCUUCGGCUAAUUAAUUGGCACUAAGUGUGCGAUACAAUUAUAGCUUCAGUUAAUUAAUUGGCACUAAGUGUGCGAAACCAUUAUAACUUCGAUUAAUUAAUUAGCACUAAGUGUGCAAGUUUGUUGAAUGUUCAAGGAUGAUUGAAUGAAUUAAUGUUUCGAGCAUUGAAAUGAUAAGCAUGACAGAUAAGAAGGUAAUGGUACAGGUAUGUACGAAACCUAUGUGGUGGAUGAUGUUAAGUAUGAAGUAGAUGAAAAUUUAUGUAAAUGAAUGGGGAAAUAUUAUUCGGGCCUUUGAGCCUAGCAGGCUAUAAUGUCAGUGAGAUACUAUUCGGGCUUUCGAGCCUAGCAGGCUAUAAUGCUGGUGAAAUGAUAUCGGGCCUCGAGCCUAGUAGGCGAAAUGCCGAUGAUUUGAGAAAAGUCUAAGACUAAGGUACCUCGUGUUAGAUUGACAAAUGAAUACAUUCAAUACGUUAAGAGGGCCAGGUACGCAUUAUGUACUCAUAUGUGAGUUUGAUUUGAAUUGAAUCAUAAGUGUGAUGUGAUACAUAUGUGAAUAAAUGUUAUAACUAUAUAUAUGACCAUGAUACAUUCGGUCAAGGUGUGAAAGUAUGUGAAAGUAUUUGAUUUAUUUAUGUUAUAUGAAUUCUGAUUAAGUGUUAUAAGAAUGAUGAAUAUGCAUUAUGUGCUUGUGUAUAUUCGGCCAGAUGGCAAUAUACUUAAAAUAUGGCCUCUUGAGAAAUUGAAUAAUCGAAGUAUAAUUGUAUUUAUUUGUUUGCGGAGUUCGCCGGAGAUAUUAUCACACUGUCGAGCUAACACUAUGGGUGUAGUGAUUUCAAAUACUUUGAGUCUAUGGCAUGUAUAGGUGUGUAAAUAUUAGAGUAUGUGAUUUGGCUUUAACCAUAUGUGUUGGCCUAUUUUGAUUAUAGGGUUGUAAAUCUAUUUUAAUUAUGCAUGAAUGUGCUAUGGUAUUAUGUGACGAGUUUAUAAUGAUUAAAGCAUGAAUUUUCCAAGUUUUUCUUAAGUUCUCGGUUUAGUCCCGAACCACCCCAGAUAUAUGUUUUGGGUCUCGUGAACCCGUUUAAGGGACAAGAUUGUAUGUGAAAAGAAAAGUUUUUAAUUAUUUGAGAUUUCAUGGCCCUGUUUAGUGUAGAAGUGUUAGUAAAAUUCAAGUAGCACCUCGAACCCCGUCCUAGCGUCGGAUGCAAGCGAGGGGUGUUACAUUUGGUCUAGUGGUAUGAUUUUAGCUUCGGACGCGAGAAGUCUUGUAAUAGCUCGAUUUUUAGUGGUGUCGGAAACAGUGGUUUCAGAGCCACCAAAUCUGGCAAGUAAGUUUGUAAAUAUUAUAUUUAAUAUUUAUGAGUUAUUUUUUAUUUUAAAAAGGUUUUUGAUAUAGUGAUUUUUGUUGUAUAAAUGAUUUAUUAAGUUCAAGUGGUUUUAGAAAAUGAGGUAUUGAGACCUCGUUUCUAUAAACCGAGCCGCAAAUAUUUAUAAAUAUUUAUGGAGUGUAAUUAAGGUGGUAUUAAAUUUUUUUUGGAAAAUUUUAUCGUUUCGAUAGUUAAUUAAGCAAAAAGGGCUAAAUCGCAUAAAGUGUAAAAGUUGUGUUCUAUAAGUAAAGGUAUUAAAUAGCUAUAGAACUUUAAAGUGGAAGUCCUUAUACGGUAAAUAAACCAUUAAAGGUGAUAGUGGAUGUGCAUAGCUUGGCAUUAGUGUAAUUUUUAAAUAGGUAAAAGUAAAAUAGUAAUUUGAUUAUUAAAUUAAAUUAAAUAAAAACCAAAAUGUUAUAUCAUCAUUUUGGUGUCUUCUUCAAGAAUGAAAAGGAAAAAGAGAAGCCAUGGAUGCUGGAAAAUUUCAGCCAUGUUUUUUCAUUGCAUGUAAGCCCUUAAGCUAUUAAUUUCUUGUAAUUUUUAUGUUUUUGAGAGCGUUGCAAUUAGGUCCAGCUAGCCCGUACCUUUGAUUUUAAACUGUUAAAGAUUUUGAAUGUUGCCAUUGAUGAAUCUUGUGAUUUUUGAUGUUAGAUGAUGAAUUUGGAAUGUUGAUUUAUAUUUAAAAGUAUUUUGUUAAGUGGUUUUGAUGAAUUUUUUGAUUAGGGACAAAUUUGUUAAAUUAAUAAAAGUACAAGGAUUAAAUGUGAGAUUUUUGCAUAAAUGGGAUGUUUUGGAUACCAGGAAUUUUUUUCUAAGCUCAAUUUGGGGUAAAAAUGGUUAAUUUGCAUGUUUUGGGCUCAGGGACUAAAUUGAAUAAAAGUAAAACUUUAGGGAUAAUUUUGUAAAAAUGUCAAAAAUGAAAAAAUUGUAUGAAAUGAAUUUUUUAUUGUCUAAAUUAAUAUAUUGAAUGAAAUUAUUAAUUUAGAUCAAGAUCGGGUGAAAAAUCGAGUUAAAUAGUAAAUUAUCAAAAUGCCCCUGAACUUUGGUAUUUCUGUAAUUUAGCCAGGUAAGAUUUUAUGAACUAUACUAUGUAUAUUGUUGAUUAAAUUGGAUAUAUAUAUUAUACAAUUUAGCUUAUAAUGAAACGAGGAAAAUUCAACAACGCACAACGACUAUCGAGUCUCGUUUGAACCUUAGGAAUAUUUAGAAUACGAAUGACAUGUCAUUAGGGGUUACCGUGUUAUGGGUGCUGGUCUUAUAUGUCCUAUCGAUGGCUGAGUUUCCAGCAUUUGUUGCGGUUACUUGACAGCUUGUGUUAGCAGCACCAUGUAGCUACGUCUCGACUGACAGCUUGUGUGAGCAGACCCAGUUAUGGCUCAAGUGAGAGCAUUGAUAUGAGAUAUGAGAUAGUAGUGGCUUCGACCACGUGUAGGCACAUAGUGUGCGAGACUCCAUUGUAUCCGAUAUUAUUCUAAGUGGUUUAACGGGAAAUAUGCUAUUACGAGACGCUAUGAGUUUGAUACAAACUAAUACUAGUAUAUACAUGAAAUAUAUGGAAAUGAUGGUACAUGAUAUAUUGAUAUAUUGAAAUGGAUGAUAUAUGUAUAUGAUGAAACGGAAAGAUAAUGAUAUGUAUCAUGACAUGCACAUAUAUGAAUAUCUUUGAUAUAUUGAUACAUGAUAAUUAUGUAAGUUGAGACAAGUAAUGAACUCAAUUGUGACAUGUUGAGAAAAUAAAAUUAUCAAUGUUGAAUUUAUAUGAAAUAUGUUCAAGUACGCUAACAUGUGUUGCUGUUUGAUGCUUAGGCAAGUGCCAAGCUGUUGGCUGAAUGAUAUUAUGUUUACAUAUAAGUCGUAUUGAAAUGGUAAGUGCUCAAAUGAAAAUAUGCUUAUACUCAUGAAAAAGUGAUAAUGUUUAAAAAUUAUGCAAAUUCUUAGGAAAUGGUUUAUCAUGUGAUUAAUUCUAAAAGAGCUAUGCUUAAAUGCACUACCUUGUGGCUAUGGUUGAUGAUAUGCUUGUGUCUUGUGUACUAUGUAUAUGAAAUGAGUGAUGAAAAAGAGAAUGAUGAGUUGAAUUGAUGAUGUUAUUUAAGCUAAAGAAAGUAAAUGUAAUGGAAAGUAAUGACAUGCAAAUGAAAGGAAGAAAAUUGAAAGAGAUUUAAAGUUUUCAUAAAAUCCUACUUUGUUAAGGAUGAUAGGUAUAAGUGAUGUUGUGGAAUUAUUCAAUUUCUAAGUUGUUGAAUUUGGUUUCAUGAAUCGUGUGGUAUCGGUAUAUGAUUAUUCUUGAUAUGUAUAAAUUUCAUAUUUGAAAUGGAUAGAUAUGAUUAAAGUUUAUACGAGCUUACCUUAGCAUUAUUGCUUACGUAGUUAUUUUUCUUUACUUACAGACUAUUGGAAGCUCGAUUGGGUUGGAAGCUCGUCAAAGAUUUAUCACACUAUCCAGCAAUUAUAUCGGUAGAUUUUGAGGUCUUGGUUAAGGUUAUAAUGGCAUGUAUAGGUAUUUUGGCUAAUGUUAGCCCAUGUGUUUUGGGUGUGGAAAUGACUAUUUGGUUAGUUUGCAUUUUGGCCUUGUGUUGGUAAAAUGAUAUAUAUUAUAAGGUGAAUAUAAUUAGCCUUGUAAUGGUUGAUAUAUGACUUAUUAUGGUUGAAUGAUGGUAGAUAGAAAAGUAGUUGAAUGUGCAUAUUAGAUAUGACAUAUAACUUGUUGUGAAUUGGUGUUUUGCCAUAUUAAGCAUAUAUGUGUUUUGAUGCUAUUGAUUAUGUGGUACGGUUGGUACCAAAUGGUAUGUUUUGGUAAGUGAUUUACAUGUUGUGUAAUGUUGCAAAUUUAGUUAGAAGUCAAUCAAUUAUUUUGGCCAAAUUGAGUACAUGGUUAAACAACCAUACAUGUUUUAAAUGUUGUCAUUUGAGGUGCCUUUGGGCAUAUUGGUUGGAUGUUAUUAUACCAUAUGUGUUUGGUUUGAUUAAGCAUGAUUUUGGUGCCUUUUGAGGGCUCACGUAUAUGUGCAAAAGGGAUUUUAGGUACAUGUUGAAAAGGACAAGAAAAAUGGUUUGUAAAAUAGCCUAUUUUCGUCUACACGGGCAGAGACACGGGUGUGUGUCUUAGCCGUAUGUGACACAUGGCUAAAUAACACAGCCGUGUGUCCCCUGUAGUUUUCAAAGGAUUGUAAGUUAGGUUUUAAGCGGCCUGGCCACACAGCCGUGUGACCCUUGCAGUUUGUAAAUUUUCAUUUUUUCCUUAAAAUUUCUAUAUGUUUUUGUUUUAGUCCCGAUUUAUUUCUAAUGUGUUUUUAAGGCCUCGGGGGAUCGUUUAAGGGACAAUAUGUAUGCUAUUGAUUAGUUUUACUGUGAUUGAUGAUAUGAAUUACAUGUUUUAUAAUUUUUUAUAGUCCUGAAAUGUAAACUCUGGUAAUGCUCUGUAACCAUAUUCUGACGGUGGAUACGGGUUAAGGGUAUUACAAGUCUCGAAUUUAAUUCAAAAUACUUUUAAAACCCUUUUAAUAAGAGUUUUGCAUAAUCAUUUAACUACCAAAAAUAAUUGCCUAGGUCGUGUAUAGAAACAAGUCUAUACUAAAUAUAUCAAUAAAUGUCACAUCUCAAACAUAAAAAAUAUAACAUAAAUUUUUUUAUAACCAUCAUCAUAAACAUGUAUGAAAUUUAAUUCAAAAUCCAACCAUUCAAGCUCAUAGAACUUUUCAUUUACAAUUGUUCAUAAUAUUUCUCUAAAUAAUUAACAUAUGGAAUAGUAUAAAACGUAUGAACGACUACCUUUAACAAUUCUUUGAACUAAAUCAAAUCCGAAUAACCAUAAAAGUCAUUGGUUUAUUAACACAAAUUUGCAUACUAGAUAUGUUUUAAUCAAAUAUAUUAUUUAAUUAUAAAACCUACAAUAGCAACAUAAAUAAAUCAGUUAAUAUUGAUUUUUAUGAACAAAUUAAAUGCUUAAAACAAUAUGUAAUCCAUGUAAUCAAAACUUAAAAAGAAGACCAUCUCAAAAUAUUUAAAUCAUAUAUCAAGUUGAUUUAAUAUUUAAAAACGUAAUUUUUUUCUUUUCUUUUUUUGUUCUGUGUUGAGUCUUGAUAAUAAGAAGUAAGCAAAUUAAACUUCAGUAAUAGACUUUGAAUCCAACCAAAAUCUAUUAAUAGCAAAUUUUGAGAGUGAAUCUUAUUUUCCAAGUAUACAAAAGGUACGUAACCAAUGACUCUUCAUAAAUAAAUUGUCUCUCUUCUUAAAAAGUUCUCGAAAAUUAUUAUUCUUUUCUUGCUUUUUUCAUUUUUUCACUUCUAGUGGUGAGAAAAAAUUAUUACUACAAUCUUCAUGACUAUUAUUAUAGUCCAAUUUACUACAUCCAUGUUAAAAAUUAUGUCUUUCGAAUUUAUUACAUAUUGUUACAUUCUCUUCAGGGAAUUGGGGAAUUGUUAGGUUUCGUAGUUAAAAACUUUUGUUCAAUCAUAAGUAAAUUUUUUUUCAUGAUAUUGCUACCAUAGGGGCACAUUUGAAUCAUGUAAAGUUGAAUAAGUUCUUCCUUGUAAGGUUUUUAUCAGUAAUGUUUUUUCACGUGAUUUUAAUUGAGAACUUAUUUUGAAUACUGUAGAAUUAUACUCACAGUUUUAAAAAACUUGCAACUUCAGGUGUAUCAAACCAUAAUGAGCUUUAGAUAGAUUUACCAUAUUUUAUUUCUUAUAAGUAGAUCUUUAACAGUUAAAUAUUUUGCUUUCAGCUCCUUAAUGAGGAUGAUGACCAAAGGAGAUCACAAAAAUAGUCACAAUUAAUUCAAUUUAAUAACAAGAGUAAUCAAUAACUUAAUCCUCCUUUUUUUUAAUCAUUUCAAAAUAGAUAUUUAUAGCAAUAGUGAUUCAUAUGAAAUAUAAGCUUUUCUUCAUUCACAAUCUCAGUAUGAGAUCCAUUACAAUGAAUAUAUUUUAAAACUAAUGCAUUAACCAUAAAAAAAAUUGUUCUUUUAGAUAUUGAUAUAUUAGGUCUUUUGGAGCUUUCAACUAAUUUUGUACUAUCAAAUAUUGAAAUAAUAUUUGUUUAUUUCAAUAACAAAUAAGGUAAAUAUUUUCUAUUUGUAAUGAUAGAAUUCAUUACUACAUUCUCAUAUCAUUCCUCAAAGAAUAUUAACGAAACAAAAUAUUUGGACAUAUGCCACAUAUGUGGUCAAUAAUCUUUCAUAUCACAUUGAUAACAUAUGUUAUCUUUAACCUUUAAAGAAUUAUCUUGAAAAUUCUCAUUGUUCUUUUAUUUAUUAUUAUAUUCUCACUUUUAUUGGUCAAUGAUUAUAUCUUUCAAUUUCUUUAUAUUUUCUUUCACUCCAGGGAAUGCAACAAAUUUGGUAUGACAAACUUCUAAAUUCCUUCAUUGAUUAUUUAUUUCAUUAUCACAAUCGCAAAACAUGCGUGGAUUUCAAAUCAAAAUCUAUUUAUUCAUAUUAUCAUGAUUAGUCUCAAUUAUAAUAAACAUGAUAUAAUAAAUAAAUCAUAGUAAAAUAUACUUAAGAUUCUUUAACAUCAUUGUUAUCACCCUGGCUAUUAUCACUAGCACCAUAAUGCAUAGGCCUCAAUUGAGGACUUAAAUAACAAUAGCUCUAGAAGGCAAUCGACAAUAGCUUGAGUAGCAAAUUUGAGUAACCGGCUAUUGCAUUAGUUGUUGCUUGAAAGGGGUAAGGCUUGGUGAAAGGGAAAAAAAUUUUGUGACUAAUGAAGAAAAACAGUUAAAAGAUAAUCGUGCUGAUAACGUGUUAUAAAAUAAAUAGACAGAAAGUAAAGAACAAAGAAAAUGAGAGAGAGCAAAAAAAAGCGUAUUUUAUUGAUCAAUCAGAGCAUUUAUAAAAUUUCUUCAAAUUCUCUAUUUAUAUGCAUAAGAAAUAUAAAUGAAGUAGCGAUCUACUUCUAAUGGCUAUUAGAAUUUAAAGUACAUCAAAAAUUAUCUUGAUCUUUAUAGACAUCCACUUAAUAAGAUAUUCAUAACAUGUAUAAUAAUAUUAAUUAUUUAAAAAUCAUAUAACAUAACUUUUUUUUUACUUUUGACUAUCAUAUUUAAAAAGAAUAUUUUAACCAUCAACCAUAAUUUUUUACGGUAAUAGAAAAUAUUAAAAAUUCAUAAACCACAUUUUUUUACCUUAUUUUUCAAAACCACUUUAUUUUUAUUUCCUAUAACUUUUCAAAAGUACUUUUGUGGCCAUAAGAAAUGUUAAACAGACAAAUUCUAAAAACAUUUUUGAAAAACACUUUUUAACCACAACAACUAAUAGAAAACUAUCCCUAAGGUGAUGAAAGGCGACAGAGCCACCCAUAACCAAGCCCAAAUGAGAACCUUCAGCUGAGGAGCUCACUUAAAACAACGGGACUAUGAUAGUUACCUUUAUUUUUUCGAUAAUUGAUAUGUAUCUUAACGUAUCCUUAAUUAACACACUUUAACCAACUAAACGAUAAGUUGGGUUUGCAAGUAAAUGAUUAGCCCUUGGCAACGUGAUCCCAAACUUCUCAGUCAUAUCAAGUUCAUCAGGUAACAUCCCAUCAGUCAACUCCCAAUCAAAGCAAUGAACUAAUUGAGCUAUAAUUAGACGCAUGUUGGUCAACCCCAACUGCAUUCCAGGACAUCCUCUACGGCCACUCCCGAACGGGAUGAGUUGGAAAUCAUGUCCUCGAAGGUCUAUGUUGCUAUCCUUGAACCUUUCUGGAAAGAACUCUUCAGCAUUGUCUGACCAUACUUUGUGGUCUCGCCCCAUGGACCAAACAUUCACUAAAAUCCGCGACUUCUUCGGUAUGAAAUAUCCAUCAAUGGUGAUAUCUUUUGUCGACUCACGUGGAAGUAGUAAGGGUGCCACCGGAUGCAACCUUAAACUCUCUUUGAUGACCAUAUCUAAGUAAGUAAGCUUUGGUAGAUCCGACUCUUCUACCAUUCUAUGCCUUCCAACAAUUCUUUCUAGUUCUUGUUGGAGAGCAACCAUGACUGGAGGAUGCCUUAGAAGCUCUGCAAGUGUCCACUCAAUGGCUGUAGUUGUGGUGUCAAAUGAAGCUGCCACCAUGUCCACCAUUAUGGCCUUGAUGUUUUCUCUACCAAUGAUGUACCGCUGCUCUUCAUCGUUAGGAUUCAUGGGCGUAUUCAACAAUGAAAGCAUUACAUGAAAGAAAUCUGUGUAAGGUUUUUGCUCCUUGGCGUUAGUCCCUUGUUCAUGCUCAUCAAUCAUUUUGUCAAUAAUUGCGUGAAGCCCAUUGCCUAUCCUCUUAAGCCUUCUUCUAUAUCCCUGCAGUGUAAUAUAUUAUUUUAUUCUUCAUUACUGUCAAGUCUUUGUGAAAAUACUAGAUUUAUUUGGUGAAUCAAGUAUUUUAAUUUUUUUUAAUUCGAACCAGAUUAUUUCUGGGAAAGGUGAAGACAUAACCAACUUGAUAUUUUAAUCUUUUAAAAAUCUAUAAAAUCAAAUUAUUCAAACUUAAUUAAACUCUUAAAACAUUUCUUUAUAAUUAGACUAGAUCGGUCGAUUGAACCGAUUGGGCUAAGAGUUAAUAGAGUUAUCGGUCUGGAAUGAAGGGUUAAAUUAAUUGAUCCAUGAAUUAAUACGAACUAAUUGAACCGACGAUUGAAUAAGUUUUCUUUCUUUUUUAAAUAUAUAUUUAUGAUUUUUAAAUAAUUUAUUCAAUUAAAAGAAUGCUUCAAUGGCUUCUUUUGAAACUUAAUUAUUUGUUUUCAAACUCAAGUUUUUUUAUUAUUAUUAUCAAUUAUUAUCAAUUUUUAGUGAAUUACAAUAGAAGGGCAAAGCCCUAACAGCAACGCAAAUAGCGUGAGUUGGACCUAGGUUACACCUAGAGCGGUGAAUAUCCUAAUCAUCAAGUUAACACAUAGGGUUCUUUAUCAGUUUUUUUUUUAACUUCAGCUCUUUGGCUUCGUGACAAACUUUUUUUUUUUAAUUCAAAAGGGUGCUGCUUGACACAUUGGCAACACCUAGAUAAAAAUAAUUUUUUAUUUUUUCUUUCAUCAUGUAUAUCCGUGAAAAUACAGGUAUUUUUUAAAAAAUAUAGUACUGCCUAACACAGUGACGAUACUAAUAAAAAAUUAUUUAAAAAAACAUAAUUAUUAGCCAAUAAUUGAACGAAAAAGUAGGGCGAUGUCACCAAUGUGUCAGGUGGCACCGAUUUACAUUGUAACAAGCAACCCAAUUUCGUAAAUAAAUUUUCCCCAACCCAUUUUUAUAAUUAAUGAAAAUUUUUAUAUUAUUUUUAUAACAAGCGACAUCUUAUACAAUUUUCAUAAUUUAUUUAUUUUUAUAUUAUUUUGAUAAAAGAAAAAAACCCAAGAUGGAGCAAGUAAUUACAAAAUAAAUUGUGAAAAGGAAAACAGUGCAUAUAAAAUAGGAUAAAAUGAGAAAAAGAAAGGAUAUUCACCUGAAGGUCAAGUGGAGCAAGAAAAGGUAAAUAAUCGGACAGAUUAAAAACCCCAGCCAAGAUCAUGGUCUCGUCAAUUAGCGGUUUAAAUUGGAAUUUAUCAUCCAUGGAUUGCCCGAAAAUCACUUUACACAUCAUUACUUCAGUAACCUUACCUACCUUCCGGCUAAGGUCCACCGUCUCACCCGCCGCCACUGCCUUCCUCACCGAUUCAACCAAUGACACCACCUCUUUCUUUCGUACUGGGGCAAAGCAUUCGAUUUUUGAAGCGCCAAGGAAGUGCAAAGUGCACCAUUUCCGUACAGUUCGCCAAUAGGAACCGUAGUGGGUAAAAGCCAAGCCCUUGCCACCGUAGGUCAAGUACUCGGUAGAUUGGAGGUUAGGCCUGGAAGCAAAAACGAGGUCAUGGACCUUGAGGAACAGUUCAGCGGCUUCAGGUGAUGAUACCACAAUGGUUGGCACAUAGCCUAGCUUUAUUGACAUUAUGGGUCCAUAUUUUUUGCCGAGAUGGUGAAGGGUUUGGUGAGGAAGGUUCCCUAGCAUAUGGAGGUUACCAAUAAUGGGAAGAGGAGAAGGACCGGGUGGAAGUUUCCGACCAUUUUUGUGGUGGUUUGGUGGGCGAAAGAAGUAGAUAAAGGAACAAAUAGGUGCAAGGAGUACCAAGAAUAUGGCUAACGUUGAAUAAUACAUUUGGAAUGAGAUAGGAGAGGCAGCCGAUUGACAAUUGCACCACCUGAUACGCCAGUUUAAAUAAGAAAGGAGCAAAUAUGAGUUCCAAGGUCAUCGACAACUGGGUGAAAGUAGGUGAAAGUAGGGGUGAGUAUUUUAUCGAGUCGAGUCGAAUUGAGUUAAAAUAAUUUGAGUUAGUUGAGUUGAUGAAUCCCAUUUUAACAACUGAACUCAAUUUGAAUUUUUUUCAAAUCUAAUCGAAUCGAGUUAAGUCAAGUCGAGCUAACGAAUCCUAUUAUUUUUAUUCAAUGUUGCCUUUACAUUGACCGAUUAUUUAACUAAUAGACGAAAUAAAAGAUUAUUUAACUAAAUAAAAAAAUAUAAUGGUUUUUAAUUUAAUAGUUUUGACUUUUAACUUUAGAAAAUGUAAACAUUUAUUAAAACAACGUAGUUUUGUUUUUUCUUAAUCGGAUUUUUGGAUAACUCAAAUUGUAUAUUUCAUAUUCGAAUUAAACGAAAAAAUUUAUUUUUUUAUUCGAGUUUAUCUGAAUAACUUGAUUAACUCAAAUAACUUGAACUAUUUAAUUCAAAAUUUAAAAUUUUUAUCGAAUUUUACUCCCCUAAUUGAAAGAAGUAAAAGUAGACUUUUAUAUUAGAUUUAUUUAAAAUAAUGUAUUUAAAAUGUGGGUUUCAUGCGUCAAACUUAUAUAUUGAUUGUUAAUACAAAUCUCUGGUGAGGAAAAUUUAGAACACACGAACGGAACUCGAACAGAAAAAGAAAUAGGACAAGGCUCCAAGGCGUGUAUCAAGCCACUAUCUUUAAGGUUAUAUUCGCCCCCACCUAUCUUCGGUGUGCAAACGAGUUUUAAGCAAAUUAACCUCGAGGAUAUAAUAAAGCCAAUGGCUAUUUGCGUUUUGCACUAACGAGAAUAGCCCACUAUACACUGAGCAAUGUAUGACAAGGAACUCAAUUUCUAUAAAGGAUUUCUGCUGUAAUACUUUAUAGAAUAAUCUAAUAUUAUUAGAAUAUGAAGGAAGGAAAGAAACAAUAUUAGAAUUUGUUGGUAUGAUUUCCAAAUGAAAUCUCAUUCCUAUUUAUAGGAAUUUUCAUGUCUCUUUAUAGAGACAUCUUUCAUCAAUCGGUGUCUUUUUGAAUAAUAAUGUCUUUAAAAUAAACACAUAAUUAUUCAUUUAAUUAUAAUUAUUCAAAUAAUAUUAUUUAAAUAGUUAUAAUUCUUUUUUCAAAAAAUCAAAUAAUAUAAUCUUUUGAUUAAUUACACCCAUUCAUUUAUAGUUAUUGGAACACUAUAAAUAUUUAAAAAUGUUCCAAAAAUCUCCCCUCAUUUUCAAAAUAUUUUAGAUUUUGAUAUUCUUGGAAAUCAAUUUGCAUAAAUGAAGGUAUCUUAUGAUUGAACCUUCACUUAGUGAAAACAUGUUAAAAGUUAAUCGAAAUUGCAUGGUAGACUAAGUUUUGAACCAACUAUUUCAUUUGAUUAACCGAACACAUCUCACACAAUGAUUUCAAUAUCGGUCAAUGCAUAGUAUCUAGGGACACUAUUAUGGCCAUGUGUCUGUGUCCUCUUUUCAUGAGUGUUGUCAGAGCUAAGCCCUUGAGAUCCUAGAAGUGGCCACACUCCCACUCACAUAGGUAGAUCCUAUCAAGAGUGUUCCCGUAAUUAUAACACUCUAACAUAUUUAUGUUAUGCUUCUAUUAAGAGUACAUUAGUCAUCCUUCCCUUAUCAUUACGGGUACCUAGCACUUUAAUCUUAGGAUGGAUUUAUUUGUAGUGCUAACAGUCACAUACUAAUGAUGUACUUUGUCUCAUUGAACUCAAGACUUGACGUUAUACCAAGCGUUGAGUCAAGUUUCCAUCAUGGGUGACUCUAAUUAAUGGGCUUGAGUCCCAUCCCUUUUGAGGUCCUUUUUACUGCAUCUCUAGCAAGACUUUUUGUCAAAUGAUCUGCCAAAUUUUCACUUGACCUCACAUAAUUAAUAGUGAUCACUCCAUCAGUGAUUAAUUGUCGGACAUAACUAUGUCUUAAUCCAAUGUGUCUAAACUUUCCAUUAUAUACUUGCCUAUAUGCCUUUGCUAGAGUAGCCUCACUAUCACAACGGAUAGAAAUAGGUGAAAUUGGCUUAAGCCAUAAAGGUACAUCAUAAAGCAAAUUUCUUAACCAUUCUGCUUCUUUAGAUGCAGCGGCUAAUACAAUAAAUUCUGCUGCCAUGGUGGAAUCAGUAACACAUGUUUGUUUCUUGGAACCCCAAGAAAUGGCUCCUCCACCAAGAAUGAAAAUCCAUCCACUAGUAAAUGCAUGAUCUUCCAAACUUGUAAUCCAACUAGCAUCUGAAUACCUUUUUAAAACUGGAGGAUAUCCAUUAUAACACAAUCCAUAGUUAAUAGUUUUCUUUAAGUACCUAAAUACUCUAUUCAAAGCUUGCCAAUGCAAACUACUUGGAUUACUUGUGUACCUACUCAAUUUCCCAACAGCAUAUGCAAUAUCUGGUCUUGUACAAGUCAUUAUGUACAUAAGACAACCAAUUAGACUUGCAUAUUUCAAUUGAUCAAUUUUCCUACUAGUAUUAGAUACUAAUUUUACUUGAGGAUCUAUGGGUGUAGAUGCUGGUAUACAGUUGAAAAGAUCAAACUUUUUAAGCACAUUUUUAAUGUAAUGUGAUUGUGAUAAAGCUAUAAUGCUUUCAUCUCGGGUUAUUUUAAUCCCAAGAAUAACAUCUGCUACACCCAUAUCCUUCACAGUAAAGUUUUUUGACAAAAAUUUCUUUGUGUUUUCUAUUUGUUCCAAAUUCGUGCUAAAAAUGAGCAUGUUAUCUACAUAUCAGCAAAUUAUGACACCUUUUCCAUUUUCAAAUUUACUAUAUAUACACUUAUUGGAUGCAUUUAUUUUAUAGCCAUUAGCUAAAACAACAUUGUCAAACUUUUGGUGCCAUUGUUUUGGUGUUUGUUUAAGUCCAUAUAAAGAUUUAACAAGCUUACAUACCUUAUGCUCUUGUCCUAGAACAACAAAUACUUCCUGUUGUUCCAUGUACACUUCCUCUUCCAAUCCACCGUUUAGAAAUGAAGUUUUAACAUCAAUUUAGUGAACAACCAAAUUAUAUAUAGAGGUAAGUGAUAUUAAGAGUCUAAUUGUAGUAAUUCUUGCUACUGGAGCAUAGGUAUCAAAGUAAUCAAUACCUUUUCUUUGUGUAAAACCUUUGGCUACCAACCUUGCUUUAAACUUAUCAAUGGUUCCAUCAACCUUCAUUUUCUUUUUGAAGAUCCAUUUACAACCUAUUGGUUUGGAACCCGGUGGAAGAUAAACUAAAAUCCAAGUUUGAUUUCCUAUUAUUGAAUCCAUCUUAUCAUUUAUUGAUUCUUUCCAAAAAGCAAAGUCUUUAGAUUUCAUUGCCUCUUCAAAUGUAAUGGGAUCAGAUUUCGUAUUAUAACAAUAAGGUAUCUUAUUGCAUAUACUUUCACCUUGUCCUUCUACAAGAAACAUAAUGAAAUCUGGUCCAAAAUCUUUGACUUUUUUAAUCCUCUUACUUCUUCUUAAUUCUUAACAAGAUUCAUCAUUAUUAUUAAUUUGUUCCAAUGGAAUCUCAUUCUCAUUUGAAGAAUGAAUCAAUUGUUGUGGUUGUAAUUGUCUUGAUAUAGAAUCAAAUCUAUUUUCAUCAAAAAUAGCAUCUUUUGAUUUAAUAAUAGUAUUAAUUGAAAUUGAAUCAUUUGGUUCAAUUACCAUGAACCUAUAUGCCUUGCUAUUAUGUGCAUAUCCUAUAAAUAUGCAUUCAAUUGCUCUUUCACCUAACUUUUUACGUUUAGGUGUUGGAACUUUAACAAUAGCUCUACAACCCCAAACCUUCAAAUAAUUAAGGUUUGGUUUCCUUUUCUUCCAUUGUUCAUAAGGGGCUAUUUUAGUUUCCUUAUUAGGAAUUCUAUUCAAUAUAUGACAAGCUGUUAGAACAGCUUCUCCCUAAAAACCUUGUCCAAGAUCUAAAUAUGAUAACAUUGAAUUUACCAUUUUAGUCAAGACUCUAUUUUUUCUUUCAGCUACACCAUUUUGUUUUGGUGUGUAAGGGGCUGAAACUUGAUGGACAAUCCCAGUGGAUUCAAAAUAAUUUGGAUUAUAGUAUUCUCCACCUCUAUCCGAUCUUAAGCACUUGAUAAAUGAUUCAAACUGAAGUUCAACUUCAGAUUUAUAAACUUUAAAUUUAUCAAGCACUUCAUCUUUUGAAUGCAAUAAAUAUACAUAACAAUAUCUAGAAUAAUCAUCAAUAAAAGUAACAAAAUAUUUUUUUUCACCUAAUGUAGGAGUAUUAUGCUGGUCCUAUAAAUUACUAUGUAUCAAAUCAAGCAAUUUUGUUUCUCUUUUAACCUUAGGGAAAGGGUUUCUUGUAAUUUUAGUCAACAUACAUGUAUUGCAUUUUUCAAUAUUAUUAUUAAAAACAGGAAUUGAAUCUAACUUAUACAUGUCAUUCAAUUUCCUAUAAUUCAAAUGACCUAACCUAUAAUGCCAUAAACAAAAAGAUUCAACCAUAUAACCAGAAAUAGUAUUUUUAUUCUUAUUAAUAAUAUUCAGUUUUAACAUACUCUCAUACAUAUACCAUUUCCCUACAAAAAUUCCUCCCUUAGACAAAAUAAACUUAUCUGCCUCAAUUUAAUAGACUUCCAGAGACUAAAUUCUUUCUAAAUUCUAGUACAUAAUAUACAUCAUUUAAGGUUAAAACUUUCCAGAAGUGAAUUGUAGUUCAACAGACCCUUUGCCUUUGAUUGCUGCGGUGGAAGAAUUUCCCAUGUACAAGACAUUGUCAUUUUCACAUUGUGUGAACUUUGUGAACAUGCUUUUGUCUUUGCACACAUGUUUGGUUGUUCCAGUAUCAAUCCACCAUGUAUCAUCAUCUUGUGCGAUAUUAAUUUCAGAUAUCAUUGCAAUGAACUUUUCGUUAUUAUCAGCCUUAGAAGAUGAUUUCUUCUUUAAAAAUCGACAUUCAUUCUUGAAAUGUCCCUGCUUACCACAAUGAUAGCAUGAACCGUUUUGUUUCUUUUUUAACUUAGGUGCUCUAUCAGUCUGUGUGAACUUUCUCUUGAAUGGUUUAGUAGUUUGUACUUCCUCCGUAACAUGCACUUUGGCAUUUUCAGAAUUUAGAUUUUGAUCUUGCUUUCGGUAUUCUUCUUCAAUACGAAGAUGAUUUGCCAAAGCCUUAAGAGAUAUUUCCUAUUUCUUAUGUUUUAGACUUCUUUUAAAGUCUUUCCAAGAUAUAGGAAGUUUUUUCUAUUAUGGAGGAUACAACAAUCAUUUCAUCCAUUUUCAUACCAUAUUGUUUGAAUUGAUUCAGCUUUUUUUCAAUACCACGGAAUUGUUCCAUAACAGAACGACCAUCAACCAUUUGAUAAUUAUUAAAACGACUGACAAGAAAUUUCUUACUUGUAACAUCUUCAGUCAUGUAUCUGGUCUCCAAUUUGUCCCAUAUUUCUUUAGCGGUGACCUUGUUUUGGUAGGUGUCAAACAAAUCAUCAGAUAAACCAUUCAAUAUGUGGCCCAUGCACAUGUAAUCAACAUUGUCCCAUUUUUGUCUUUCUCGGAUUCAGCAACAGAUUCGUUUUCAGAACAAUUAUCAAUAAAAGUAACAAAAUAUUUCUUUCCACCUAAUGUAGGAGUAUUAUGCAUGUUACAUAAAUCACUAUGUAUCAAAUCAAGCAAUUUUGUUUUUCUUUUAACCUUAGGGAAAGGGUUUCUUGUAAUUUUAGUCAACAUAUAUGUAUUGUAUUUUUCCAAUAUUAUUAUUAUUAAAAAUAGGAAUUAAAUAUAACUUAUACAUGUCAUUCAAUUUCCUAUAAUUCAAAUGACCUAAUCUAUAAUGCCAUAAACAAAAGGACUCAACCAUAUAAGCAGAAAUAGUAUUUUUAUUCUUAUUAAUAAUAUUUAGUUUGAACAUACUCUUAUACAUAUACCCUUUCCCUAUAAAAAUUCCUCCCUUAGACAAAAUAAACUUAUCUGCCUUAAAAACAAGUUUGAAACCAAACUUAUUUAACAGACUUCCAGACAAUAAAUUCUUUCUAACUUCUGGUACAUAAUAUACAUCAUUUAAGGUUAAAACCUUUCAGAAGUGAAUUGUAGUUCAACAGACCCUUUGCCUUUGAUUUCUGCGGUGGAAGAAUUUCCCAUGUAUAAGACAUUGUCAUUUUCACAUUGUGUGAACUUUGUGAACAUGCUUUUGUCUUUGCACACAUGUUUGGUUGCUCCGGUAUCAAUCCACCAUGUAUUAUCAUCUUGAGCCAUAUUAAUUUCAGAUAUCAUUGCAGCGAACUUUUCGUUAUUAUCAGCCUUAGAAGAUGAUUUCUUCUUUAAAAAUCGACAUUCAUUCUUGAAAUGUCCCGGCUUACCACAAUGAUAGCAUGAGCCCUUUCGUUUCUUUUUGAACUUAGGUGUUCUAUCAGUCUGUUUGAACUUUCUCUUGAAUGGUUUAGUAGUUUGUACUUCCUCCGUAACAUGCGCUUUGGCAUUUUUAGAAUUUAGAUUCUGAUCUUGCUUUCGAUAUUCUUCUUCAAUACGAAGAUGAUUUGCCAAAGCCUUAAGAGAUAUUUCCUCUUUCUUAUGUUUUAGACUUCUUUUAAGGUAUUUCCAAGAUGGAGGAAGUUUGUCUAUUAUGGAAGAUACAACAAUCAUUUCAUCCAUUUUCAUAUCAUAUUGCUUGAAUUAAUUUAGCAUCUUUUCAAUAUUACGGAAUUGUUCCAUAACAGAACGACCAUCAACCAUUUGAUAAUUAUUGAAACGACUGACAAGAAAUUUCUUACUUGUAACAUUCUCGGUCAUGUAUCUUGUCUCCAAUUUGUCCCAUAAUUCUUUAGUAGUGACCUCGUUUUGGUAGGUGUCGAACAAACCAUCAGAUAAACCAUUCAAUAUGUGGCAUAUGCACAUGUAAUCAGCAUUGUCCCAUUUUUGUCUUUCUCAGGUUGCAGCAGCAGAUUCGUUUUCAGUCUCGUCAGGUCUUAGAGUAUCCAAAACAUAAGCAAUCUUCAAAGUUGAUAAUAAGAAGUGCAUCUUUUUCUGCCAUCGUCGAAAAUUGCCUCCAUCAAACCGAUCAAGUUUGACAAAAUUCGAGGCCAACUCCCUUAGUGUUCCACUUUCAUGAGUUGUGGUAGUCAUCAUGAAAUAUAACCUUAAAAUUGUUAGUACAAAUUUCCAGUGAAGAAAAUCUCGAACACACGAAUGGAACUCGAAUAGAAGAAGAAAUAGGACAAGGCUUCAAGGCGUGUAUCAAGCCACUAUCUUUAAGUUUAUAUUCACCCCCACCUAUCUUUAGUGUGCAAAUGAGUUUCAAGCAAAUUAACCUCGAGGAUACAAUGAAGCCAAUGGCUAUUUGUGUUUUGCAUUGACGAGAAUAGCCCACUACACAUUGAGCAAUGUAUGACAAGGAACUCAAUUUCUAUAAAGAAUUUCUGUAGUAGUACUUAUAGAAUAAUCUAAUAAUAUUAGAAAGUGAAGGAAAAAGAGAAACAAUAUUAGAAUUUGUUCGUAUGAUUUCCAAAUGAAAUCUCAUUUCUUUUUAUAGGAAUUUUCAUGUCUCUUUGUAGAGACACAUUUCAUCAAUAUGUGUCUUUUUGAAUAAUAAUGUCUUUAAAAUAAACACAUAAUUAUUUAUUUAAUUAUAACUAUUCAAAUAAUAUUAUUUAAAUAGUUAUAAUUCUUUUUUCAAAAAAUCAAACAAUAUAAUCUUUUGAUUAAUUACACCCAUUCAUUUAUAGUUAUUGGAACAUUAUAAAUAUUUGAAAAUGUUCCAGCAUUGAUUGAGAUUGAUGCUUAAUAUGUUUAAAAGAAUUAUACAAAUGCUUAAUGAAAAUAUGAGUAAAUUGAGUUACUAAGUAAUUAAAUUAAAUUUAACCAAGUAUGUAAAACUAAUUAAAACAAUAGCAUAAAAUGUAAUAGCAGUAAAAACAAUUACACAAGUUUCAAUAAAAAUGACAUGAAAGGCUAGAACAAUUAUUUCCUCCUAACAUGCAAUCAUAGAAAGCAAUGAUGUAGAAUGUUGUGUUGAUGCUACGGUGAUAUGGUAGUUUACUAAUUCGGAAUCCACUGAUUGUAGGCAUCUCUCCAAGUCACUAUCCUAAAUCUUCUAAUCACCUUAACAUGUCUAUGCCAAGGUAACCUUAAGAUCAGAUUUUUAGGCGUCAUUUUUAAGGAUUAUGCGAGGUAACACUAUAUGUCUAUACAAUUACAAAUUUAAUUACUAGAAGAAUUAAACAUGCACCUUUUGAGUUGUAUGUCUAUUAAUUACCAUAUUCUCAGAUGUAAUAAUUAACCCAAUUGCUUACUAAUAUUACCUGUGCUUUAGCAAGUGUUAAAUGUGAAAACUAUUCAAAUGAACAAACAACCAAUUGCACAAAACAUUAUUAGCAAAGCAUCAAUAAUUUCAUGCUAAGGAUCCAUAAAUAUUCUAGCAUAAAAAUAUAAGUCAUAAUCAUUAAAGUGAAAACCAUCAAACAAGUUGCAGAUAUGAUUUUAAAACAACAGAAGAAAGAAUAAAUAAGAGAAAGAAAGGAUGAUUAGUCGAGUGUUGGUGGUUCUCCACAACUAGCUCAUGUUUGUUUCCUUAAAAGCUUUCUGCAUCAUUCUCAGCCUCAAUGCUCUCACUUUUGUGUUUUGAUUUUCCUACUCUCAAAUUCAAUGUGUUGCGUUCAAUUUUGUUCUCUUGUGUUCUCUGUUUGUCGAGUUUUGUCCCUAUUGCUGAAAUUUACUCCUUAUUUGUACUGUUGAGCUCCCCUCAUCUUUUCUAUUUUUAGGCGUAGUGGUUCCUUAAUUUCUUUUUUUGUUAUAGUGGUUUCGUGAUUUUUGCUUCCCACAAUCUGACAGUAGACUAAGUCUCUUGAGCACAUGUUGAAAUUUGACUAGCCAUGCCACAUCUUGUAGAUUUGUAAACUAGCAAAGUGCAAGAUGGGAACUGUGACGUGAGAUCUCCAUGCAUGCAAGCUGUGAACUACGAGCUCUAUGUAGGUGAGCAGUAUAUGCGACCUUAGGAUUUUAGACUGUUUACUAUAUAUAAGCAAGCUGCAAACUGUAUACGACGAGUAGUAUUGUAGGUGAGCAGUGCAUGUAAGCUGAGAACGCAAGCUAUGUAUUAUGAGCUAUAUACUAAGAACUCCCCGUUAAUAGGUGCUGCUUGCGAAUUAUGAAUGCGAACUGGCUAGCGUACAGGUGUAGUGGGAACAGCCUUGUGAACAGGUAAAGUGUGAACAAACAAAAUGUAUGCUGCAAGCAGAGAGCUUGAAAAUUGAGAUGGAACUGUGAACUGGUAAAGUGCGAGCUGUCUCAAGCACUGCAUGUAAGCUGCAAACAGUCGAAUUGCGAGAUAUCCAUGAGCAAUGAAUGUGAGUUGAGCUCUAAUUGCAAGCUAUCCACAAGCAAUUUAUGCAAGUUGAAGUCUCAUCAGCGAAAUGAUAACUGUGAGCAGUAUGCAAGUAAUGCGUACUCCCUGCAGCUGAAGUUUUGAUGCGUGCUGACUCUAUUUUCUCUGUUGUCCUUUUACUUUUGUAACACCCUGAAUUUUUAGGUUAUAGGUUUUGGGGUUUUGUGGUUAGUGUCUGUGUGAAGGAUGUGUUUUUGUGUUUAGUUGUUUACUUUGGUGUCAGAAUGGGCUUGUUGGUCUGGUGGUGGAGCGAGUGUUGGUGUACCUCGAGGUUAUGGGUUAGAGUCCUCAUGCGUGUUUUGAGGAAUUAUUUUUAUGUGACUUCAAUUUGUUUUAGAUUAAAGAUAUUUACUUAUUUUGUUACUUUCUAUUAUUUUUUUUAUUUUUUAUAAUUUUUAUUAUUUUUGUCUUCUUGGCUGGAACCUUUUUAUGUCUUUUUGUUUUCCUCUUUCUUGGGUUUCUUUCUUUUUGGCCUUGCUACAUUCCUUUCAGAAAUAGAUUCUGGAAAAAUUUCACUCCUCGUCGUCAAGUCAGUCAUUUGGACACUUCUGAUCACGAAUCAAGUGUGGGUUUGAAACUCUUCAACUCUAUUUGUGAAUUGUUUAAUUUGGGGAAAAUUCGUGUGUCAGUUUCGAUUAUGGGGUAAUCAUAAUGUGGAUUUGAUACUAAAUUGCAUCAAAUUCAGGUUACUAUAAUAUGUGUUGAUCUUAAUGGGUUUAGGGAGUGUUUGGGGGUGGAAUUCAUAUUUUGCAGGUUGUUUUAAGAUGGUUUCGUGACCACUAGGGCGACCACACGGGCGUGUGCCUAUUCGCAUGGCCGUGUGGAAUUAGGGAUUAGGGUUUUUGAGCAAAAUUUGGUUUCACACGAUCGUGUGGCCGAUUUGAGGAUUUUUUUCAUUUUUCACACGGCCGUGUCUUCUGAACACACGGGCGUGUGAGUUUGAGAAUUAGGGUUUGAGUGAUUUUGUGCCAUACGGCUUGGUCAUACGACCGUGUGGCUGAUUUAAGAUUUAGGGAUCCCACACGAGCAUGUGUUUUGGACACACGACUGUGUCUAGUGGGCACACAGACGUGUGACACCCUUACAUGGCAGUGUCAGCCCUGUACUCUAAGUUAGUGCAAAUGGACAAAGAGUUGCACGACCUGUUCCCACGACCAUGACCUUAGCUCACACGGGCAUAUACCUUAGUCAUACGACCGUAUGCCUCUCUUCACACAGGUGUGUACCUAUGCCACAAGGCCAUGUGCCCCUCCUCACAUAGGCUUUUGAUCUCCCAUACGGCCAGAGUACAUGGGCGUGUGGUUUUAAGACACUUAUAUUGGUUUUUUGUGCAUUUCUGAUCUGAAUAGGUGUUUGUGUGUGCUCCGACCCUUAGCUAAGUUUAGUGAGGGUGUUCAAGACUCGAUAUCUGUAAUGAUUGUGUGUGAUGUAUGAUUUUGAAUCUGGUUUGUAGGGUGUGUUGCAUAUUUGUUCCGUCUGACUGACUGUGUAAGAGUCUCUGUUCUCUGAAUUUGUGUGCAAGCAUACACUUGCAUAAAGUUAAGGAUUUUGGGUGGGUUUGUGAAGAGAAUGGACUCUAAUUCUGAUUUGGAUCUAGUAGUUCUACUGCAUUUUUACUCGUAAAUCGCACUAUACUACAGGUGCGUCAGCUUUGAUGCAUACUAUUAUCUGUUAUAGCAGUUAAGACUACAACUUGUCUGUAUAGAAAAUUACCACAUUGCAAUGUACGGCACAUACGCCAGCUUUGCUAUGUAUUUUUAUCUAAGUGGCUUAGUCCACAUAUGUGGUGUGUAGGGUUGGAUGGGCCCUCGAGGUCCUAUGUGGUGUGUUUCGGCUAGAUAAGCUUAAACAACUCUUGUAGGUUGUGAUCGGGGGAUGGAGAGGUGUGUUGGCUGGAUGGGUGGGUUUUAUUUGAUAGCAUUUCAUCCAUGUCUAUUUGUAUGUUCUGGGUGCCUAACUGUUUGACUAUACUUUGUUUGUCUGUUUGUGAAUUGAUAUGAGUGUGAUUUCUAUUCUGUUGGGACGUUAGUUCCAAGUUUCUUCUGACGCGGUGAUGUAAUACUGAUUUGAAUUCUGAAAAUGUGUUUUUAGUCUUGUUUCGUUCUCACAUUGAGCUCGACUAGCUCACCCCCUCUUAGUGUUUCCCUUUCAGGUACACUUCCGUUUUCUGCAGCUAGGCUCAGCAAAUCGGAGGUCUUAGAGACAUCACAUUUUUCUUUUACUGGUUAGUAAAAAAUUUCUUAAAAUCUAAGUUUUAUGUAAAUGGUUUUUGAUUGUAAACUCUGUUUUAAACGCUGUGGUUUGAACUAUUUUAAAUUAAACUAUUUGAAUUAAACUACUUUGUGUUGAAUAUUUGGACUUGAUAACUGAAUGGUUUUGUGUAACUCACUGGGUGUUUUCUAACUAGAUAAACUAAAAUUUUACCUAGAUCACUUCGGUGAUCAAUGUGACAUCCGGGAUUUGGUCUAAACUUCUAGGCUGGAUUUAGGGUGUUACAACUUUAUUUUGCCCAGUAGCUGUCAUGGUGCUCUUUGAGCGUGAGCUGGCUUGUUCCUAUUGGUCUUGAGGCUUGUCAUAUUGCUGCGGAAUUGUUGUAUUCAUUGAGUAAUAUCCACUUUCAAAGAUAAAAGUGUGUAUUUUAGCGUGGAAAUUUACCAAAAAAACAAUAUUCAAGUCAAACGUUUCAAUAUCAGAUAUUCAAUAGAAAUAUAACAUAAAUGGCUACUAAACAUGUAACACCCCACACCCGGCCUAGAAGUUAUGACCCAAGUGUGAAGGUGGCAUUGAUAAAUUUAAAACUUAAACCCUUUGUCCCUAUAACAAAUCUUAUUUCGGAAAAUGAAAACUCAGAAAACGAAUGGUCAAAAAACAAUAAUAUUAGCUAAACCUUUCGUGCAUUCUUUAGAAAAUCUUAUGCUCAAAAACACUUAUUUUAUUGUAAAAUCACUUAAUCACUUUCUUAGUUUGGCAGUGGAAAAUUUCUAGGGUUUUAGCUAAAAACAGAAAUUCAAUUUGUUAACUUGUGUGAUUUUCCAGUUUUAUGUUAAAAAUACCCAAAAACCGACGAAAAAAAUCUAAAAGAAACAAACUACAGUCCAAAAGUCCAUUAAAGUUAAUUACGUAAACCAUCAUAUUUAAUGAACCGAAAAAAACAAUCUGAGCUCCCGCAGUCCGUCCAAUCCUAAAUUUGUUGAUUACCUAAAAGGUCAAAUACAAAAGGGCGAGCUAACAAGUUCAAUGUGUAACUAAACCCAAACAAAAACAGAAAUAACAUAAUAACCAAUUAAACAUUGUAGAGAAUCUUAUCAAACUCGCAUGGAAAAAGCAUGCAUGCAUGAUUACGUCAAUGCAAUAUUUUACGAAAACAAAAUGUAGAUUUUUCAGAAAACUUUCUACCCAACUCUGCUACACACCAAAUUAGAGUUCCCAGAAUUCGUCCAUCCAAAAACACACCAACAGAUAAUUGUGGACAAAGCCACCAAAGUUGCAGUUAAAAUUGUCAUAUCAGAUAUAUGUAGUCAAGCCACUAUAUUACAACCAAGCUGCCAGAAUAGAAGUGUGGUUAAACCACCAGAUAGUGCAGAUUAUUAAAUUACUAGAUCUUCCUCCUUACCAUAUUAUCCCAACCCCAUGCGAUGUGACAUGGCAUGUAAGUACAAAAACAAAAUAAUAAGCAUGUUGAACAUGCAUUCAUAUCUUUAACAGAAACCAGUAAGCAUGCUAUUUCAUGCAUUGUAGAUAAAAAUAUAUCAAAUUACAAAUCACUUUAACCAGAAAAACCACAAUGUCACAUGCUAUGGAAUUUAAACAAAGCAUAACUCAUCAUUAAACAGAGAUACAUUGCUAAACAGAAAACAAGUAAUAGAACUCCCAAAUUUACAAGUCAGAUACGAAUCACACACUAUUGACACGCUUGCAAAUGUUACACAUGCGAUAUCAAUCUUACGAAUAUCAAAUACAAGAGUCACACAUACUAUACACAUCAUAUUUUCGGAUAUUAUACUAACAAAAGCAGAAUAUCAAAUCUCACAUUUUAUAGUCUCAUUUAUACAGUAAAAACCCUACGGAAGGCCUAAAUUGGAUUCGCACAUCAAAAACGACCCUAAGGUAAAAUUUCAGAAAAUUGGCCCACACGACCCAAUUGGCUAUCUCAUGUGGACCACACAGCCCAAUUGACCUAGCUCGUGUGGCUCACAUGGCCUGCCACACGACCGUGUGACAUCGAUAAUGGGCUUUUCGGUAUCGUGUGGUUCCCUGUUUUUCGAGUUUUUUUGUUACACUCCCGAUCGUUAUGACACACAUCCAAACCCUAAAACAACAAUUUAAUUAGGUUAAUUAGCAACACUAUACAAAAUAUCCAAACACUAUAUCGGCCAUACACACAUACUAAACAUUCUGCAUUAGCCCCAAAAAUCAGCCCCUUAUAAACUUUUGGUCACUUACCCCCGAUUGAAGAAACAAUUCCUAAUGCUCACUAAUUUCCAGAGGAAUGCAUGCCCCACGUUCCACACCUACAAGAACCACAAAGAAAAACUAUUAGCGUCCACAACCAGAACACCUCAGUAACACGACAACCUUGCCUUUUACCAUGAACAGAUCUCACUUACAAUAAUAUUAAUAGACAAACACAAUUGAAAUCCAAAAUUCGCUUACCACACUCAACCAAUAAUGGAUCCGGAAGAAAAUUGACACAGCAAAAAAGGUCCGAAUGAUAAUAGAGCAACAGAUAACAAUAACAAAAGAGAAAGAAAGAAAGAAAGAGUUGGAUUGCUUAAUAAGAAGGUAUAGACGAUUUUGGGAAAGAAAAAGAAAAAGAAGGAAAGAAGGAAAAGAAAAACGACAGAAAACUUUCAGAGAGAAUAAAACCAAUGUGAAAACAAAACUCGGUCAAAUGGAGAAAGAGGAGGAGAGAGUGGUAAGUUGUGGCUUUACCAUUGAACUAGUAGACUCAUUCUUGUCAUCAGUUGAGCGAAAAUAUUAUUUAUGCCAGAUGAUUUAAGGAUAGGGGUUAGGAAAAAAUAAUAAAAAUUAAAAAAAAAAGAAUCAAACGCAAAACCUCUCACACACAAGCACAACACCUAUCCACUGAACCAAAUAACUUCACUUGAUAUAAUUUUCACAAUCUUAACUCAAAAUAAAGAUGUUAUCACUCUUGGUUUCACUAACCCAAUUUCUACUAAUCAGGUUUUUGGGAUGUGACAAAACAGUUAUCAAUCCCUCUUAACUCGCUCGAAAUAUAAGCUUAAAAGUACAUUAAUAACUCUAUAUAUUAGAGUUAUCAUUUACCAUAAAAAAAUUCAACAUGGCCACAUCACCAUUUAACAGAAAAGAAUUUAACGAACGGGCUAAUUUACACGUUUCAAAACGCAAAAAGAUUAAUUUACCCGAUUUUUUUCAAUAAAAGAGCCAAAAUGCAACCUGCUCUAAGGACAUCGGCUUCCUUAGUACUUUUACCUAAGCAGUAUUGAUUCAUAAAUCAUGAUCUUUGGGGAUUUGAUGCCUACUUUUACCUAAUGCCUUGUUCAUUAACUUUCUCUACUUCAAAGGAGUUUCUAAGAGCAAUCAAUUCAAAUUUCACUUCAUUGGCAUGAACAAAGAAAUGUGAAAAAAUCAAUUAAGUUCUUGUAUUAAAUUCGCACUCGAUUCCCUGUUAUUCAUUAAACAAUUAAUUAAGCUCAUUCGUUAACAAAAUUUGUGGUUAAUCAUGUUGGCUGUUAAAAUAAAUUGAUAGACCAAUCAGGCAGUGAUGUGGUUAAUUCUAGUUUAAUGUAAUAUUUUCUCGUAAAAAUUAAAAAAGAUUAAAAAUAUAAAAUUAUUAAAAAUUGGAAAUAUUAAAAAUAUAUAUUAAAAUUGUUAUAAGAGUUAGCCUUUGGUAAGUUAGCCUUUGGUACAUUGACAAUGUACUUUUUUUUAUUCCACAAGUAGUCUUAAAAAUUUUUCAUGUGUCUCUAUUUUUUAAGUAUUUUAUUUUUUAAUAUUUUACUAUACCCCUACAACACACUUGUCAACUCCUUGGCUUUGCUUAUGGAAUCUAAAAACUCCAUUGAUAAUGUAUCAAAUAUUUUAUUUUGAUAUAAACUUAUAAAAAUUAUUAAAAAAUAACUUAUAAAUAUUAUAAAAAUAUAAAAAUAAAUAAAAUUAAUAAAAACAUACUUAAAAUUAGGUUUGUAUUUGGUACACUAGCACUAUACUUUUUUUUUAUUCUGCAACCAGCUUUACAGAAUUACCAUGUGUCUUUUUUUUAUACUUAUUUUUUUAAUAUUAAACUAUAUCAUUAUAGGAUACUUGUCAACCUCUUUGACUCUGCUUGUAGAGUUUAAAAACUCUAGUAAUAGUGUACCAAAUAUUCUCUCUUUAAAAUUUUAUAAAAUGUAUAAAAAUUCUUAAAAGUCAUAAAUAAUUAGUUAAAAAUAGUAAAGGUAUCAAAAAAAAUAUUUAAAUUGAUAUAAAAUUAUAAAAAAAUAAAAAAAAUCAUAAAAACUUGAACAUAGCUAGAUUAGUCAGAUAGACCGGUUAGACCGAAAUCGAAAAGCGUACUAGUUUGAAGAAAGCCAUUACACUAGUUAACUUAAAAAUCGGGCCAUUGAACCGAUUUUUUAAUAUUUUUAUAUAAUGUUUUAUUUAAUUAAACUCAACAGACCGAUUGAACAGGCUGAACUAACGAACCUAUGGCCUGACCAGUUCGAUCACUAGCUUGGUUCUGAAAAUCUUGGUCAGAAUAUUUCAUACUAAUAUCUGCUAAUAGUUGGAAAAUGAAAUUUUGGUUUGAUAGUACCUAAUUGUACCAAAAGUUCUUUAUAUCACACAAUACUUAGCAAUUAAAUUUCAAAUUUUCAAGGUCCAAAUUAUUAUAUUGUAAAAAUUAGUGAUAAAAUUUUAAAAAUAAUAAUAAUUUAUCCAUAAAAAGAGAGAAUCCCAUAGUUAUCAUUUUAUUUUGGAAUAUCAAGAAAUGUCACGUCUUAAAAUAAAUGGGGUUAAUUGAAAUGAUUAAAUAAGAAAUGAGCCUUAGGAUUAAUGGUUAACUAUUAGUUCCCCUUCUUAGAGGUCUUAAGUUUGAGCCCUCUCCUUCCAUUUCAUUUUCUUAUGAUUUUUUGGCAAACAUGGGUAAAUUACUAGUGCCGCCCCUAAAGUUUACUAACCCCAGAUAUUUUGUCACAUCCAAAAAAUAGGUCUAGAUAAAAUAGGGCUAAAAUUUGAAUUUUUUAAAGCAUAGGUUAAGAGAAUUAAAAUGCUUUAAAAAUUAUUUUUGUUAAGAAUGAGUUUAUUGGUUCAGUGGCAAGGUCUUAGCUUACCCAUAGGACCUAAGUUUGAAAUCUCUUGCGAGCAUUCAGCAAAAAUAUUUUAUUUUCCUAUUUUAAGUUAUAAAAGUGCCAAAUUUACAAAAUAACCUAGCCAAAAACUUUUUUUUCACUUUAGUCCUUAUUUCAAAAUUGUCUUUGUAACAGCCCAAAUUUGCCCGGGCCCGUGUAAUGAAAUAAACAAAAUAAAUAAAUGUCCAUGUUGUAAAUGUCCAGUAUACAAAUGGGCCUAAAGGCCUGAUGACUUAAGAACCAUGUAGCCUAAGAACCUUAUGCCCGGUUACACCUAACCCACAAAUGGGCACGGCCCAAGGAGGCCCAAAUUACAAAUAGAGGAUGGAAGACCUAGGAUUUCUGAAACCCUAGGCGCCGCAAACGCUAGAGGAAGGUUCCAGAAUUCGCGCAGCAAGCACGCCAAUCGUCACACCCUUUUUGCGCCGUUCCAGUGACCUUCAUCAACACCUCCAUCAGUGUCGUGAUUCCAGGCUCCGUAUCGUGCCGUGAUCGGCGCAUGGAUCAAUGCCAGCCCACUCCUCGCCGUGAGAUCCUCGAUGGUACCUACAAAAAAAGGAAAGAGGAGCAGCAAAGACAAAUGCAAAUAUGGCAAGAAUCGAGCAGAGAAUAUACAAACAUGCAAAUAGAGGCUAUAAAAGCCGAAUGAUUUCAUUGUAACUGGGAAACCUUUUUUUGAUAUACACGAAAAUAUAUACAAAAGAGAACAGAUAUACGGAUAUUCAGAGAAAUUCAAGCAGUUUCUUUAAAAGGUGACUUAAGUUUCAUAUUCUGUUAUCUAUGGUUCAACAUGUAUGCGAAUUAUUUUGGUAAAAAAUUGGUAUUUUAAAAUGGGAAAAGGGGUUACCUGCGAUUCGCCAAGGAAAGUGAAGGUUUUGAACCUUCCAAACCGUCAUGUACGGUGGCACGUGUAGCGCGUGGACGCAUGAACCCAGUGACCGGAGUCUGGUCCAACAGGAGGUCGGAGAAACCUGGAAAGGCUCUCCUAUUCUCCUUCUCAGAGAAUUUUCUUUGUUUUUUUUUAAACAUGGAACCUUUAUUGAUAGCCCAUACGACGUCGUUUUAGAAUGGCCGUUUAAUAACCAAAACGACGUCGUUCCAAAGUUAGGAUCCGCGCAUUGACUCAAGACCCAGGUAGGAUCCGCGCAUUUUUGUUUAAAGGGCUAAUUUCCCAAUUGAGCCUUCCGCAUUUUUAUGUUUUCUAAAAUUCAUUUUAUUUUUAUUUUAAUCUGGCCAUAAACUUUUACAUUUAUUGUAAUUUGGUCCUAAUAGCCAUUGUAAGACAUAUGCCGAGAACGAUGUCGUUUUUGUGGGAUUAGGGAUAAUUUCCUAGUGAGUCCCUCAUUUCUAAUGCGCAUUUCAAUUAAACCCGAAUUUUUUUAUUUAUUUGUAAUUAGCCCUAGUUUUUUUAAAAAAAAUUCGAUCUUAGUUUUUUUAUAUAUAUUUAAUUUAUUUGCAAAUACUAUAUGUAUUAUUUUUAUAUAAACAUUAGUUAUAUAUAAAUAGUGUAUAUUAUUUUUAUAUUAUAAACGUUUUUUUAAUAUUAUAGAUACAUUUUACUUCAUAUAUUAUUUAUCUUACUAUAUUUAUAUAUGGAAAUUAUUAUAUUAUAUCGUUUUUAUUACUUAUUAUUUUAUUUUAUAUCAUUUUAUUAUUAACUAUUUAUUAUAUAUAAUUAAUUUUUUUAAAAAAUUAUUACUAAAAAUUACAUUUAUAUGUCAUUAUUUAGAGGUGAGUUUAUAAUAUUUUUUAAAAAAAAAAGUAUAAAAUUUUGUUCCUAUUCAAUAUGAUGAUUUGACCUUGAAUUAUUAUAUUAUGUAAUGUAUUACAUAUAUUAAUUAUUUCUAAAAACUCUCCUUUAUCAUUUAUACAUUGCUCUAAUAUAUUUUUUUUGUUUUUUUUAUGUUCAUGAUUUGUUUAUUCACUUUAUAUUUUGUAUUUAUUGUUUUAACAUGCUAAUGCUAUCUCACUAGCUAUUUGUUGUUUACAUGAUUUGUCGUUUAUCACGUUUGCAUGAAAAUUAAUUGUUUAUGUUGAUUUAAGCUACAAUUGCAUGAAAUAUUGUUGUAUAUAUAUUGCAAUUUAUAUUAUUGUAUUCAUUAUGCGCUAUGUUGUAUUUUGCAUGUAACGAUAAUGCAUGUAUAUUUAUGUUAUCUAUGAUUAUAUAUGCAUAAAAUGAUAACGUAUAUUGUGUAAUUUAUGCCAUUAUUCAUUUUUUUUCAUAUAUUAUAUUUGCAUAGAAUGUUAAAGUAGGUAUCAUGUAGGAUAAUUUAUUUAAUAUUGAUCCUUUGCAAUAUGUUAAAUACAUCAUCACUUUAAAGAACUUUUAUAUUUCAUUCGAUCCAAAAGGAAUUUUAAAAAAUAAGGCAAUGUUUUUUUGGUAGUUAGGAAUUUGGGAAGUAGUGCCCUAACAUGCUAGGUUACAAUUUCCCGUUUGUCUAAAUGCCUAAAAUAUCCUUCUAAAUAAGUUUUGAAAAUCACAAGAUGAUUUUAGUUACAAAAGUUUAAAAAUAUCGUGUCCAAUCAUGCUGGAUGUGAUAUUUAUAUUCUUUCGAAGCAAAGGAAUCUUGAUUCUCUUUAACUCAAAUUAUUACGGUUUUAAAAGAGAUCUUAUUUCUAAAUUCUUUCAAACUUUUGACAUUAAGGCAAAAUUAUUCAAUUUGGUACCAAUUUUGGGCGUUGCGAGGGUGCUAAUCCUUCCUUGUACGUAACCGACUCCCAAACCUGUUUUCUCAUAAUUCCGUAGAUCAAAAUAUUUUAUAAGGUGAUCCAACCACACCUAAAAGAUUGGUGGCGACUCCCGUCUUUUCAAAAAUCUCGUUUCCUAAAAAAUAGAGGUUUCGACAGCUUGGCGACUCUACUGGGGAUAUUAUAAGAGAGUCAAGCCAAGAAAUUAUUUUUUUAUGUCUUAAUGUCAAAAGUUUGGAAAAUUUUAAAAUAUUAAUCUUGUUACAUGUGAUCGCUACAUAUGUUUGUAUUUUGAUUUCGCACUCAUUGCAUUUGCAUGACCGCUGUGGUCGCACCCCUAAGUGGGAGUGAGAAGCUAUGCUUUCGUGAGGUUUUCACCUCCGUAUGAGCUAGUGGAUUGCUUCCGGGAUACUAUAUCUAUGUCUUCGUGAGAUUUUCAUCUCCGCAUGGCAUAGGAAAAUGUGUCCCCCUGAACUGAACUUGGUCUAUAUGAGCCUAUAAUGGGUGAGGACCGAGGAAUCUGUUGGUUCAGGUACCCUUGCUUUAGAACUAAAACGCACACUUAUAGUAAACUUUAAGUGCUUACCCUAGGGAGUAUAGUGAUAGCCUUCAGUAAAUUACCCUUAUAGGUACUUGUUUAUUAUACUUUUAUAUAUGAUACUAACUUAUUUUAUUUUGCUAUCAUUGCAUGGCAUUCAGCAUUUAAGGGUGUCGAUUCAUGGUUUGAUUUCUAGAUUAGAAAGUUUUGUAAUGAGGAGCGAAAAUCUUGAUAAAGUGAAGGACAAUGCCUCUGUCUGUACCUGGUAAGAGAAAACCCAGUUAGAGAAAAGAGAUAGUAUUACCGAGGGGUAUACAUCAGGGUUAUGGGACUUCACUCGUAUUAAUUCGACACAGAAUGAGUUUCAGGAGUUGAGAGACAUUUGGGCCCAAUGGGAUGACGAGGUUAAGCAGGUUUUCUAUCAGAAUUAUGGAGGUCUUCCCUAUUUUCUAGACAUCAAGGUAGAUAAGCAUCUGUUCCGAGCUAUGGUACAGUUUUAGAACCCUGCUUAUAGUUGUUUUACAUUUGGAGAGGUGGACUUAGUACCUACUUUGGAGGAGUAUACGACCUUGCUUCGCUGCCAAAAAAUUCAAGGUAACAAAGCUUAUGUUAGGGCUGCUAAUCCCUCAACUUUUGUGAAGAAAUUAAUAACGAUUACAGGGGUGAGUGAACAGUGGGCCGCAGCUCGAAUCCAACAAAAGGGUGAUAGCAAAUGCAUCUCGUGGGCAAGUUUGAGGGAUUUGAUAUUGGCACACCCAGAUGUGAAGAAGAAGGUUGAUGUAUUGGCUUUAAGUAUGUAUGGAUUGAUGAUUUUCCCAAAGGCUAUGGGGUACAUAGAUGAGGCAGUUGCAGAUUUAUUCGAUCAAAUUAGUAAACAGAACACGCAUGUGCCUGCAAUCCUAGCCGAGACGUUUAGAUCCUUGAGUGCGUAUCGGAGAGCUAGUGAAGGUAGAUUCAUUGGAUGUGCACAAUUGUUAUUAGUUUGGUUCCACAAUCACUUUUGGAAGGUUGAUAAGGUUCCUUUUCGGGUGUUCUUUAAAGACUAUUCUCCACUAAAAGAAGCAGCAGCUACACCGAGGAGGGAUGGCAUUACAGAGGAAAGGUGGAUAGAAAUAAUUCAGAACCUCCAAGAAGAAGAUGUUAUGUGGAAAGCCCCUUGGAUGACUCGUAACGAAAUCUUUUAACGUUGCGGGAACUUUGAUUGGGUACCUCUUCUUGGAAUUUGGGAGGUUGUUGGUUAUGUACCAUUACUUGUCUUAAGGCAAUACAAGACAGUGCAGUUUAUACCAGCAACACAAGGGUUAGCUCAGAGUGACUUCUCAUAUAAAGAGGAUCAUUAUAAGAAGAAGAUGCGAGAAAUCUCUGAGGCUUGGAAGAAGGUUUGCUGUGUGAAGAUUCUGACUAAAGGUUUGACGAAAACUCUUGAAUACAAAGGGUGGUUUAGUAAGAGGGUCAAUGAUAACAUCCCUAAACUGAGUUUGGAGGUUGCUCGAUCGAUGGAAGAGAGUUUACAAGUGAUUCCAACAGAAUUAGAAGUCAUAAAGUAAGAGUUUGAAAGAAAAAAUUUGGAGCUCGGGAGAAAGAUAGAAAGGCUUGAGGAGGAGAAAUGUACCUAAGCUUAGACGUCGACGUUCAUAGAAUUGAGGUCAAAAAAGAGAGGAAAGAAAAGAGGAAGAUUGAGGAAGACCGAAAUGACUUGAAGACGCAAUAUAAGAGGAUACAGUUAUCGAUGAAGAGAGCUGAAUUGGCGAAGUCUUCAGAGCAAUGGCAACAAGAGGUUUAAGAAGAAAGAACCAAAGUCGAGUAUUGGGAGAAUAAGUUCUAAGAGAUGCAUGCGCGUAAUCAGGCCCUAGAGAAAGAGAAUCAAGGAUUAAAAACUAAGGUGACUGAGCUUAGACGAUCUCUUCAUCAUCACCGAAGUCGUAACUCUGCGGUCGAGUUAAAGACAAGCUUGGAUAAGAUCGAGAAAAUGAAGCACAAUAUUGGAGGGUUGGAAGCAGCACUACAGGACUUUGAGCUACGGAUUAAGCAGCUCGAGGCAAGAGAAGAACAUUGGAAGGGAGAGCUUCACCAUUUUCAGGAUCAAGUCAGAGAUAGGGACUACCUCAUGGGAGAAGCUAUAGUACAGAUUCGAGAGGUUGCUGAUCAUUCGUAUGACUUAGCGGCGCAAGCUAAUGUAUUAAGUACAAAGUAUGAGUUAGUGUCAGAUAGAGGUCUAGAGUUAGCUUCAUUAUUGAACAGGGUUAAAACUUUGGGCCUGAGGGCAAAGGCGUAUUUGUAAUCCGUUUUGUGUAAAGAUUUUUGUUUCUUAAAUAACGUUUUCUCAAAGAAAUUGGAUCAGAAUCGAUAUCUUUUUACAUUCAUGCAUUUGCAUCUCAUCGAAUCAUAUGCAUUCAAAUUUAUAGAAAGACCUAAUUAGCUAAAAUUAACAGAGGGAGAAAGAGAGUGAGAAAAUCUGAAAGCAACACAUCCUUACGAUACACGUACUAAGACAAAGAAUAUGGAUCACAGACUUGAGCAGAUCUAGAAAGAAAUGCAGGAACAAUUAUAGGAACAAUUGAUGAAAAUCCAACAGGAGAUGAAGGAUCAAAUGUUGGAGGCUCAAAGGAAUAUGAUGGCUGAGAUGGAUCAGUUGUUGAGGGGGACAACAGAUAAAGAAAAAGCCCCUAUGACUACCACUGAAGAGGAUAAUGAGGGUCAUCCUCCUGGUUUUACUCCACCUCAUGUGCAGACUCAACCUGAGGCAUAUCCCCAAGGGCCGUCCGUCACAAUAAGGCCUCAACAGGGACAAGUCGAUGUAGGAAUACCCAUGAACUUUCAAACUGGUUCAGGAUUCAACCCUGGAUAUAACCCUGCCAAUCCAGUUAUCCCUGAUUUAGAUGUAGCUGAGAGGGAAGAGAUGAGACUCGAAUCAUCAAGGCAAUUAAAGGAACGUUGCAGAUGGUUUGAGAAGAAAUUUAAGGCACUAGAAAACGCUGAUAAUCGUCAGGGAGUUGAUGCUAAGGACUUGAGUUUAAUCCCAGAUUUGGUGCUUCCCCAUAAGUUCAAAAUACCGAAAUUCGAGAAGUACAAUGGGACUACUUGCCCGAAGCCCAUAUCACCAUGUUCUGCAGACGGAUGACUGGUUAUGUAAACAAUGAUCAAUUAUUGAUCCAUUGUUUUCAGGAUAGUUUGGCUGGGGUAGCGGCUAGGUGGUAUAAUACUGAGUCGUGCAAGGAUCGGUUCUUGGAGAGACUUAGCGCAAGCUUUUAUGCAGCAAUAUAAUUAUAUGACUGACAUGACUCUUGAUAGAAUCACUUUGCAAAAUAUGGAAAAGAAGCCUAAUGAGAGCUUUAGGCAAUAUGCACAGAGGUGGAGGGAGGUUGACAUGCAAGUUCAACCACUGCUCUUGGAAAAAGAAACUACCAUGUUGUUCAUCAACACUUUAAAGGCUCCAUUCAUUAUUCACAUGAUUGGAAGUACCACCAAGAGUUUUACUGAUAUAGUUAUGGCGGGAGAAAUAAUUGAGAACGCCAUAAGAGGUGGCAAGAUAGAGGGGGAAACUACAAAAAGGUCUGCCUCAAGAAGGAAAGACAAUGAGGUGAACAAUACGAGUAGUUAUAAUUCAAAAGCAGUUACGGUUAGUCAGCCAAGAGUAACUACGGUUGGGCAACAAGAUUCUCAAAAGCAGAGAUCUGGUUUGAGACAAAAUUCUAAAAAGGUCUCAUUUAUGCCUAUCCCAGUAACGUAUCGGGAGCUUUACCAAAGUUUAUUCAAUGCGCAUGCAAUAGCUCCUUUUCACUUGAAACCGUUACAACCUCCAUAUCUCAAAUGGUAUGAUGCAAACGCUAAAUGUGAGUAUCAUACGGGGAUAUCGGGACAUUCAAUUGAAAAUUGCACUGGUUUUAAGAAGGCAGUGGAAAGACUAAUCAAAAUGGGGGUCGUAAAAUUUGACGACACCCCUAGUACAGAGAACCCGUUGCCAAAUCAUGGUGAUCAAGGGGUAAAUGCAAUUGGUGACACUGACAUGAGAAAGAUCAAAGAGGAUGUGACCGAGGUGAGAACACUGAUGAAAAUAAUUUAGGAAGAAAUGGUGAACAGAGAGAUGAUAAUCUCUAAAGAAAGGAAUAGAGGAGUAAGGGACUACUGCGAGUUUCAUGCUGAAAAGGGGCACGAGAUCCAGGAAUGUAACGAGUUUAAGGCCUUAGUACAAAGCCUUAUGGAUAAUAAGGAGUUGGAAUUUUAUGAAGCUGGCUCAGAUGAGAGACGAAUAUGCACAUUAGAAGGUGGACCGAAGAAUCAAAACCGGUCAAGAAUCAUUAUUUCUUUACCAAGAAAUAAUGAAGUUGAAAUACCAACGGUACCGAAAGUCAUGAUUCAUAAACCUGUUUCCUUUCCUUACAAGGAUAACAAGAGAGUACAUUGGAAUUAUAACUGUAAUGUAACAAUGUCGGAGAAGGAGGAUAUAGCUAGUGCCACUAAAAAAGUUCGAGAUGAGGGUUCUUAUACACGUAGUGGGAAGCGUUAUGAUGCAGAAGGUGUCAGAGUUGAGCCCGCAAAAGCAAAAGCUUUUGACAAAAGAAAGGGAACUGAAAUACUGGUUAACGAGCCAGUGAAAGAAGAAAAAGCCAGAGAAUUUCUAAAAUUCUUGAAACACAGUGAGUACAGCGUAGUUAAGCAAUUACGCAAACAACCAGCUCGUAUAUCAGUACUGGCUUUGCUUCUGAGUUCAGAGGUACAUCGUGAGGCGUUAAUGAAGGUGCUCAACGAGACUUAUGUUACUAAUGAUAUAUCCGUCAAAAAGUUGGACCGAUUGGUUAGUAACAUAAGUGCUGAUAAUUUCAUUUAUUUCAACAAUGAUGAAAUUCCACCGGGAGGCAUGGGAUCAGCUAAGGCUUUGCACAUUACCACUCGUUGCAAAGGAUAUACAUUGCCGAGUGUGCUUAUUGAUAAUGGGUCAGCCUUAAAUAUCAUGCCGCUCUCCACAUUGAACAGAUUACCCAUUGACAGUUCUCACAUAAAAACAUGCCAUAAUAUAGUGAGAGCAUUUGAUGGCACGAAAAGAAAGGUCAUGGGAAGAAUUGAUAUUCCUUUGAUGAUUUGGCUAAACACGUAUGAGGUGGAAUUUUUAGUAAUGGACAUCAAGCCCUCUUAUAAUUACCUAUUUGGGAGACCUUGGAUACAUUCGGCAGGAGCGGUGCCCUCAUCUUUGUACUAAAAAUUGAAGUUAGUAGCCGAUGAACGACUGGUCACCAUAAAUGUGGAGGAGGACAUUAUAGCGACAGCUACUAGUGAUGCACCUUAUGUAGAAGCAAAUGAGGAGGCCAUUGAAUACUCUUUCCGUUCAUUAGAAUUCGUCAAUGCAAUAUUCAUCUCAGAGGGGAAUGAGGUGCCGGUGCCCAGGAUAUCCAGAACCACAAGAAUGAGUUUGCAGAUGAUAGUGGGGAAAAAACCCUUGCCAGGAAAAGGAUUUGGAAGAUAUCUCCAAAGAGGGAUUCAAGGUCCUGAACUAAAGGAGAAGAGAGACCGUUUUGGCUUGGGUUUCAGGCUAGAUUACAAGCAGAGGAGGAAAGAAAUAGAGAAGCGCCAAGAGAGAAGAAGGGCACGUUUAGAUGGAAGAGAGGUAGAGUGGGAACUGAUAACAGUCCCCCAUAUAACUCAAACCUUUAUAUCAGGAGGGAUGAUUCACCCUGAGAGAGGAUUGCUCGAGAAAAGAGGUUAUCACAUUAAUGCUGUGUAUGAUGAAGAGUCUGAACAAGGAAACCUUGAGGGCAUUCGCCCUUAUGAACCGAGAAGCUCUUUAAACAAUUGGGUUGCAGAAGAACUUCUUGUAGUUUUUAAAGAUUCUUCGGAGUAAUUUUCAGAACACUCUUAUUGCUCUAAAGCCUAGGAAUAGUAAGAUUUCUUUUAUAAAAUAGGUUCAUGUUCGGAUAUUUAUAUUUCAAUAAAAUGCAACCUUUGUUAUCGAUUCAAGUGAGUAUUCUUUUAUACCGUUUAAUAUUCUUUUGACAUUUAAAUUCUUUCAAAUAUUUUCCAUUUCAUUCAUAACAUAUAAAUAAAUUCAUUCAUUCUUUUUACAUUCUUUCGUACCCCGCAGGCCCCUAGAUAUCAAUGACAUGAACACUGAUACUACGAAUCCUAGAUUCUCUUUUGAGCAAGACAUGUGUUUAGAAGAACUUCAGGAUUUUGAAGAUGACAGAGAUUGUGAUAUGUCUCCAGAUCUGUUGAGAAUGGUGAAACAAGAGGAUAAACAAAUCCUACCCCGUGAGAAAGAGGCAAUAGAGAAUGUAGCCUUGGAGGAAGGGAAAGAGGUGAAAAUUGGCAUACAUAUUGCUAAGGAAACGAGACAAAGCCUUGUUGAGCUACUACGGAAAUUCAAAGAUAUCUUUGCAUGGUCAUAUGAGGAUAUGCCGAGUUUGAAUACUGAUAUUGUGGUACAUCGUCUCCCCAUAAGAUAAGAUUGCAAGCCAGUCUAACAAAAAUUGCGGAGGAUGAGGCCUGAUAUUGUGUUGAAAAUAAAAGAUGAAGUCAAAAAGCAGUUUGAUGCUGGAUUCCUACAAGAGGUUAAGUAUUCAGAAUGGGUGGCCAACAUUGUGUCUGUCCCUAAGAAGGAUGGGAAGGUAAGAAUGUGUGUUGAUUACAGAGAUCUGAAUAAAGCUAGCCCAAAGACAACUUUCCUUUACCGCACAUUGAUACUUUGGUGGACAAUACAGUGGGAUAUUCGUUGUUCUCCUUUAUGGAUGGUUUCUCGAGGUACAAUCAGAUAAAGAUGCAUCCUGAAGACAUGGAUAAAACCACCUUCAUAACAUUGUGGGGCACCUUCUGUUACAAGGUAAUGCCCUUUGGGUUGAAGAAUGCAAGGGCAACAUACCAAAGGGCUAUGGUGACCUUAUUCCAUGAUAUAAUACACAAAGAAAUUGAGGUGUAUGUUGAUGACAUGAUUGUUAAAUCUCGAACAGAGAAGGAACAUAUUGAAGUUUUGAGGAAGUUGUUCCUGAGAUUAAGGAAAUUUCAGUUGAAGCUUAAUCCGGCAAAGUGCAUCUUCGGAGCUAGGUCGGGGAAGUUAUUAGGCUUUGUGGUCAGCGAAAAGGGAAUAGAAGUUGACUCUGACAAGGUUAGAGCUAUACGAGAAUUGCCUCCACCACAUACUCAAAAGGAAGUUCGGGGUUUUCUUGGAAGAUUGAAUUAUAUUGGUCACUUUAUUUCACAAUUAACCGAGAAAUGUGAUCAUAUAUUUCUCCUCCUUAGAAAACACAACCAAGGUACUUGGGAUGAAGAAUGCCAGAAUGCUUUCGAUAAGGUUAAGCAAUACUUGUUAAACGCUCCAGUGUUAUCUCCGCCUAGUCCAGAUAGACCAUUAAUUCUGUACUUAUCAGUGUUUAGUAAUUCUAUGGGAUGUAUGCUUGGCCAACACGACAAGUCAGGAAGAAAAGAGAAAGCAAUAUACUACCUCAGCAAGAAAUUCACAGAGUGUGAGAUGAGAUAUUCGCCAAUUGAGAAAUUGUGUUGUGCUUUAAACUGGAUGACUCGAAGGUUGAGACAAUAUAUGUUAUAUCAUACGACUUGGCUAAUUUCAAAACUUGAUCCAUUAAAAUACAUGAUGGAGUCAACAGCACUAAAUGGAAGAAUGGCAAGGUGGCAAAUAUUGCUUUCAGAUUUGACAUAGUCUACGUGAGUCAAAAGGCUAUAAAAGGAAGCGCGAUAGCAGAAUUUCUGGCUAGCAAGGCUCUAGAAGAUUAUGAGCCAUUGAGCUUUGAUUUCCCUAACGAGGAGUUGAUGCAUGUGGCAGUCAUUGAAGAAUAUCCCUAGAAACUGAACUUUGACGGCGCAUCUAAUGCAGUAGGAAAUGGAAUUUAGGCAGUCUUGGUAUCCCCAACUGGUGAUCAUUAUUCGUUUACAUGUAAAUUGGAUUUUGACUGUACGAACAACAUGACCGAAUAUGAAGCAUGCAUUAUGGGGAUUCAAGCAGCCAAAGAGCGGAAAAUCAGAACCUUGGAAGUAUAUGGAGACUCUGCAUUGGUAAUAUACCAACUUAGGGGUGAAUGGGAGAUAAGGGACCCUAAAUUGAUUAAUUAUCAAAAGGUAGUCUUGGAGUUACUUGAGGAGUUUGAUAAAAUCACCUUCAAUUAUCUCCCACGGGAUGAAAAUCAGAUGGCGGACGCUUUGGCAACAUUAGCUUCCAUAAUUAAAGCAAAUAAACAAGAGGAUGUGAGACCAAUUCAGAUGAGCAUUUUUGAUGUUCUGGCUCAUUGCUGUAACAUCAAAGAAAAGGAAAAGGAUGACCAUCCUUGGUAUCAAGAUAUACUACGGUAUGUGAGAAAUCGUGAAUAUCCUGAACAGGCAACUGAGAAUGAUAAAAGAACUUUGAGAAGGUUAGCUUGUGAAUAUGUACUAGAUAAAGAUAUCCUUUAUAAAAGAAGGAAAGAUCAGGUACUUUUGAGAUGCGUUGACGCUAUAGAAGCUAAACAAAUCCUGGAAGAAGUACAUGAAGGAGUUUGUGGUACACAUGCUAAUGGAUUUACGAUGGCCAGACAAAUCAUGAGGUUUGGAUACUAUUGGUUUACUAUGGAAGGAGAUUGUAUCAGUUAUGCUAAGAAAUGUCAUAAAUGCCAGAUAUAUGGAGACAAGAUCCAUGUACCACCUUCACCCUUACAUGUUAUGACUUCUCCAUGGCUCUUUUCCAUGUCGGGUAUGGAUGUCAUUGGGCCAAUAUCGCCAAAAGCUUCGAAGGGGCAUCCUUUCAUUUUUGUGGUCAUUGACUACUUCACGAAAUGGGUAGAGGCGGCUUCUUAUGCUAGUGUCACCAAGUCAGCAGUAGGGCGAUUCUUGAAAAAUGAGAUUAUUUUUCGGUAUGGAAUGCCUGAGAGGAUCAUAUCAGACAAUGCAUUGAACUUGAAUAACAGCACGAUUGCGGAAGUUUGCAGUCAAUUCAAGAUUAAACAUCAUAAUUCAUCCCCAUAUCGCCCAAAGAUGAAUGGGGCAGUGGAAGCUGCUAACAAAAACAUCAAGAGGAUAGUUGGGAAAAUGAAUGAAACGUACAGAGAUUAGCAUGAGAAAUUACCAUUUGCACUCUUAGCCUACCAAACGUCCAUCAGAACCUCCACUGGGGCAACUCCUUUCUUGUAGGUUUAUGGGAUGGAGGCAGUGUUACCCAUUAAAUUUGAAAUACCUUCUCUUCGAAUUUUGUCAGAGAUAAAGCUAGAUAAAGCAAAAUGGACUCAAUCGUGGUAUGACCAAUUGAACUUAAUCGAAGAAAAGAGGUUAAAAGUUAUUCGCAACAAUCAGAUGUAUCAGAAAUGAAUUAUGCGAGCCUAUGACAAGAAGGUUUGUCCAAGAGAAUUCCACAAAGGUGACCUUGUAUUAAAAAAGAUCCUUCCCAUACAGAAGGACUUCAGAGAAAAAUGGAUGCCGAAUUGGGAAGGGUCGUAUGUUGUGAAGAAUGCUUUCUUUGGUGGUGCUUUGAUUUUGACAGAAAUGGAUAGGAAAAGUUUACCCAAUCUAGUGAAUUCAGACACAGUCAAAAAGUACUAUGUCUAAAGAGAAUGGAAGACAAGGUGAAAACCCACAAAGGGCUUUUUGAGACUUCUAAAAACAAUAAAUAAAAAAUAUAAAAUGGAGAGGCCAAGGUGAAAACCCACAAAGGGCACCUUGAGACCAAAGGGGUUUUGAGUUGAAAAACCCAAAAGGGCUGCUCAAAUAUUCGAGAAACAUGCGGUGACUUUGCUAUACCGGAUUUAACGAGAAAUGGAGUGUGUUACAUACCGGGGCAUCAACAAAGUACUUUGGAUCUUCUAAACACAUGUUAAAACUCAAAAUAGUCUUCACGGAAUUUGUACACAGAAGCUCAAGCUGUGAUAUGUUGGACAUCGAAUUUUUGUUCUGUUUAUUAUCUUUGGAUUCUUUUUCUUCUCAAAGAUAUGUUUUCAGAUUAAUUUCCUAUUGUAUUCUGAUGAUUUAUCUAACUAUUCUCAAGAUUAAAUUUUUUGUCUUCCAUUACUCAUAAGGAGUGUUGCGUUGAAAUAAUAAUUGAUGAAUUAAAUAUUUUUACAAACGAAGUUUUGCAUAUUAUUCUAGAAACCUCUAGAGAAUACAAGAAACUAAAACAGAACAAUUGUUUGAAGAAUUCCCAUAAGUAAAGGUCAGAGGUACUCGAGGAAAUUUCUUUUCAGUCCAAAGGAUGAUUGGACAAUUCAAACGAUUCAACCGUAGGAGAGGAUAGCCUUUAGCAAGUCGUAAUGUUAGGAGAAUGGUAUAAUAAGGACCAAUUUGAUUCAAAACACAUGAGCAGAGUACGGUUGAUACUUGGAGUAAAAUAAAAGUGGAACUUUGAUGGAUGAACGAGUAAAGACGUCCGAAAUAGAGAUCAUUCCCAUAACAUUUUGUAUAAUUAGGAGCAUUUGAUUCAUUUUGAGCAUGACAUCUUAAUCAUCAGGCAUGAGUACAUAUGCAUUCUAUAGGUUAUGUCCUUUAAAGGACAAUGUAGAUCACUGAUAGCAGAUUUGGCGUCUCUGUAUUGUCAGAGAGCAGAUCUAAGAUAGCAGAUUUGGCAUCUCUGUAUUGUCAGAGAGCAGAUCGAAGAUAGCAGAUUUGGCGUCUCUGUAUUGUCAGAGAGUAGAUCGAAGACAGCAGAUUUGGUGUCUCUGUGUUGUCAGAGAGCAGAUCGAAGAUAGCAGAUUUGGCGUCUCUGUAUUGUCAGAGAGCAGAUCGAAGAUAGCAGAUUUGGCGUCUCUUUAUUGUUAGAGAGCAGAUCGAAGACAGCAGAUUUGGCGUCUUUGUGUUGUCAGAGAGCAGAUCGAAGAUAGCAGAUUUGGCGUAUCUGUAUUUUCAUAGAGCAAAUCGAAGAUAGUAGAUUUGGCGUCUCUGUAUUGUCAGAGAGCAGAUCGAACAUUUCGGCUUGGCGUCUCUAUACUAAUAGGAAGCCGGUGGAAGAUAGCAGAUUUGACAUUCCUGAGUUGCGGUGAAGCAAGUAUGAAGCUAUCAGAAUACCUUUAAGGAAGAUGAGGAUCAAGAUUUCGAGACAUUGGCCAGGCCGAGCAAAUUUGGUCCUUUUAUAAUCUUUGCUCUAUUCCUGUUACACAGUAAUAAGCAAAGAGGGGCAGCUGUAACAGCCCAAAUUUGCCCGGGCCCGUGUAAUGAAAUAAACAAAAUAAAUAAAUGUCCAUGUUGUAAAUGUCCAGUAUACAAAUGGGCCUAAAGGCCUGAUGACUCAAGAACCAUGUAGCUUAAGAACCCUAUGCCCGGUUACACCCAACCCACAAAUGGGCACGGCCCAAGGAGGCCCAAAUUACAAAUAGAGGAUGGAAGGCCUAUGGUUUCUGAAACCCUAGGCGCCGCAAAUGCUAGAGGAAGGUUCCAGAAUUCGCACCGCAGGCACGCCAAUCGUCACACCCUUUUUGCGCCGUUCCAGUGACCUUCAUCGACACCUCCAUCAGUGACGUGAUUCCAGGCUCCGUAUCAUGCCGUGAUCAGCGCACGAAUCAACGCCAGCCCACUCCUCGCCGUGAGAUCCUCGAUGGUAUCUGCAAAAAAAGGAAAGAGGAGCAGCAAAGACAAAUGCAAAUAUGGCAAGAAUCGAGCAGAGAAUAUACAAACCUGCAAAUAGAGGCUAUAAAAGCCGAAUUAUUUCAUUGUAACUGGGAAACCUUUUUUUGAUAUAUACGAAAAUAUAUACGAAAGAGAAUAGAUAUACGGAUAUUCAGAGAAAUUCAAGCAAUUUCUUUAAAAGAUGACUUAAGUUUCAUAUUCUGUUAUCUAUGGUUCAACAUGUAUAUGAAUUGUUUUGGAAAAAAAUUGGUAUUUUAAAAUGGGAAAAGGGGUUACCUGCAAUUCGCCAAGGAAAGUGAAGGUUUUGAACCUUCCAAACCGUCAUGUACGGUGGCGCGUGUAGUGCGUGGAUGCAUGAACCCAGUGACCGAAGUCUGGUCCGACAGAGGUCGGAGAAACCUGGAAAGGCUCUCCUAUUCUCCUUCUUAGAGAAUUUUCUUUGUUUUUUUUUAAAACAUGAAACCAAAUGAAUUUUCAAAUGUUUUUUUUUUGUAUUUAUUGAUAGCCCAUACGACGUCGUUUUAGAAUGGCCGUUUAAUAACCAAAACGGCGUUGACCUGAGACCCGGGUAGGAUCCGCGCAUUUUUUUAAAGGGCUAAUUGCCCAAUUGAUCCUUCUACAUUUUUAUGUUUUCUCAAAUUCAUUUUAUUUUUAUUUUAAUCUGGCCUUAAACUUUUACAUUUAUUGUAAUUUGGUCCUAAUAGCCAUUGUAAGACAUAUGCCGAGAACGAUGUCGUUUUUUGGGGAUUAGGGAUAAUUUCCCAGUGAGUCACUCAUUUUUAAUGCGCAUGUCAAUUAAUACCGAAUUUUUUUAUUUAUUUGUAAUUAGCCCUAGUGUUUUUAAAAAAAAAUUUGAUCUUAGUUUUUUUAUAUAUAUUUAAUUUAUUUUCAAAUACUAUAUGUAUUAUUUUUUAUAUAAACAUUAGUUAUAUAUAAAUAGUGUAUAUUAUUUUUAUAUUAUAACCGUUUUUUUAUAUUAUAUAUACAUUUUACUUCAUAUAUUAUUUAUCUUACUAUAUUUAUAUAUGGAAAUUAUUAUAUUAUAUCAUUUUUAUUACUUAUUAUUUUAUUUUAUAUCAUUUUAUUAUUAACAAUUUAUUAUGUAUAAUUAAUUUUUUUUAAAAUUAUUACUAAAAAUUAUAUUUAUAUGUCUUUAUUUAGAGGUCAGUUUAUAAUAUUUAAAAAAAAAGUAUAAAAUUUUGUUCCUAUUCAAUAUGAUGAUUUGACCUUGAAUUAUUAUAUUAUGUAAUGUAUUACAUAUAUUAAUUAUUUCUAAAAACUCUCCUUUAUCAUUUAUACAUUGCUCUAAUAUAAUUUUUUUUUUUGUUUUUUUUUAUGUUCAUGAUUUGUUUAUUCACUUUAUAUUUUGUAUUUAUUGUUUUAACAUGCUAAUGCUAUCUCACUAGCUAUUUGUUGUUUACAUGAUUUGUUGUUUAUCACAUUUGCAUGAAAAUUAAUUAUUUAUGUUGAUUUAAGCUACAAUUGCAUGAAAUAUUGUUGUAUAUAUAUUGCAAUUUUUAUUAUUGUAUUCAUUAUGCGCUAUGUUGUAUUUUGCAUGCAACGAUAAUGCAUGUAUAUUUAUGUUAUCUAUGAUCACAUAUGCAUAAAAUGAUAACGUAUAUUGUGUAAUUUAUGCCAUUAUUCAUUUUUUUUCAUAUAUUAUAUUUGCAUAGAAUGUUAAAGUAGGUAUCAUGUAAGAUAAUUUAUUUAAUAUUGAUCCUUUGCAAUAUGUUAAAUGCAUCAUCACUUUAAAGAACUUUUGUAUUUCAUUCGAUCCAAAAGGAAUUUUAAAAAAUAAGGCAAUGUUUUUUUGGUAGUUAGGAAUUCGGGAAGUAGUGCCCUAACAUGCUGGGUUGCAAUUUCCUGUUUGUCUAAAUGCCUAAAAUAUCCUUCUAAAUAAGUUUUGAAAAUUACAAGAUGAUUUUAGUUACGAAAGUUUAAAAAUAUCGUGUCCAAUCAUGCUGGAUGUGAUAUUUAUAUUCUUUCGAAGCAAAGGAAUCUUGAUUCCCUUUAACUCAAAUUAUUAUGGUUUUAAAAGAGAUCUUAUUUCUAAAUUCUUUCAAACUUUUGGCAUUAAGGCAAAAUUAUUCAAUUUGGUACCAAUUUUGGGCGUUGCGAGGGUGCUAAUCCUUCGUUGUACAUAACCGACUCCCGAACCUAUUUUCUCAUAAUUCCGUAGAUCAAAAUAUUUUAUAAGGUGAUCCAACCACAUCUAAAAGGUUGGUGGCAACUCUUGUCUUUUCAAAAAUCUCGUUUCCCAAAAAAAGAGGUUUCGAUAGUCUUAAUUCUACAUAAAUUAGGAAAACAUAUUUCAAUUAGGGUAAAAUAUGUUCUAUAAAUAUCCAAAUUUGUUUAAACCCUAGAAUUUUAUCUAGCAAAAUUUUUUAAGAAAAACACUCUCAAGCUCUUUUCUCUUUAAAUCAGCCUUCAAAGCAAAAAGGAGUCAAAGUUUUCAAAAUCAUUCCUUUCGAGUAGAUCAUCAAACUUUUCUCUGAAA